rnacentral:lncRNA from 1 species
AAAAAGAAAACUUACAACAGAAAGAACAUCGCUUGCAAGCCCUUUUUCAUAUGAUGGAGGCCCAACCUUUAUAUCUAGAAUCACCCGCCGGACUGAACUUAAAAUUACCUGCAACAAUAUUCAGAAUCAUAGUCAAAGAGCAAUUGGGGACGGAGGCAGCUGCUAGGGCACACCAAAAGGAUCAUUUGCAAAGAUUCAAAACUAUCAUUGAGAGAGCAUUAAAGGAGUUCAUGAAAGAUACCUCCAAAGCCUCUUCAAUUGUAAGAACAUUUUCAUCUGGGAACUUCCUUGCAGAUUGAUGCACAGAACCAAGAUACUUUAUCUACAACCACAAACUAAAUAUAUAUUCUCAAUCAACAUUAUCACAAAUACCUAACAAUAUAAUUUAAAAAUACAGACAAUAUAAUGUUCUAAAGAAAGGCAGGAUAGAAAGAUUGUAUAUCAUAUUUUACAAGAAAGCCAGAUAGCAAAGAAAAUUCACCUCUUUCAUACUUAAGUACCCAACCUUAGAAGCAUUGUUUCCAGUUAACCGCUGCAAAUCCCUGCCUGUGUAAUUUGAGAAUCAAAUCUACAAAUACAAUUCUAACGAAUGAUACUCCAACAGAACCUAAAAUAAUGUGAUCAAACUUUUAGUUGACAAAGUAUUUUGAUGUCAUGUCAGAGAUCCAAAAUACCUAAAUCCUCAGAAUUCGAGUUGGCUGUGAACAUUCAAACACAAACUUCAUUUCUUUGGUUUGCUUAGUUACAACUACACUUUAAACAUCUGGAUGAUCAAUGACGAGCAUUUGAUUACUAAGGUGCAAAAACUGUGUGCAUUUUAACCUUGAAACUUCAUGACUAAGGUGCAUAAACUUCUCAAUUUCAUUUUUUCUUAUGUUCAUGAAAUCACAUGGAUUAAUAAUCUGUGUGGUUUGGACUCUAGGACGGUCAUCUAGUGUGUUAUUACAUAAUAAAAUGAUAACAGAAAGUUCAUCGUAGAUUUCUUGUUGUUCAUAAAAGAAAAGUUAUUUGAAAGUAAUUGUUAAUAAUAAGGUAGUCGAAUAGUGUAAGAUGACAAUCACUAGAUAAGGGGUAAAAUUAUGAACAUUAUGUGAACCAACGUACCUGUCAUGGAGCGCAAGCAGAACUCCAUCCAGAGAACGAGAAACGUCAAUCUCAAUGCAGUCUACUUGAGAAUGAAGAGCAAAAUGAUAUGCAGCCAUCUGUUUAGUUGUGAACAAAUAAUAACACCAUGUGAGAGAGAGAUGGUGAGAAGGGGCAGGGAACUCAACAGUCAGAACUUUAAGAGAAUAAAUUUCUCGCAGUACAAAAAGUUUGAUCUAUUUUACUCAAAGUUCAAUUUUAUAAAGAACAACAGAAAAUUUGGUUGCUGCUUAUUCAUGGGCCUCACCUAUGCAACGGUUCGAGGAGGUAAACAUGUAAUCAGUUGUUGAUCCUUUACAGGGUAACUUGGGGAGGGUGAACCCAAGCUAUGCCCCAAGUCAGGCCAAAACUUUUAGUCACUAAAUUUUUGUUGGACAAUACUGAAUACUAAAUUACCCAACCAAUUAAAUUAAUUAAAUAAGAUUGCGAGCCUACCGUGUUAGGGAAGGCCUUACUUGAGUCACCCCCAUGCGCACACACAAGAGGAGGCUCAUUUAGCCAGCCACACUUUCUUAACUGCGUCUGUAGAAAAAUUGAAACUUACAAAGUAAAUAUUUGAGUCUACAAUGACAAAUAUUAUAAGUUCUACACAUUAUCUAAGUAAAAUGCCGCAUUUUUCUCAAUGAAUAUAAGAGAAUUUUUGUUUCCAUUUAUGAGCAUGCACCAUUACUACAUUACACAACUUGAUAUGCCCAGCCAUGAAAGAAUGCAUCAAUCAGUUUGUUCCCGUCACAAUCUACUUAACCAGAAUCGAACACCCAAAAAUUAAUCCAAGAAAUGCAAAAAAAGAGAAGAUUUAUUAAAUCAAAAGACAAAUAUAAAUUUAAGAACUCCUUGUCUUUUCUAAGACGUUGAGUAACCCAAAUGAAACAUACUGUCACUUUGCCCAAAUCAAUUAAACCAAAGCCAUUAUUUCAACAAAUUGCGACCCACAUAAAUUGUUUUCAGCCAAUUAGCCCCUAUCAAAUCCAACAUUCUCAUCUUUAAGAAAACAAUAAACUCAUAGAUACAUACAGUAUACAUAUGCGCUUGAGCAUAAACACAAACAUCUAUGAAUGAAAAUGUCAAAAUUAGCUUAUGGGUCUUUUUCAUAUUAGUACAAGAAAACGUAUAGAAGAAGAGCUUACCUGGUGAAAGCGUUUGAGCUUGAAGAAGAAGAAAAUGGGAGGGACAAAAGCGAUGAAGACGAGACUUAUGAGAAUCGCACGAAAUACUCUCUUUGACGAAAAUCUGAAGAGAAAGGCUCCGAACCCAAACCGCUGCUGCCUCUGAUGGAGGGACAGUCGCCUUCCCAAUCUCGUUGAGAUCGCCAUUUGGAUCAUACAAAAUGACCACUCAAGUGAAAGAGAGAGAGAAGUCACAUAUAGUUUAUUUUAAUGACCGAUAUGUACUUAUUUUUUUAACCAUUUGUAACAUGUGUUGAAAUUAUUUUCUAUUGCCUAAAUUAAAAAUAAGGAUAAAAUAGUUAUUUUGUUUUAGGAAGGUGGAAAACUAAUUUGGCAUAUGCGAGUUAAACUAGUUGAUUAAGAUGGUAAAUUUAAUUUGGGAGAGACGAGUUAGGCAGUUAGGCAAAUUGAUUAAGAAAAUAAAUCCGCUUCUCCCUCGCAUAAAGGUUCGAGAAAGGGAGAGAUUAUAGAGUAGUACGGUACUACCACAUCAGCAUAUGAUACUCCCAUUCCAAAUUUGUCAUGUGUCCCAUAAAAGAAAAUUAAAAAUACUUGUACAGCUGGACUUUGACCUCCAAUUUUACCCUUUAAAAUAACAUUAGAAAUAAAAUAAAAUAAAAGAAUACUCCUCCACCGUCUCUUUCCCUUGCCUCUGCCAAUUGAAGUCUUCUUCUAUCCAUCUUCCUUUUAAGCAGGAGGAGAGGUUUGAGAUGUGAGUUUGUUUCCUUCAUUGUAGAAAAGCAGAGGAAGCUUCAAAGGAAAAGGGAGGAAUAAACGGAGAUUUGGGGUGGAGGAGGACUCCCGAAGGAUUUUUUAUUUUUUAUUUUCUUCUUUUCUAAUUUUAUUCCAAAGGGUAAAAUUGGAAGUCAAACACCAGUUGUAUAAAUAGUUGUAAUUUUCUUUUAAAUAUGACACAUGGCAAAUUUUGAAUAAAAGUAUCAUAUGCUGACAUGGUAGUACCGUAUUAUCUUAUAAUUUCUCCGAGAGAGGGGAGCUCUGAAACAAAAAGUAAUUUUUCUAAGCUCUAAAUUUUCUGUCUUUCGGCCCAAUAAAAAUCAGCCCACAUCAACUCAGGGACUAGCACUAUUUGUUUGGGCUGGGUUAGUAAGGGGCUAUAUCACGCGAUCAGAGCCCCCAUCUUCCACUUGUUAACUUUCCCUCCAAAAAUCCCCAAUCGUCACAUACUCUCGCUCGCUCUCUGUAAGAAAGUAAAGAAGAAGAAGAAAAUGGACGAAUACUUACAGUACAUGAAGACAUUGCGUUCUCAGAUGAACGGUGCGUUUCGAUCUCUGUUAAGAUUACCUUACACAAAUAUGAUUUGAUUGCUUUUUUUUCUUUUUGAUAUGAAAAUUAUAGAUGUGGAGGAUCAAGCUGCGAAGGUAUCAGUGGAAGAGCAAAUGCAACUGACCACCAUUCAGACCUUGGAGAGCGAUCUCAAUUCUGGUUCUUCUUCUUCUUCCUGUUCGCAUUUAUAAUUUCUGCUUAUUUUUACUCAAUUUUUCCGAAUGAAAAAUUUAAUUCGGAUUAUUUCACUUGUAAUUUCGUUUUUUUAAUUAUUUCUUAAAAUUUAUGAAUAAUCUGUGAAGAGUAAUUCAGCAAAACUUUAUUUGUUAAUAUCUCUUCUAGUUUCUAUUUGUUUUAAACUUCCACCCUCAACUUCUUACACAUACAUCUAUACAGUUUUUUUUUAUAAAAAAAAUAAAUAAAUAAUUCGUGAGUAUUUUUGUUUAGUUGAUCAUCGAUGAAUUUUUAAGAAUCUAUUUUAUAAGGCAUUUUCUAUUUUUUUUUUUUUUGGGGUGUGUCUGUGCUCUGUACACUUGCCAUGUAUAUAAAUCUUUUAAUUCUUUUUAAAACUAAAUGGGUAAAAAUUAAGAUUCCUUUUCCCUUUAAAUUUGGUUAAUAUCCGUAUUUUUCUUUGCCCUACCUAAUUAAUUUCUAAAAGUCCAAAAUAGAUUUAGCAAAUGUUCUAAAUUGCUUGUAUUUCGGAAAGGGAAAAACUACACAUACUUCAGUAGAGCGGUGCAUAUAUAAUAGUUUGGUUUCACAUCGAAGAUCAAUUCAAGUUGGAAGAUAUUUCCUGCUUCUGGUACCAAUAUGAAGGCCACUAUUCAACUUUGUCUGCUAGCAUGACUUGCUAUAUCAUCUAACCUUUUUAUUUGUGUAUUAUUAUUUCUCAAAUGCUGGAACAUGGACUUUGCAUCCCAGCUUCCUACUACAAUAGCCUCAUCUAAUAUGUGAACAAAAUGCCUGUAAUUUUUAAAGGACAUCCUUGAUACUGUUGAAUCGGGUCUAUCUUGAUUCCAUGCUAAAACUGGCUACACUUGAUUCUUAGUCACAUGAGUAGUGAGAAGUUGUUGGUUGGACAGUGAGAUUUAAGCAUGAGAUGCAUUCAAUUGAAUUGGAUCUAUGUUCAACUUUUUGAGUAUCGUAAUUAUGCAAGGGUUUCUGUUUUUUAUAAGUCCUGUAUCGCACAGGAUUUUGGAAUCAAUUAUGGAUCAUAUGUGGUUCCAUAACAGGCUGUAUCUAAGCUGUAUUCCUUUCUGGGUUUAUCAUUCAAUUUUAUUUUUCCUUACAGUAAUGCGGAUGUUACAGUCAUUUAAGUUUUCUUUUUAUUUCAGUUAGUUGUGUAUUUUGUAAUCCAGCAUUCGUCAUUUAUUGCAUUUCGAAUAAUUUAAAUGUAUUGAGUUUGAGAAGUGAAAUCAGAAUAUAAUUUUACAUUUAUUUUCCAGUUAGUUGUUUUAACACUUUUGAACUGUUUACUCAUUAUUGUUGCAGCAAUAUCUGAAACAAAACGAUUCAUGGAAGACAUUGAGCAUAUGAAGAACGCGAAGGGUCAAAUAUGCUCACUGAUUUUGGAAAAACAGAGAAAGAUAGCUUCUUUGGAGUCUGAUUCAUCCACCCUUAUAAAGGUAGCCUCUUUGUGCGUGUGUGGCUUGCCAUAUUCAUAUUGAAAAUUAAUGUAAUAAUCAAUCAAAUUGAAAGUUGUAAUGCUCAAGAAAUAUUUUGAUACCUAUGUAGACUUUGGAGCUUAUCGAACAAGAGAGAACCAACUUAUCUUCCAAUCUUAUAGAAAAAAGGUAAUUCAACAUGCAAGUUAAAUUGAUUGAAUGCAGCUGAUAUCAUAUAUCAACUUAUCAACUUUCCAUGUUCGUCAUAACAGCACUUACUACAUGAAGGUUAGAGAGGAUAUCAAUGCCAAAUUGCAGCAACACCAGGUUUGGUUUUGGAGUCACAUUUAUGUGUAUUUGUGUUGUGUUCUAUUCUCAUUGCAUUUAGAGUUCCCCUUUUCAAUUUUGAUCAGGAUUGGGUCUAUUCUCAUCACACUCAUAUGGAACUGGGAGAGCAUGGAAUGGUACACCCUCAUGUUUUCCUUCGUCUUUCUUUAUUUACAUAUGUAAUAUUAGCUCCUUUGGUGUGGUUGGAUGUCUUUCUAGUUUUCUCUAGUAGUUAGGUGUACAAUUGCCUCACUUCUUUGACUUGAUGUCUUGAUUGAAGAAAGGGUAAUGUUCCUAUUAUGGAAGUUGUUUUUCAUCCUAUCUUUGAGUGUAAUUUAUGAAUAUAUUUUCCCAUACUUUGACAUAUUAUGAAGCUCUUGUAACUGCUGCUGAGUCGUUUUUAUCUUUCUUGCUGUUGCUUUUGUUUUAAAGUUUAAAAUUGUGCAGCUAGAAGUUAAUUGUGUUGCAGGACUGAUUAGAAUUUAUGCAGGUUAAGGAGAGAUCUGAUGAGCAAAGAGGUGAGUUUCAAGUUAUGGCUUUUAUACUCUUACAUUACCCCCUUCUUCUAUCAUCAAGAAUCUGUAGUGUAUAAUAUAAUUGAAUGGUGACGCAAGCAAAUGAAAUGUGAUCUGUUAAAGUUAUUUAUGCUGUCUAAGGUUAAGUCCUUCUGAAUGAAAGCUAGUAAUCCAUAACCUGUUGCACUUUAACUGUUGAUUCUUCUGAAGUCGCUGUUUACUUGCCUUUGCACCCUACCUUUUAAAUGAAAAUAUGUAAUAAUCAUUCAGUUUAAGAAAGAAGCAUGGCCUUCCUGGCAAAGACGCUUUGGUAUUUAUAAUUUUAUCCUUUUUUUUUUUCUUUUCAAGGUAGCAUAUAAAUUGAGGUAUUUAUCAUGGGUUGUGAACCAGCUGAACCAAAUUAGGUAUUGUAAGAGGCUAUGAGCAACUUGCCUCAAUUAUACAUUAGUGAUAGGGAAAUAUCUUUUGCUCCAUGUUAUGCUAGCACCGUGCCUUGUAAUUAAAGAUGAAGUCUCUUGAGGAUAGUAGUUUUACUCAGGAAUAUAAUUUUUUCAACUUCUUCAUAAACUGUACUUCUUUGCAGGGAAGGCUUGCUUUGAUAACCACCUCAGCAUGGGCAAUCAGGUAUGAAACUACUUUCAUUGAUCCUUGAGAUGCAUGGAGCUAUAUGCAGUGGGAAUCUCAUGACUUAUUUUUAAAUAACAGGGCAAUGAUGCAAGGAAGAACCUAAUGGCCACGUUGGACUCUGCUAAAGCCAAGCUUGAUGAGAUUUUAAAGAUGAAAUCUGAACUUGCUAUAGAAAACCGCAAGGUUGCCUCUAAACUGGGAUGCUGUUCCACUAAAAUUAAGAUGUAUUGAUUCAUUCUUUUAGAUGGGGUUCGCAUAAAGGAUAUCCUGCCAGAGAGUCUGACAUGCUACGUUCUUAGAUUGUCAAUUAGGGCAAUAUUUAGACAUGAUUCCCCCUAAUCAACAGUCUUGAUUUGCAGUUUGGCCACAUACAUGUUGGAUUGUCCAACAAGAGAAUUUCUUUCUUUUUCUCUGUGUGUCUGUUUGUCUGUCUUCCUUCUAUAUAUGUAUGUAUUUAUAAUGUAAAUAAAUGGACACCUACUGUUAUGAGAUUCAAUUUGAGUUGAAGUGAAUCAUAUGAAGUUUACUCUACUUCUCACAUCAUUAAAUUAAAGUUGCAACUAUUUGACAUCUCUCAGAGAUUUCUGCUUUACAACUCAAGGUGUGAUUGUUUAUUCAUUGUGAAGUUUUAUUUAUUUAUUUUUUCUCUCGACUUUAUUCUCCUGAAGGAGUAUUUUACCAAGCUUUGUUGUUCUUGUUCUCUACUUUUCCUUGUGAAAAAUAAAAAAUGAUGUCUGUCUAGCAAAGAAGAAAAAUAAUAGACAAGAAACGUAAGGAAGCUAAUAUUUUCUAAAGCACCCUCAUUCUUAUGCUGCUUUCUUGUGCCAAUUCAGAUGAAACAGGCUGUUGAGCAAGCAAAUUGCAGGGAAAAUGAUUUUAAGGUCAGUUGUUUUCUCAAUACAAAUAGGUGCAGUCUUUGUGCAUGAAUGCAUGCCUGUGAGCAUAAUGUAAUCAGAUGUGGAACACAUUUCAGAUAUUUAUAGGAUGUUGAAAUUUGUUGCUAAGAUAUACUCUGUGAGGUUGGCACAAUGGCAUCACACUAAUUGUUGAUUUCUUUUCUCACAAUGGGUGAUUCCAGCCAGAGCUAAGGGCAAUGGAUGUAAACACCCUUGAAGAGGAAUACGAUGCCCUUCUAUCAGAUAAAGCUGGAGUAACUGAAUACCUGAAGUCUCUGCAGGACCAAAUUGAGAAACUGAAGGUGACUGUUUAUCAGGUUUCUCCUUGGUGUUUAAAGAUUACAGAAAGUAAUAACCAUGUGAUCAUUUGAUGAUAUGGCCAAUCAAAGUGGCCAAAGCUGGGUCUGUGGAAGGAAGGUUUAUUACUGAAAUAGACAUGAAAGGGAAUUAUCUGGCAUAUGGUGCAUAGUUUCCGUGGAAAUUUCAUGGUUUGGAUAUUUAUGAUUAUUGAAGUCUAGGGUCAGUGCAUAUGUUUUGGAAAAGAAGACGAUUUUUUAUAAUAAAUUGUAUUCUUUUGUUCGUUGAACCUGUGCUGUUAACAGGAAAUAUCUCAUGUGGUUAAAUGUGCUUGUGGAGAGGAAUACAAAGUGGUAGUGGACUUUUGUGUAUAAAAACUUGAAACUAGGGCAUGAAUUUGGGCAAGAUGGAAGGCUGAGAAAUGGAAUCAUCAGUUGGCUGGACUACUUGGUUUGCUGUUCAGGUAAGUGUCCAAACAAAAGUCAAAAACAAUUUCUGAUACCUUUGUUGCAACAAGGACGUAAUGAUAUUACUUUAGUUGUUGGUACAGUGCAAGUUGAAAGUAGUUUGUCUUUAGUGAAUAGACGUUAUUUCCGUUGCAAACAUUAUAUUGUACAUGAAAAUAUGUUUGUAUCUCAAGUGAGUGGUGAAUUUCAUUAGUUGUGCUAAAUCAAUCAUUCAAAUUUUUGAUAAAUUGGUUUUCUUAGAGAAAAUGAUGAAACAUGGCUUUGACAUUCACCUCUCUAACAUGGCUUUUGAUAGAAAUAUAUCUGCCAUUAUUCACCACAUGUAUAUAGGUGAGUUUUGUGUUUCAUAAUUAUUAAAAUGAAAUACGAUUGGCCUAACAAAUGCUUAAACAAAGCACUUUAGGGUGUGUUUGAAUGUCUAGUAGACAGGAUUUCAUAGAUGGGAGCCCUUUUUGUAGUAGUUAGUGAUGAAAUUAAAAGAUGCACGGAAAAAUGAAAAUUUCAGUUAUUUUAUACGUAUAUACUUGCAGAAACUGAAAUUACUUACAAGAAGUUGAGAUGUAUAUUCUCUUAUGUGUGGUACUCAGACUUGUGCUUGAGUUGUCGAAAUAUGUUCCCUAUAUAGAGAAGUAAAGGAGAAAUUAUGGAAAAACUAAAAUCACUUGAUACCCAUUGCUUCAAUUGCUGCUGAGAUAUCAUGGGCUUGAUAGCUCUCCACAAGGACGAUGUUAGGGCUAUCUUGUGGGACUACAUCUUCUCUUUUGAAACUAUCUUCACCAUGAAAAAGCUUCUCACUGCCAUACUCAACCGAGCUUCUUAGAACUAGGGUCUUAUGGAGGCCAGCCAGCAGGUCUUCAUAAUCUGUAUCUCCUUUUUCCCCAACAAACACAACCACUUUGGAUAGAUCAAUUCCCCACCGGACGGAAAGAUAUCUACAUAGCACAACAGAACAGUAAUUUAAUCAUAACUAAGCAUUUUGUUGAUGUCUUGCAUAAUAUAGUAAGUAAAUGAAACCCAACCUUAGUGCUUGUAUUCUUGAUGCAACUAGUGGUACAACAUUUAAUCUUGAUGCUACACGAGUGUAGACAAGGUUGCACCGGAAGCCCCUCAUCCGCAGCCUUUGGCGCACGUCAUCGACCCUUCGAGUCUGAAAUUGAUACACCAGAUCAUUAUAAAAAAUUUAUGAAACUACAAAUGUAUGUCUUAAGGCACCACUUUCCAUUGAGGUUAGUAAUUUUUCUACAGCAUAGUAAGUUUCUCACCUUGGCUCCUGGUUUCACAUUAUAAGAGUAGCACCUAGAGCUACUUGAUCCUGCAUACUCCAUGAUGUCAUCGUCAGCCCCAACUUCUAACGUGGCUAGCCUUGGCACCAUGGACCUCACAUUCUCUCCAGGCCAUCUAUACUCAAUAUGGAUUUCAUAAUCUGCAUCAGCUGCCAAAUCCCUCCAUGGGUAAUACAUUUCACUCCCACUUUUGCAGACCAACGCAUCAAAAUCUUCUAUGUUUACUUGGCAGCCUUUAAAUGAUUUGAUGGUCUCUUGUAAACUUGAACCAGUUAACAACACCAAACCUACUUGACCCUGGCCAUGGCCUACGCUUGCUGCUUUCUUUACACACAUCAGAGUUUCCUGAAAUAUCUGGGCAUCAUCUCCAUUCUGGUCAUAACAAUCAAUGGCUAUUACAAAUAGCCUCUGCCUUCUACCAGGACCAUAAUUAACACCAGUAUUGCUGUUGGAUGAAGCCAUUCUAGUUAUGGCUUCAAUGAGUUCCCUCUGUCUCGUUGCUGCAUCAAGCUCUCCAUUAUGCUUGAAGUCUCCCUCUACAGAGAAUCUCAAAGAAAGAUCUUCCACAUCUUUUAGAGAGUCACUCAAUGGUUCUUCAGGAAUUGGCAUGAUCUGAAGGCGGGUGGUGGGGUGGCGGUGUCGGGAAUGUUCAACAUGGGAGAGGUAGUUUCGGCAGUGUUCUGUCCACGAAAAGCGGUGGAUGUUCUUUAGGCCAUUCUUUCUGCAUUCGAGCCAGAGGUUUUUGUCUCCAACAAGCUUUAGAAGUGCAUCUUCUAUUGCUUUCUGGUCGUGUGGGUCAACUAGGAGGCCGUUGUUUAGUGCCUGAUAGUACAGAGUCAGCUACCCAUUAGUUCUUUAGACAUAAAGUGAUACUAAUUGUACCACAUUGUCAUAGAGAUUGGACUCAUCACAUCUCUAAUAGAAGUGAGACCCACACAUACAAUUGUGCUCCACCUCUAUUAUGGAAAUAAUGUGGUAGAAAUAGUAUUCUUAGACAUACAUCCGCACCUGCACGUUUUAGUCACAUGGAAUCUUGAAGGUUUUUCUUAAACUUCCAAAUACAUUAUUAGUAGGUUAUAUUAUAGCAGACUCCUGUGGGUUUGGAUAUAGGACAUGUACUAGUUACCUUUAGAAUAUCCACAGGUCCUCCAUUUUUCGUGGCGACCACUGGUAAGCCAUAAGCAGCUGCCUGAAAACAUAAUCACAUGAAUAUAAACAUGUAAAUCGUUUUGAGAGAAAAAUGUGGGGGAGGGGGGGGUGUUUGGGUUAGUAAUUACAGGUUCACAAGAUUAUCCCUACUAGAGCCUAGAGGCUAGAGGUGAAGCAUAAUAGCAGCAUAGGCUAACCUCUAUAAUUGUAAGACCGAAGGGUUCCACGAGAGCUGGGUUGAUGAAAACACCCUUCAAUAGAAUUCCCCAUAAAGUGUUACUGUUAGUAAUUUAGGUGUUGAAAAGAAAAGACUAGCAGGUAACGUGUGCAUAUUAGAAAAACAAACAAUCCCAGGUCCAUCUAUUAAGAAAUAGUUGUGGCCCUGUAUCACAUAGUAUGCACCUUUGUUUUGGCAGCUAGACGAUAUAUGUCAGGCACAUCCGAUUGCUUGUGAUGCUUGGGAUAGGCCACUUGCCCAUACAAAUCAUACUUGUCAAUGAGCUUGAGCACGGUUGUUAGAACAACUGAACUGCUAUUUGACAUUUCUUCAAUGUCAUCUCUGUUACCAAGUAUUAGUGUCUGCAUAAACAAUAGGUGUUACCAAGUAUUAGUUUCUGCUUUAAACAAUAGGUGAUGCUCGGUACUCAGCAAUAUUAUUUACUGUAUUGAAGCCGAUUUUAGUUAUGGGAAAUUAAAGUGUGAACUUUACCAAGUUGGCUAGCUCCCGUAGAGCUUGGCAUUGCCCCAAAUGCCUUGAGCAAUGUAGUGACAUUUUUCUUGGGGUCAGGACGAGACAGUGCAAGUAUGGUGGGCUUGUGAGGGUUGGUGAAAAAUCGCAUGACCUGCAUUGCAACAAACAAAAUAAAUGGCAGACAUUUCUAAUUAGGUAUGUGAAGUGAAACUAAAUCCUUUUUGUUACCAAUAGGUAAUAACGUGCAUAUUAUAAGUCUAAGCCUAGUUUGUUUAUAGGAAAAGCUAUGUAGGAGAUUGUAGACUGUUUCGUUUGUUUUCUUUUGUAUAACUAAAUGAAUGGGGUGGGAACAUAUGAAAGGAAAAAAAUAGGUGGAAGAAUAUGCAACCUCGGACCAUAUUAGAGGCAGAUGCCUUUUGUUUUGACCUCUGUCAGAGCCAAUCAAUGAUUUCAGAUCUCCAUCUCCUUCCGUAUCUUGGGCUAUAACAUAGCUGAAGUCCAUGCCUGGAGGUAUAACCUAAUGCCACCAUCACGUAGUGAUUAGUAUGUACAAGAAUUUGGAAAGAAAAGAAUGAAGUUUGAGACAUGGCAGUGUUUAGUCAUGAAAAAGCCAAGCCACAAUCAGUGAUAAUGAGGAGAGCGACUGUGCAGUAUGCAUACCACCAUUCUUGGCAUGUAUCGUCCAAGGCAGCUAACUCCACGACGCCUCCUAACCCUGAGCUUCCUCUCCAACUUGAGAUCGAAGCCGUCAUAGAGUCCCCAUUGCUCCUCAAUCUCUUGCCUUGUGCUGGUGACCACCAUUUCAGCAGAAUCCAAUCCCAGCUCCUCAGCCUCGAUCCUCUUCAUGAUUUUGUAGGUUGCAUUGAUGUCUCCCUUUGAUAACCUCCCUUGUUUGAGCAAUUGUUCAAACUUGUUUCGGCCUAAUGAAUGCCCAGUUAGCACCAUUGGCACGUUCAAGGCCCCAGACAAGUGGGCAGCCACCUCCCCACCAUCAGCAUAGUGGCCAUGGAUCACAUAAGGCCAUUUCGGUCUCCCUCCGUUGACUUCUUCACCAAGAGCUCUUGCCAUGUUCACAAUGUGGCCGAGAGCCCCGUCAACGAAUUCAGGUAUGUGAGGCCAAAGUGACUCUUUAGGUAUGUACCUGCAGGCAGUAUGCCUCAAUCAAAUUCAAGUGUGUAUUCUUCAUGUUCACCAUAAUCAGUAGACACUAGGGUCAUAGCAUUAGGGUUGAAGACAAGAGAAGAGUGAGUUAUUACUUGUCACGGGGCCCACAGGGGAUUCGGACGAUAUAAGCUCCACAGCUGCCGCUGCCAUCAGGUGGACAAAUGAGCAUCUCAUUGGGUUCACCGUAGCUAGAGUCUACCUCCGGUGAAGUAAUUUGUCUAGUUAGCAGAUCAACUCGGUAGACUCCUUUUGUAUUGGCCAGAGCACGAGCAAGUUCCACCACAUAUUUCACCUAAAUUAAUAGCUACCAUAUGUAAGUCCAUAAACCAACAUACUUUUUUUUUAUGAUCUUAAUUAUCAUUUAGUCUAACUCUUAAUCAGUAUAUUAUUGUUAUUAUCACCUGACCACCUGUAUCAGAAUCUCUUCCGAGUUCCAUGUUUUCUCCACGAAUCAACCCAUGAAUGCUACAGCAAGGUAAGAACAAGAAACAUGAAACAGUAUGAAAAAUUAUGCAAUGCUUUUACUUAAACUUGCUGUAUUUAAUGAAUGAAUGAAAUACCUGAUUAGGACAAUGUAAAGAUGCCUAGACUUAUCAAUAUCAUCGGACCAUAUGCGGAUGUCGGAUAUAGUUCUUAAAAUAUCCUUGACAAGUGGUUCCCCUUUUUCCUUUUCCCCUUCUUUUUCCUUCUCCCCUUCGGACAGCUCCGAAAGGUCAUCCUCUGCGUCGUGACGCCCUUGUUCUCGCUCCAGACGUCGUUUUGCAAGUCUUCGUGCAUCAUCCCAUGCAAUCUGCAGCAGUCACGCACACAAACACACCCACCAAAUUAAACAACUUUCACUUCUAUGUGUCUCCAAUUAAUUUCAACUUAUAUUUCCUAAUUAAUUUUAUGCACAUUAUAUAUAUAGUUUAAAUGGAAUGAGAUUCCUUUUCUUUCUUUCUACUUUCAUGUUGAAUGGAAAUUGUUUCAUAUAUCCCUAUUAAUAUUACAUAUGCACUUUGUCUUUGUGAGAGAUGAGAUUUCUCAUCACCUGUUUCUUUUUACGAGCGAGAUGCCAAAUGCGCCAGCACGUAUUCUCAAGCCUAUUGCUGCGUUCACGGGUAUUCCUUGUAGCUAUUACCUGCACCAACACCACCACCACCACAUAUAUAUGAAUUCAUAUUUUUUUAAAGCAUUUGUUAUCACGAGUUCUGCACUAGGAGAAAAUCAGUAUUGUGUUUGUGUAAGUAAACAUAGACCUCUCAAACCUCAAAACAUAUUCUCAUCACUCAUCCUAUUCCUAUGUUGUGAAUCAGAUUCUGUUUCAUUGAGUUCCACAAGUGCUUUAUAUUAUCUCAUUCCAAUUAACUAAUUAAAUAUAUUUAUAUAACAUCCAUCAAGUGCUUUAUGGAAAUGCAUUAUCAUUGUUUUUCAAAACAGAUUUGUUUUCGAAAAUAUUGGUUAGAUAUUAAUUCAAUGUCUUGCUAGCACGGGAGAGGUAUGAUAUGAGGUUAGGAAAAGCUGCAAAAACUUGAGAGAGAGAGAGAGAGAGAGAGAGAGAGAGAGAGAGACCUUAACCCAUGUCCUGUGGAGGUCAGACUCAUCAAAGCUAUUGAUAACUUCUUCCACAAAGUACUUAGUGGGGCUAAACAUCUUUUCCUCCUUUACUUGCUCUUCAAACUUCGCAAUUUUCACCCUCCCGUCAUUCAUCUUCCUUGUGUUACUUCCUGCAUCCAAAAUUGCUUCCAAAUAACCGUUUAACCAGUCGUUUCCCGCCAUCUCUCUCUCUCUACUCUGCUUUCCUGCCCUGUUUCACCCUCCUUGUUGUUUCAAAGACACAGGCAAGGCUGAACGCUACUGCUUCAAGCUUUGGAAUGUGAAAUAAGAGAUGUUUCAAUGGCUUAUAUAUACAAAUAUCAGUUCAUGUAACUAAAAGCAUUGAGAAAUAAUGAGAAUAUAGUUCAAAAGUUCAAUUCCUGGAAUCUUGUAAUUAGGGAAUAAAAUAAAAUAGAAUACUGCAAGUAUUAGAUUGCAAAGUAUAUCUCAUGUAUAUAUAUGGUUUGAUGCUGACUAAAAAAAAUUUAUGCUCUACAGUCUAGAGAGAGAGAGAGAGAGAGAGAGAGAGAGAGAGAGAGAGAUGGUUUCAAAGAAACUUGAACUUUGAAACCAUCAUGGGUGAAGAAGCAAAGCUCCUUAUAAAGGCUUCGCCUUUUAAAUUGGCACUAAUUUUAAUAUUCAUAUAUCUACAAAUUUGUCAAUAUGGAUUGGGUGGUUUUGGUUCUCUCAUUUUCGUGUAGAGGUUGAUCACACAAAUGAUAUAUUUAUUCUCUCCUCAACACUGGAAAAUGUUAUUUUGAAUUUACAAUGAGAAUCCAUUUCCAAUUAUACAAUCAUAUAUAGACUCCAACCGAUCUGAAUUUAAGAUGGGGCAUAUGAAAUUGAAAGAGGAAAACCGAAAGAAAAAAGGAGAAACAAAUGCGAACAUCAAUAUCCCACAAUGAAAAUUGAUAGUCCAUGUAUGCAUGUGUUAUAACUAGUAUCUACCUUGACACUUGUCAAAAAUGUCCACACGUUAGUACAAAAUAACAUUGGGAAUAAACUAUUCUCAUAUUCAAAAUGUCUGGAUGUUAAGUCGAUCGACUAGGUUAAAUUUUGUGAUAUUUUGUCUUUGGAUGUAUAUAUCGACAGCCCAAUUUUGUGUGUGUGUCCUUAUUUUAUUUUUUAAAAUUUAUGACUGAUUUCGAUAGAAUUACUUCAUUGUUUAUCUUUAACUCUAAAUCUUAAGCAAUAAACAUAACGAUAGAUAGAUUCUCUAACGAAGAAUUAUAUAAAAUAGUAAUAAAAUUGUAGCUCAAGUUAUUAAGAGUAUUUAUCAUUGCACCUGAGGUCUUAGAUUCAAUUCCCCACUUCCCAAUAUCAUUUAUAUAAAAUAAAAAAAUAUUAAAUAAAAUGUACACAAGACGAUCGACGGGGCGAUGGCACUCGAGUAUGGAUACCUAUAUAUGCAUUAACAUGACAAGUAGAAUACCUACCAAUAUACCCUUCCACUCCCUUACCGUUCCUUUUCUUUCCUUUUCCUUUCUUUUCUUUUUCCUCUUUUCAAAGUUUCAAUUGGGGCUAGGAUUGUGAAAGAUUGAUAAUAGUGUAGCACCAAUGGGCAAAAAGGCAUUUGAUAUCAUGUAAAAGAGAAGAGAAUCAUUUUUUGUUAUAAUGGUGGCGUGAAAGGGGACCUUUUGGGACUUUUACAGUACAUUUUUUGUUUUGCAUAUAUAAUUUUGCAUAUUGUCUGUCAACUAUUUUGGCAUGAGAGCAAAGAGACACUCUCGUUAAGUAUUUUUGUCUUCAUUGGCACAACAGACAAGUCUUUCCAUUCUCUAGUUAUUGGUCCGCUUCUCCUCCAAUCCCUUCUUCUAUAAAAUUAUUUUUCCACAAAUCAAAUGUAUUUUGCACUGCACUCCAUUUCUUAUGGGAGUUAAUUUUCACACUCCUCUUUUUUUUGUUUAUACUUUAUUUUAUUUUUUAGAACACUUCCAUCCAUUUAUCAUGGUAAAGGGCAAGGGGAGGCAAGGACUAUUACUAUUCACUUAAAUAGUGGCAGCCGUUGGAAAAGGCUUGUGGUGUUUCCGCCCAUUACCAUGGCAAUCACUAUUCACAUAAGAUAUGAUGAGAGGAAUUUGUAUAAAGUUUUGGUAUGGGAAGUGAAAAAUAUGACUACGUUUUUAUUUUUUUUAAAUUCUGAAAUUUUUUUUUUUUUUUUGGUUGCUGACCUCAGCAAACCCAAGGUAGAGCAAGGGCUAGUUUUGCCUAAGGGCCAGCCUAGGCUUGUGGAGCCCACACCCAACUCGGGCAAAAAAAGCCUGCUGGAACGCCUUUUUCUUCUUGGGGCCCCCUUGCCCGAGCCCUGGCUAAUCGAUGGAACUGCUUUUAAUACUUUUUAAUCAAUUUUGUUUUUUUUUUUGUUCUUUCUCUUUUCUAUUCUACUCUUAUCCUACAUUAAUAAAAUUAAAAAAAAUUUAACAUAAAAUAAAAUAAAAUAAACAAAAACGAAAAAAGAAGUUAGAGAAUCUUCUACUCCUUCAUCUUGUCUUUCCCACUCCUCCACCACAAAAACGAAACUCAGCCACUAUCUCCGACGAACUUGAGUUGUUUCCAGGGAAUACCAAAUUUUGGCAUAUGAAUCUACAAUAAAUUAUUUUUUCAGUCUUUUAUGAAUCAUGCUUUCCCCGUUUCUAUAAGAACCCACAAGAAAAUAUACAUAUUCAAUUUUUGAUGUGUUUGUUUUAAAAAAUUAAAGUAAAUUUAGGUUUUGACCACACAAAAACUUUUACUUUUGGAAAAAGCCAAAAUUUGUAAAGGAUUCCUUAGGAAAUCCAAAAAUAAAUAAGGGCAAUUUUGUCAAUUUAAACUUUUUUUUAAAAAAAAAAUUUCUCCUUUAGUCUUUUCCAAAGUCUUAACAUGAACUAAUACGGUAACCAUUAAUCAUGCCUCCUAAUUGGAAAAAAGCAAAGUCUUUGCAUACUAUUCUUUGCAGCAAAACAUGCAAUCCAUAAAACCACUUUUGACAGAAUGAAGGAAACCUUUAGGAAUUAAUCCUUAAGCUCAAGCGAGACAAUCAAAUGUCGUCCACAUACAAAUUUAUAUUUUUCUCGAAAAUAUUUAGGCAAAAAAAAAAAGGGGCUCUUAUGAUACGUGUUCACUAUUCAUUGAAGGCGUAGAAGACGCUCUCACUUCUUUCUUCUUCUCUUUUUUUGUUUAAUGUUUUAUUUUAUGUUAAAUUUUCUUAAUUUUAGUUAUCAAAACAUCAAUGUAGGGUAAGAGUAGAAUAGGAAAGAGAAAGAACAAAAUUGAUUAAAAAGUAUUAAAAAGCAAAAUGGAGUGUAAGUGGAGAAAAGGAGAGUGGGAAAAUGAACUCCCUUUUUAAAUCUUCAUAUUAUAUACAGCUAAAAUGUACGUUUUUUAAAAUUAAAUUUGAGUGUUAGGUUAGGCUUUAAUCUUACUUAAAACUAACUACCCCUUAAUAAAUUUCAGGUUUUCUAUAAAAGCAAAAUUCCAUUAAUUUUCGAGUUUACAUAGUUUAGAUAUAAACAUAUAGUUAGAAUCCUAUGAAUUGAUUGAAUUAAGAAUCAUAUAUUAAGAAUAAUUUUUAAUGAAGUUGCUUUACUUUUAUCAUGGUUUCGGAUAUAUUCCAGUUGGUAGUCGUAUAUCUAUCAUUUCUUUUCUAUGAAAAAGUUUAAGUUUAAAAUUUUUCACUCCUCAAAUGUUGUAAAUCAAAAAUAAUAUUACAGUUGAAUGAGCUUAGAAAAUAGGGGGGGUUUCUCACACACAUACAACCAAGAUACCAUGGGAAUUCGAAAUUGAGACUUCUAGUUUACAAAUCAAAGUCAUUUUUCACUGAACUAGACCCCGUUAGCAUCAAAGUUAAACUAAACAUUAACCUCGACAUAAGAGAAUAAUCACUCACAUAAGUGCUUUUUUCACAACUUUUUAACCUUUCCAAAAUAUUCCACUAAUUAAGUUGGCAUGCAUGGUAUAUUUGAGUGAACUAUCUAUGUAUCUUGUUGGGCAUCAGAUUCCUUAAAGCAAAGACAGUUGGCAGCAGAGGCUCAUAUUGUGAUCACCUUACCUAAAGAUUGAACUAAUUGUAGACAAAACAAGUAACAAACAAUCCAUAUAUAUGACCAUGAAAGCAGAGAAAAAGAGAAAAUAAAAGGAAAUAUAUAUAUAUGAACAUAAAAUAGGGCGAAGUAAAGGAAAAAAACAAAAGAAAACCAGAGGCUAGGAAAGAGAUGGUAGUGUAUGAACAUGGGAGUUGGGAAAGUUACAUCAAAAUGAUAAAGAGAUGAUGAAGUGGGCAUCGAUGAGGAAGUGAGCAUAAUAUGGGGCUCAAAACCGAAAGGGCAAAAUACCAUAGGAUAUUUCAAGGAAUAUCCUAUGUGUUUAGGACUCUGUCACGUUUCUGGCCAUUCAAUUCUUUUCCUCCUUUUUAUCUUCCUCUCUCACCCUCUAACCCUCCCAUCCCAUGACAUCUACGCCACUUGCACUUAUUGACAUUACAGCCACUUGAUAACAAAUAAUAGGGCUUCGAUGCGAUUGGUGUACAGUACUGAUUCUUUCUUCUUAAAAUUGUCGGCUUCUUUGCAAGAAACUUAUAACUCAAGUGAUUAAGAUUAUUUAUCUUUAUACAUCCGACUCCCAAGCAAUGAUAGAAUGCACAUCUAGGCCAUUCAUUCUAAAUAUUUUUCAAUUCUUAUAUAAAUCAUCGUCCAUCCAUAUAUACAAUUUAUUUAUUUAUAGUGGCUAUGGUAUAAAGCAUCAGACUUUUCUCAAGAACAAUCACAGGAUUAUUGUUGUUUCCCAGCACUGGAAAGUUCCAAUAUUCAUGACCUUAUCACUGGGAAUUUAAAGUUUACCAUUAAAGAAACAAGAAUACAGUGACUAAUUUUUUUAAUAAAGAAAAAAAAUCAAAGAAAAUAAUGACUAAUUUAAUCACAAGAAUAUCACUAAUACCAAAAAGUUGUUAUUUGGGCGAAGGAUGUAGCCCUUUAUAAAGUCCUAAUUUAACGCGUCCCCUCUACAAACACGUAUACAUGUCGCAAUUCCCCAAGUACAUAUUAUGUAGAAUGAAAUGGAUGGGACAUAUCGCACAAUCUCAGCUUUGAGGAAGAUUUACAACAAAGUUCAUUUAAUUAGGUUCUAAUUUCUUAAAAAGAAGUUAAUAAUAGUGUCCUGCCCAUUUGCCGACGGAGUUUAACUCAAAAGACUAUUGUAUUAACUUAUAGAUCAGUGGUAUUAUGUUUGAAUUCCAAUAACAUAUUGUCAUUGUAAAUAAGUAAGAAAUUAAAGAGGAGUAGUAGAAAAUACAUGAAGUCCGCAUAUACAAACAGAAAUUCUCCUAUGCGAACGUAUAGACGUUUUUAUCGUGCAAAAGUAGCAUUCACAUGAUAAUAACGUCCGCAUAGAAGAAGAACGAAGGAAAACAGAUUGGACAGUUUUAGUCCAACCCUAUGUUUGACAAUACGGCAUAUUUAUUUAGUUAAAAAUAAGAAUAUUGUAUUUACUACCUUGUAGCAUCCAUAGUUUGUGUUGGUUAUUAUUUUGUUGUUGCUGUCGACAACAAUGGAUGUUGUGUUGCAUAUGCAUGCUCUCUUUUGUUGUUUGGCUACAAGUACAACUACAUCAACUUGAUUGAAGAAGCCAUUAGCACCAGAAUUACUGCUACACGUGGAACUUGAAAAUAACAGUUGAACAUGUUUGUAUAACGAUGUAGAUUGUUUUUGGUGAGCCGGCUUCAUUCCAUGGUAGAUUGUUUACUAACAUCGGUCUGCAAGUGCAAGAUAUCAUCCAAAUCAUAUAACAAGCUAUUUAAUUUAAUUUCUUGUUUUCUUGUUAAUGGUUGCCGGGUCGGGGCUAAUGGAAGAGGAGAAGACUUUCUUCACUUGUAUGCAUAACAUCACAUUUGACGACUUUCUUCACUCCUAUGCAUAACAUUCCUUACAAACUCUCAUACAUAGAAAAUAUAGAAUAGAAGCCAACAUAACAUCUUCAUAUGAUUAAGCUCAAGAACAUAUCAGAUUUAAUGAGUCUGCUUGCUACCACAUCUAAAACAUUCAUUCAUUUCAUUUUCAGUGUUGUACGUAAACUGUCAGAGGCUCAAGAAGAACUAUAAAUUGUGAUUGUAAUUUCAUUUUAUUUUUACAGGUAGUGGAAUAGCAUGGAUCACAGGGGGAACCAAAGCUGGAACCUGUACAGGAAUUUUCCUCUUCAGGUCAUGUAAAGUCAGUGAUAUAUAAGAAGAACUUCUGCCGGCAACCCAAACAGUUUCUCAAAUGUUGGAUGAAUCCCUAUGAGGUAACCAUUGAUUCAAUUGAAGUUUUUAAACAUUCAGUAGGCACCACUAAGGCAGUACGACUAAAUGGCAUCGUAGUUUUAAAAUUCAAGCAAAUAAAAGAAAGAAGAGAUUGUGAUACAGUUUCCUCACCUUGUUUCCAUCAUCAUCAACUAGCCCAUGAUUGUUUCAACUCCUUUGUUUUUGUCAAAAGAAAAAUUCUCGACUGCAACUUUGGCCGACAAGGAAGGAACAAGCUUGCUCUCUCAGGGGACACCCGCCUCUUGGAGUUCAGAAAAUUGAUCUCGGGUGGCGUAGUGGCAUAGCUUGGUGAAAGGGGCCAUCCAAAUCAAAAAGUUCCACAUCUAGCAAUGGAGGUUCUUCCGUGGCAUCAAACGCAGGUAUCUCUGCCCCAUUUUUACAAGGGCUGUAAGUGAAGUUAUUGGUAAACAGAAACUGAUAAAACAAGAAAAAGUCCUCUCCAUUUCAUUCAGGUUCACUAGUUUGAAGCUUGACAGAGUUUGUUGUUGUUUCAACAUUGCUCGUGAAUCCCACGUAGGGUUAUUAGAUGCAAUAAAAUUAGCAACCUAGGAAGUCAAGAAACUUAAAAUAUGACUUGGUUAUUAGAUGACAUCACAAGUAUCUUGCAUAACAAGCAUUCAACAUUGUUGUAUUUCGGGAAAAUGCAUUACAACUGGUGGCAACAUUUGAUGCUUCAAAUUUAAUGAAUUUGCUCACUACAGAAAGUUCAACUAAAACUACAUAAUUAUAAAGGACACAAGCUUUUCUACAUAUUACCAUAAAGCAAACCUUAAAUCUCACAACUAUUGGACUGAAAGAACAAAACUUUAUAAGGCUUCCACCUCUUCCAAGCUUGAAUGGAUACAGGAAAUAGAAGUAAAAAGAAAGUGAACAAAAGAAACAGAAAGGAAUAGCAAGACAAAUUUUUUGCAGCAAAUUGCACGAAAUCAUAGCUGCUGGUCAAGAAUAGGGUCUCUAGCAGUUCUUGGAGAUCCAAUAUAUUCAGACACACCAGAAACAUAAUCCUUCAACCAGGAAGUGCUGCGUGUCAACCAUCCUGUUUCUUCUCGUUCUUGUACUUGAAGCAUGCUCUUCCUUUCUUCUUCCACCAGUAUCUCUAACCAUCUCUUGGCCAUGAAAACCUUGACAGCUUCCACACCUUGUUGAACUACGUCCGGGGGUGGAAGCACAAGAGGGUUCCCAUCCACAUUAAGUUUGGUCAAAUUGUCCAGGCGGCCAAAAGUAUCUGGAAGAGCAUGAAUCUGAUUGUUGCUGAGGUCAAGUUCCUUGAGGUUGGUUAAAUCACCGAAAGUGUCGGGCAGCUCUGUGAGAUCGGUAAAAUUACUGCAGAGAUUGAGGAUUUGAAGAUUGGUCAACCGGCCAAAGGCUAGAGGAAGGCCGCGGAGCUCAUUGAAGUGAGCAUCCAAGUAGCGCAAGGACCUCAACUCACAGACAGAGGUGGGAAGGGAACGUAUUUUGUUUAAUUGGAUAGAAAGCUUCUGUAGAUUGACCAACUCAAAACCAAUGUUGGUUGGCAAGUAUGUGAGGCCGUUGAAGCUCACAUCCAACUCCACCAAUGACCUAACCACAUUUCGCAAAACCAAACUACUAAUCAUUCCAUUUCUCACUCACUCAUACACACACACAACUCAGUCUUACUUAUUGUUAUAUUGUAAUAAUUAAAGAAAAACAAGAUACAAGCUUUACAAUUUUUUAGAAUUUACCUGCAUUGACAGAUAGAGUCAGGAAGGGCACUUAGCUUGUUCCCAUAGGCACUCAGGACCUUCAAAUUCUGCAACAUCCCGAUUGAGUCUGGCAGUGCCUCCAGAAGAUUCGAAGACAAAUUUAGCUCUUCAAGCUUCUCUAAUCCAGCUAUUGAAUCAGGAAUUACCUGUUCAAAAUUGAUUUUUUUUUCCUUAAUUCAAUAUUAACAAGUUAAUUAAAUCAAAUCAAACCAAAUGAAAUGAAAUCUAACCUGGAGUUCAUUAUUGGAAAGAUCGAGCAUAAGCAAACCGCGAAUCCGGCCAAAGGCCUCGGGCAAGAACCGCAACCGCCGACCGGAGAGGUUGACCCUGUCCAGCUCGGUUCCGGAGGCCUCCUGUAGAAUCCCAACCACCUCCUCAUGGACUUGGUCGCUGGUGAAACCCUCCUCCUCCACCUUGUCAUCUUCGACGAUGACGCCGGCCUCGGCCGACUCGUAAAUCUUGACGAGCCUCUGCUCGGCGUCCUUGAGAAGCUUCUCGUAGGCGGAGUGCAACUCAUCCAGCUGCACAAUCGCCUUGUAACCUUGUUUCUCCUUCUCCGCCGACUCGCGGCACUCCUGCUCUCUCUCCGCAAGGUGGGCCCGCCACUGGAGUCGGUCGACGUCAGCAGGGCGGGGCGAGAGAACGAGCUCCUCUAGCUUCUUUGCCAAAUCGGAAUCGACGGCGGCGAGCCUGGCCUUGGAAACGUCGACGGCCUCGUGGUCGGGGCGGUCGCCGAGGGUUUUGAGAACGGAGCGGGUCUGGGAGACGUCGGAGAUGGCCCGGGUCAUGGAGGCGAGGACCUUGGGGUCGGACAAGUGAGGCAUGUGGUCAACGAUCGUGGUUUGAGAGGAGGAGGAGGAUGGAUCGGUGGAGGAUUUGGAUGGUGGUUGUGGGUGGGCGUCGAUGUGGAUGGAAUGGAGGUCAGAGGCGAUGGGGGUGGUGGGUGCGGUGUGCUUGGUCCCCAAGGAGGGGAGGCGGUUCAUGACGUAGGAGAGGAUGGGGAAGUUGGACGGGUUGGGAUCCAUUUGGGUCGUGUCGGAGGAGGAGAAAGUUGAGUGGAUUGAUUGAUUGAGUUUGAGAAACACAGAGAGAGAGAGAGAUAGAGUGGUGAGGAGAGGAGAGUUGAGAGUUGUGAAGAAUGAAAAUGGGAUGAGUAAUUAACGUCGUUUCGUUUGUGAAGAAGGUAUGCCCGAUUUUGGAUAUGGGUUUUUGAGGGCGUAGAUAACGGAAUUAAUGACGGACUUGACGAGGUCAGGUUUGAAUUUGAGAAGCUCAUCGUGGGGUGGGGAGGAGAGAGAGACUGUACUGGAGUAUGAAUAUAAAAUUAGAUUACAAGUGUCCAAAAUGAAAAUCUCAUCGUGGCUUUUGCUCAUACAGACUCAUGUCCAAGGGCUGAUCCACGUUAAGGCUACACUGGACUCCAGCCCAGUGAUGAGUAUUGUGAAAAUGAAAUUAGGCUUAAUUGUAUAACUCAAUCCAGGCAAAUCAAAAUAGUAGCCCACCCCAAUGUAAAGAAAUCACCACAGACAGAUACCAUCUAGACAGCCCAACGUGAGCAUCCUUAUUAAAAAUUCAUACAGCCUCAACCACUACUUUAGACCUGUUUAUGCCCGAAACAACCAUCAAUGAGAGCCUGACACAUGGACAGAUUGGGCAUCGGUAGGGAAGCCCUCGGCACCCACACUUGCCGAUCUCACGGUCAAAACCCCAAUCACCCACCGGACACGUGGCGCACUCAAAGUAAAUAUCUACAGUCCCACAUCGAAAUUCUACACAACUUGCACACCUUCCAAGGUCUAUAAAAGGAGCACAAUUCCCCAAAAUGGAGGUAAUCUGAACUCUUGGCAUACUGCCUAUAGGCCUGUUCAGUUCGCUUACUAAAUCCGUACUUACUUAAGCAUCGAAGAGCUUUCGGUCAGUACCACACUAGUGCCCUAGGUCUUACCGAGUGAAUACUCUUCUGGCAGGAUUCACCUCUGCGAGGUCCAGCAAAAUCAGAAGGCCUAGACAUCACUAAGUUGAGCCCAAAAGUGCUCAAGAUAGACCUAUUCCAAUGAAUUCUUCGUCUAGAUAGACCUAUCCCCUUCAGAUCAUUAAAAAAAAUAGACCAAUCCCGACGAAUUUUUCUUACAUGAUUUGACAUUCUUAUUAUUUUAUUUUGAGGAGGAUAAUGCUUCCCUCCUUGCCUAUAAGAAGGAAUUUCUCCUUACCUAUUAACGAGGCUCAACCACAAUCUGACACGUGUCUCUCUUUCUAUAAUUAAUUAAAAUGAAAAAUAAAUACACCUUUAAAAAUAAUAAUAAUAAAAAAGAACUGUGAGUUUGUGAUUGAGUCACAUUAUUAGUAGGUAAGGAGGAGUCCCUCUUAUUAACAAAUGAGGGAAGCAUUAUCAUUUUGAAGCUAUCUGAAGCUUGGCACAGUAAAAGGCAUAGAGAAAAAAGAUAAUCUGACAUGUAUGUAAAAAUGAUUCAUCAAAAACAUAAAAAAGAGAAUCCCAUGCGUUGUAGUCUUCAAAUUUUGAAGCCAAGCAUGGCCAUGAGACUGAGAACCGUUGCACAAGCAACGGCAAGGAGGCCUCUCUCUUUCAUGAUCACCUGGAACAAGUAGAUUGCGACAUCAGCGGUGAUGAGCUUCCCGCGUCGAACCAAAACCCGACGACGAUUCCCGGCAAAUGUUAGCAGCACAAGCACUGUGAUCCACGCCAUCAUGGUCGUCCGUGCCGCGAUCACAACCAAUGCUAGUACCAUCAACGCUCCCAGAACUGGGAGUAAGAGGACUGUGAUGUGGUCGUUGUAGAACAGGAGGACCCACAGAGAUGCCAAGAAAGACAGCAAGAACGUCGUGGUUGCAGCUGCUUGUGUUCUGGACAAAAUCAUGGCUGAGGCUGAGGCUGAGGCUGGGGGAUGGGUGAAAACGAAGGAAGGAUCGAUCACCAGGAUGGCUGAGGCUGCUUGUGUUGGGGUUGGUUUUUAGUUGUGUUGAUUAUUUUAGUUGAAUUGGAAAUAAUGAAGGAUGUGCGCGCACAUGGGUGGGUUGGCAAUGGGCCAAUGGCAUGGCAGAUGAACCUACCAACCAAACCAACCAAGCUCAAUCACAUUAUAGCGUCCGUUGAGCCAACUUAAUGAUGGUGGACCUUAAUUUGCCAGCGGCCCCUGUAUAUGUAUAUAUAUACACAAUUCAUUCAUUGCCUUGCUUCAGUCAGAGCUGGAGAUAGACGCAUACAGAAGAAAUGGACCAAAACCAAAAGCAGCUAGCCUCCCCACAUCUUUCAUGGAGCCUCCGCCUCUUCAUGUCCUCCUUUUCCUUCGCCGUAGACGCCUCUCGCCGCUCAAACGGCACUCUCAACCGUUGUUUCAUCAACCUCCUGGACUUCAAAUCCCCUCCUCUAACGAAACCUCACAAAAACCUCAAAAGCUCUGACGUCAUCGUCGACUCGUCCCGCAACCUCUGGUUCCGCCUCUACACUCCCACCGCCUCCCAAUCCGCCACCACCCUUCCCGUCAUCGUCUUCUUCCACGGCGGAGGGUUUGCGUUCAUGGCCGCCAACUCAAAACCUUACGACGACUUCUGCCAGAAGCUCGCUCGCGAACUCCCAGCCGUCGUGGUCUCUGUCAACUACCGCCCCACUCCUGAGCAUCGGUAUCCGUGCCAAUACGACGACGCACUCGACGUCUUGAAAUUCAUGGAGAACGACGGCCACUACUUUGAGGGCGCGAAUCUCAAACAAUGCUUCCUCGCGGGAGACAGCGCGGGUGGAAACAUAGCGCACCACGUGGCGCUCAGAUAUAGCGGACACGUGUUCCAGAAUCUGAAGGUUGUUGGGAUCUUGUCGAUCCAGCCGUUUUUCGGAGGAGAGGAACGGACGGAACCCGAAAGGAGGCUGGUGGGAGUGCCGAUAGUGAAUUUGGAGCGGACGGACUGGAUGUGGAGGGCGUUUUUGCCGGAAGGGUCGGAUCGGGAUCACCCGGCGGCGAACGUGUUCGGACCCAAAUCGGAGGAUAUAUCGGGGUCGGAUUAUCCGGCGACGAUUGUGUUCGUGGGAGGAUUUGAUCCGCUGCAAGAGUGGCAGAAGAGAUACUACGAGGGGUUGAAGAAAAGCGGGAAAGAAGCUGAGCUGGUGUAUUAUCCGAACGCCAUUCAUACUUUCUAUGGUCAUCCGGAGUUAGAAGAGCGUGCUGCUUUUUUUAACAAAGUCAAAGAUUUCGUGCAAUUGCAAAUUGUAAGCAGACAGAACAUAAAAUAGGAUAUCAUUCAGGAGGAUGAUAUCAUAUAUGAAUGGUAGGGGCCAUCCAUAGUGGUUUUGUUUAAGUGGCUAGUUAAUGAUUUUCUUGCAAUUUUAGUCAAAAUUAAUUUAAGGAAAGGAUUCCGAUUACCAUUCCAGUUCCAGGUAGCUCUCUCAUAGAAAACCUUUCAUCUCAUUGGCGGUCUGUAAAAGCCUUUCACUCAUUCACGUCACGUAAUAAAAAAGAUAGACACAUAACUACAGUUAAGGAAAGUCUCACAGACGAAGUUUUUCUCCACAAGUAAUGGCACAACACCUGACACGCAUGCUCGAUGUCCACACACAAGAGAUAUAUGAGAUUAGCAAAUAUUAUAGCUUUCUUAGGCCAAGUUUGGGAUUGCUGUCGCUUUUAAAAAAAGUUGCUUCUACUGUGCUUUGAAAAUAAUUAACUGUAAAAUAAAGCAGCUCCACAUUUGGUAAACAAUAUUUUUAAAGUGCUGUUAGUACAAAAAACAGUGUCAAAACCGUUUGGUAAAUUUUAAUAUAAAAUUAUUGUAACUGUGAAUAAUGACUAAAAUAGAUAUGAUGUUAAAAGUAUUAUGUACUAAUCAUGUGGUGGUAGUGGUAGUGAUGGAGUGGAGGUAGUGGUUGUGAUGAAGGUGGAGUUGGUGGUUGUGGUAGUGGUGGUGGUGGUGGUGGUGGUGGUAGUGGCAACAUGGUGGUGGUUGUGGUGUUGGUUGUGGAGGUGGUAGUGGAUGUGGAGGUUUUGGAGGAGGUGGUUGUGGUGGUUGUGGAGGUUGUAGUGGAUGGGGAGGUUUAGGAGGAGGAGGAGGUAGUGGUGGUGGUGGUGGUGAAGAUGGUGGUUGUGGUGGUGGUGAUGGUGGCGACGGAAGAUGAGGAGGAGAAGGAUGUGGUGGUGGUGGUGGAGGAAGUGAAUGUGAUGGUGCAAGUGGUGGAGUUGGAUGUGAAAGUGGAGAUGGUGUCAUUUUUUCAAAUGAAUUAUGAUAUUUUGGGAAUUAAAAAAAUUCAUUAAAAAUUCAUCUCUGCUUCUUUUGAAAACAACUUUGAAAAACAACCCAGACCUGCUUUUAAAAGCUUCUGUCAAAAGGCUAUUGCUUUUAAAAUAAUCGUGAUAUUUUAUUUUUACCGAACACCCUAAAUUGCUUAACUUUAAAGUGAAUCAGAUUUUUAGCCAAAAGAAAAAAAAAACAAUCCCAAACGGGACCUUAGUAGAACAUUAUAUACAACUACAUAGGUCUGUUGAAACGCUAUAAUUAUUAAGCUAAAAAUACAAAUAUUGCAUAAUUUCCCCCAAAAGAAAAAAAAAACUCAGAUAUUGCAUUGAAAAUUCAGCUCCGUACUCUCCAAAUCCAAGUUCAAUAAAUAAAGCCCUCUGGUUCUCAUCUAUGGGUUCGUUGUAUCAAGCACUACUAUUGUGCACUUCGCUUCCACCACAACAAUCAACAACGCCAUCACUUCCAAUCUGAAAUCACCUCCUUUUCACAAUAUGACCUGUCAGAAAACUGUAAUAUUUCACAUCCAACAAUACUCGAGUACAUGUAUCUUUACGAUUCUUGGGUUCUUUUCAGGGGGGGAAAAACUACAAUUUUCAUAAAGGAAUUAACUAUUUACAAAUCAAUGAAAAUUGGAUAAUAAAUCACAUCCAUAAAUCACAAAAAUGCAGUGGCCGGCCGGUCAACUGUAUUAUUUGUUGGAAGUUAAAUAUCAACUGUAACGGGAUCUAUCAAUAGACAUAUCGACAAAAUAUCAAUCUCAAGAAAACCUUAGACGGAAAUUUUGAAUCAAAUGUAUUAACACUGCUGGAAAAAAAGCAUCGAGGAUAUUAUAGGUCUUUAAUACUGUUCGGACACAAGUCAUUACAUGAUUGUUGAUAUAAAUGCUGAAACACAAGUCAUUACAUGAUUUCCCUUUUAUGUCAAUCUAACAACAGGACUAAUAUUGUUCAUCAUGAACGUAGUAGUGCUGGGAAGUUUUUUUUUUCCCACCUAAAGUAAUAGUAGUUAUCUCUGUAUUAGCUAUUCCUAAAAGAAAGUUACCGUAAGAAUAAUAUAAAUGAGAGACAAGGCACCUAUCAGUUUAUUGAAAAACUAAAAUAAUAGAUAGCUGGCCAACACCAAUAUGUCUGUCAUAAGACAGUAUGAUAUGGCUACUUGUCCUAGUCAAAUUAAUAAGAAUAAUUUACCCUAUGCUGCUCCUACUACCAUCAAGAAGAAUCAAGUAUACCAACCUUUCUCAACCACUCAUCUCCUGGUUUUAUCAAGAACCUCAAUGAAUCUCUUUGGGAUCCCAUAUUGUUCAAUCAUAUGCUUUGCCAGAUCAUCAAUCACACCACCUUGAACCACAACCUCAUGCCCUUUCUUACCUGAAAAGAGAAAUAUAAAUGUAUGUUCAUAAGAAAACCUAGGAAGGGAUCCUCAAGAAGCCACAAUAAGUACUAUUCCCAGACAACCAAACUUGCAAGAUGCAUUUCGUACUAUCGGAGAAAUUGUAUCAUCAUACAAUAAACAAGAAGAAACAACAUUUACAUGACUAAUAGGAGCACUAAUAUUCGAACCCCCCACCACCCAAAAAAAAAAAAAGAGAACCACACACUCUUACUUGGUAUGGGGAACACAGGACCAUCAUGUUUUCAAAUAUAGAAAAACAAAAAAUAAUCACCUCUGCUUAUCAUCAACAAAAGACAAAUAGAAAGGCAGAAAUGUAAUAUUACCUACUGAAAACUUUCCACAGAGACAUUAAUUUUUCUAAUAAAUGGCUACAUAAACAUUCCAAGUCAUGAAGAGAAAAAGUUACGACCCAACAGACAUUCAUUCAGGGACAAUGGAGCACUGCACCUGGUAGUUCAACCACUGUUGUGCUGCAAGCAAACUUCUUCUGUAGCUCUGAUGCCAAAGCUUCAGGGUCCACCAAAAAAGUUUCCAGUCCUGACAAUUUGGUUACUUUCUUAUUACCUUGCCGCCUUUCUGUCAUUAUUUGUAUUGUUUUCAAACCACCUUUACGAACAACCGACUCACUUCCCCUCGUCACAACAUGAUGGGCUUGCAUCCGGUUUACAAAUGCUGCUCCUAAAUCCCUCUUAUGAAUUUCCGUUGGGUACAUUGUACCUUUUUUUAUGGCUCCUUUGAACAGUGCAUCACAUAAUAUUGGAUCCAAAACCACAAUGGAUUUAUCUGUCUGCUUAACCAAGUUUUCUUUUUCAACAUAUGUAAAGACAAUAUCAGUGGCCUCUGAAGCACUGUAAAGUUUUCCUGUGUCAGCCCCUACAGAAGCUAAUAUGGGAUUUACGUGUACACUUGGUUUAUAGACCUCGACCACUUCAAGCAUUUUGAGUGACCGACUUUCACUGACGGUAGGAACACCAGUUUGAACAGUUUUCUCCACUUGCCGUUUCUCUGGCUUGAAAGAUGAGUAAUCUGGAUGCUUGCGGUUAACGGAUAAUAAUAUGGACUCCUUUUUAUAUUUAUCUUCUUUCACCGUAAUCUGCGCAUGUUUUGAAGCCAACAUAGCAUGAGCAACGAGAAUAAAGAUUCAUCUAAAAAACUUAACUGUAAAAAGGCAUAACAGUUACAAGAACAUCAAAAUUCAAUCACCUGUCUCUGUUAAACUUCUCUACUUAAUCAAGGUUAUCACCCCCUUUCAGAACAUACCAGAGAUUUAUUAACAAGCUAAGCAUAAAUAUCAACAAGACUCAAAAGUCACAACUCAGUACUGCUUCCAAAAUACAACUUGCCAUCUACGCAUAAAUUCACAGAAAAGGUGCCCAUGAACCACUAUUCUCCAGUUAUAGAUAGCUAAACUAAAAUGAAGAAAAUCAUGCCUUCUUUUUUUAUCAGCAGAAUGGAAAACUAAAGACAACAAAAUUGAAAGACAAGUCAUCAAACGAAGAAAUGCACUGCUGAAACCAAUAAAGGAAGACCAUAUGACUGAUCUUGGAAUUAAAGUUUUUUUUUUUUUUUGCUCACUGUAUACUUCUUUUUCAUAAUGCUCGUAGAAACUUAGGAUAAAAUCUUUUUAGUCUCUCUUCCAAGUUCCAAAGCAAUCCUAUUAACAUAGCUGAGACCAAUAAUGCCACUCAUAACUCUCAAAAAUCAAUUUAACUUGACACAUAAGAAUACCUCUGAAAACAUUUAAACUUAAUUCUUCAUGUAUGCCUGACUAUAAUAAAGCACAACCUUAAAUUUACUAGAAUACAGAUUUAUAACUAUAAAUAAGUACUGUUACAACUUUGUCCGUGCUUGCUAAAGAGUAAGACUCACAACUUAAUUCAGCAUCCUAUUCAUUACUAUCACUUGGUGCUCUUACUACAAGACCACUUAGAAGUUUAGAACUCAUUGGCUUGCAAAAUCAAGAAAACUAGAGGAUAUCCAAUAAGAUACGAGCUCCCAAAAUGACAAGGUUAAAGCACUAAAAGGGUUCUCUUUCAAGGAGAAGAAAAUGAAAAGCUGUACGCACCAAUCCCGUAGAAGAUUUAGCUUGUAACCACUUCGAUAAUUUUUUGUAUGAUGAUUUCUUGAUGUCUAGUGUGAUCCCGGAAGGCCUACAAGGCAAAACAUGGUUUGACCUGUAGAAAACAAAAAACAAAAAACAAGUGAAGGAAAUUUUAUAAAUCAAAUGUUUACACCAGAGAGAGAGAGAGAGAGAGAGAGAGAGAGAGAGAGAGAGAGAGAUCAUGUGGAACAAAUAUAAUAUAUUUAUCAUACCAAAGUGUGCUUCCAGGCAUGGGAAGGUCUUUAUCCUUAACAGUUGUAUGCAAUGCUUGCAAAAGGCAUUUUUCUAAAAGCGUGUCUACAUCCUCAGUGGAAAGAGGAUGUUGAUCCUCCCCAAUUGACUGAUCAGCAGAGCCAUCAUCUGUUACCUUCAGAUCGUCUACAUGUGCAGCUAUUUCUUCAGCAAUCUCAUUCCCAGAAUUGGUCUGUGCCACCGAAGCAGAACUAGGUUCAGAGAGCACAUCAGCAACAUCAACAGAUUUCCCAUUUUCCUUAUCACUGAUGCCAUUCUGUUGAUCAUUUGAACUAUAAUUUGCACCAGAGUAUGAAUCAGAAACUUGCAAUGAUGACAAGGUAGGAUCCUCAAACACAACAUCUUCAAAAAACCCGGCAUUUGGCACAUAAGGACACUCUACUGAUUCCCUGGAAAAAGAUCCCACAAAAAAUGUUAUUAUACAAAAUGUCCAAUUAUUGAUCAAUCUCUAUGUCCGUUUCUCCACAGAUACCUACCAAAGUAAGUCAUGGUAAUAGUGCAUAAUCUUUAAGGCCUUUCCUCGUAAGCCAGCUUUUGCUGCUUCAGUACUGCUCAUAGUGGUAGUCCCCACCUGUAGUGAAAUUGACAAAUAAGAAGAAUAUGCCCUAAUUUUAAUUUAAAUAAAUAAAUGAACUGAAGGUUUGUCCUGGUAAUCCUAAAUGCAUUAGCAUAUACUUAUUAAAAAGAGCCUUACAGCAAUUGGAGCUGGAUUUCCUGGAACUUUUACUGCCCAUGCUUCCCCUGCUAUAAAUGAAGGUAGACCUUCAGCAGGUAUGCUGAUACCAGGGAACAUCAAAUCCGCCCCUCCAAUGAUAUAUCGAGAAACCUCACCCCCUUUCAGGACGAAAGAAGGCAAGAGAUCAGGGACCUUCCAGAGCGCAUAAACUGAAAUGGAAAACCAUCAAGCAAACAAAAAUUGUGAUUAUGUUGCACAUAUGCUCUGACUAGCAUAUUUUGCAUGAUUGACCACAUUCGACCAGAGAGACUUCUUCAACUUUUUAUUGACCCAAAUUAGGAAGUAAACAACCAAGUCCUAUGUUUCUUCAGCUUUGUACAUUCUUUUAUAGAAAUUAUUAAUAAUUUAAAUUGCUUUACUUAUAGUUUGGCGUCACUCUUAUUCCAAACCAAAUUAGGGGCCAAACUUCUCGGCAAUUUUCAUUUAUUUCCUUUCUGAAUUACCCGUAGUAGUGUGCAUGUGCAGUGUGUUCUAAAGAUUUUUAAGAUACAAAUCCACUUAACAUUAAUUUGGGAUCAUGCCUCAACACUAUUGUGAGAAAAGAUUGCACUAUAGAAAGAUUGUACACUCACAUGGUAACCUUUCAAACAUAACUUCUACAACUUAUAACACAAUGUAACCCAAUCAAAAAAACACUUAAACAAGCCAAACCAGUUCCAAAGAGAAAUAAAUACAGUUAUUUAAAAAAUAAGAAGAAUUAAUUACACUUUGGAACUUCAAUAGAUUAGUUAAUUUAACGUGUUCAGUUCGUAACUAAAUCUUUCACUAACAGGAAACAGGAACUCAAGUAGUCAUGUGACAGCAUGAAAAGUAGUUCACAUUAUAAUUUGUUUCAAAAAAGUUUCUCCAUAUAACAACCAAAUUGCGCAUCAUGAAAUGCAGGAAAUUUAGAUUUAUAUAUAUAUAUAUAUAUACAGAGAGCUUCCAUUGAGGGACGCCCUUGUAGGGCUCACUUCGCAUUGUAUUUCGCUAAUCCAAACCGUCUAUUUUUUAGAUAAUCAUUCAAAGAUCAUCUCUACAAAAAAUCACUUGAAUUUGAUAUCAUUUGAACAUUCAAUUGAGUUAUUGAAAUUUUAGUACUUUCUUGAAGCACCGUGUUCAUUGAUUUUGUAGGACACGAUUGGAUGUCGAAACGGUUUCCAAUUUGUCUAAUUUUUUGCAAGAAUGAUCUAUGAAUGUAGACUUAAAAAAUAGAUGGUUUGGAUCUUUGAAAAAAAUUUCGUAGGGGACCCUAAAGGGUGUCCCUCAAUAGAAGGGGGCUGUGUGUAUGUAUAUGUAUAUAUAUUAGUAGACAUUAUUUGUUUGAUUAGGCUCUCUUUCGAGAAUUAUCAUAGCAAUCAAAGUAGUGUCUUUGAUACACAUACUCAAACAGAAAGUUAAAAUUAUCGUCUUCAUACUUCUUGGUGUCAUGCUAGCAUCAACCUCAUUCAAAAGAACUACCUAGUCAAGUGUCGCACAUACUAGAAAAAUAUAGUAAGGCUAAAAACCAAACUAAACAUUAAGGAAAGAAUAUUUGAAAAAGAUGGUGUGAUACCUGUGGGAAAAAUGUCUGUGCCACGCCCAUCAAUAUCAAAGAAGAUAGGAAAGCCUCCCUCUACACCAUAUACAUGGACUCGAUUUUGAAAUUUUGCAACUGCUAUCUCCACCUAGAAGAUUACUUUCAUAAAAAGGUGCAGUUGUCAGUAAUGAAGCUAUUUUAUCCAAAAUAAAUCUAAUAUCAAAACUUCCCCACACUUAUUUCUUUUGUAAUUCGUACUGGAUGUUUCAUUAUCAACUCACUAACUUAAGAAUAAUUGCAUUCUGGUUAUUAGUACAAUCACUCACUGCAAUUGGCAAAAACUAGGUGCAAAAUUUUAGUCAGAAUGCAGUAAUUUGAACUCAGGGCACCAGUACAAAUGACAACCAAAACAAUGGAAAAAGAAGUCUACUAAACCCUCAACUAGAAUAGGAUUAGGCUAAUUUUGAAAAUCGAAAUGCAUACCAAAGUGCAUUUCGUGAAAAUUUUAAAAUUCAAAACUAGAAUAGGAUUAGGCCAAUACUAACAUUCUGGUAAACAAGGGAAAUGGCUCCUAUCUAAAAUGCUACACUACUACAUGGGAUAAAUAAAUAAAUCCUACUAAUCCGAACAGGAAUAAUAGAUUAUCCAAACUCAUCAUAAGUGUUUAAGAUUAAACAAAAACCUUAACCCCGCUUUCAACUACGCUUAAAAAACAAACCCAGAAUUCAUUUACCAAUCAUUGGAAGUAUUCAAAUUUUUCGAAAGUAACAAGAUAUAUACAUCAAGGCAGCACUAAAACUCGAGGAAGCAGAAAAACCCAGAAACCUACUGAACCCAUUUCGAAAUGAGAAAUGCCAAGCAAUCCCAUUACCCAAUUAAUGGAGAAACAACAUACAAAAUCUUGAAUUGAAAGACGACCUUGGGAGGGAGUAAAGAAUCGAUAUCGGACUCAGAAGCUCCGGGAAAUUUGUUUUUGAGGCUUCUCUUAAGCUUCUUCCUAUCAGCCCCUGACAGUCUCUGGUGCGACCUUGCUUCCACUGCCUUCUUGAACAUCUUUGUUUCUCAGUUCUUCUUUCUUUUCUGAGAGUGAGUUUUCACAUUUCAGGCAUGUGCUUGUGUUUGCGCUGUUUAGACAGAGUAGAAGGUUCUGGGCAAAAACUGCUAGGGCGGUGCUGUUAGCCCUUGGGCUUAAAAACAUAUAGUAAGGGGCUGUUAAAUGCACCCAAUAAUUCGAUCACUGCACCGGCCCGAAAAUAUACCCGAACUCUAUUUGGGCAAACACCUAAUACGAGUUAAACCCAAAACCAAAUGUGGGUUUGUGUAUAAAACGUGGACAUGCCUUAUCUAAUAAGUACGAGUCAUUUUAUUACGAGGACUUUAUCUAAGGUCAUUAGAUGGGGUCAUAUCUUUUUUAUUUGAUUAAACUAACUAAUUUAAUUCAAUGGCUAACUAAUUUGAUUUAAUAAUUAAGAGAUAAGAUCUCAUCUGAGGUUGUGCUAGCCGCACAAUUGUGGUUGGGCUAACUCAGUGUCAAACUUGCUUAUCAAAAUUUGUGUCAUUUGCGCAAGCAGUCUAAUGUGAUACUGUGAUUCUUGGGUUUGUGAUUUUAUUUGAAACUAAUCCCUAAAAUUGUUUAUUUCGUUAGGUAGGUUGAGAGGAAAUGCAAACCUUGAGCUUUCUUAACCUAAUCCCUAAAUUAGCAUUUCUUUUUAAGCCAAAAACAAAACCAACCUUUGUAAAGGGCAAUGGGGGAAUUAAAUUAUUGUUGUAAAUGUGAGAUAAAUAGACUUGUAUGAUCACAAACAAUCUCACUUUCAUCCAAUUAUUGUAUUAUGUCCUCUCUUGUCUUUUUGUUGGUCAUAGUUGUAUCUUCUCGGUUUUCUUAAUGUAACUCCUACCAUCACAACUCUUUUUUUUUUAAUGUAAGCGAUAGUCUACACCGAGAUGAGAGUUUGUCACACAUACUACCAAAAAUGUCAUGAUUGUUCAAACUUGAGAUCACUGUUGUGUAAGUCAAUGCAUUUUUCCACUAGACUAGACCCCAUUGCCCACAACUUUUCUUUUAAGUCAAACUCCUCCCAUCACAUUAUACAAUUGAGAAUUGGGUUAAGCUUUGACCAAAAAAGAAAAGAAUUGAAUGAGCUUUGACCAAAAAAGAAAACAGAUGGGUAAGCAUGAGUUAGAAUGAACAUGAUGGUGUGUGUUUACUGUUGCAUAAUUACAUUACUACAAGUCAAGAUCAGGUGAGGGCAAGUGCAACAAAGAAGAUAAAGAAUCCAAGAUUCCUCGACAACACAAUCUAAAGAUAUAGAGAUUGGCCAAAUCAUAUUGGUUGAAUAGUAUUGGUUUCAAUGUGAGGUAAAAAACAAACCGGACCGAAUCACACCCACCCUUAUUAGCAAUCAUGGCUGACAGGAAGUGUUGGUGCUAAAACUAAACAGAUAUAGAUAAGAGUAACUUACAGGUGAUGUGGACGAUUGGAGAGGGGGGUGGCGAUUGUGCCUUCAGUCAGCACGUUUUUCCUUGGUUGGCGAUGCUUGAUCUAGGCCAAUAAGAGAACAACAAAUGAGGACUAAAGCAUCGGUGUGGUACCGGCCGAAGACCCUUCGAUGUUAAAAUUAGUUUAAAGAGCAAGCUAUUGACAAUGCAAGAGCAUAUGAGUAAAGUCGAAAGUCUUACCCUAUAUCUAGGGCAAGAGGCCAUAUUUAUAGAGAGUGUUGGGCAUUCCCUUAGUACUUAGUUUCAACGUGGAACCCAUGUGAGUGUCUUUUAAGGUUGACACGAGUCCCAGCAAAUAUCCCAGCAGGGGAUUCGAGAACGUCUCACAAGAUGUCUUUUAGGGCAUAGAAUCGGCAAGGCGUGCCGGACGCAUAGUUGAUGAAUAAUCAGAGGAUAGGGCCGGAAGCGCUUGCCAUUUGUAGGACUGGGCUCGCCAACAUGGGUUACAAGGCUACGUUGGGUGUGGAAUCUGUCGUAGGCACUCAAGGUACCUAUCGAUCCAUACUACUUGGUUUGUCAGUGUGGUCCAUAAGGUAUUCCGUAGCAUCGUACUCUUUCCACUGGUCAUGACGUGAGUGGCAUGUCAAAUAUGGUACAAACAUGAAGGGUGCUUGUCGGGAAAGGAGAUAGGGAGUGUGUGUAUGUGCGUGCUAGGUUUAUUUUUUAUUUUUGAGAUUUGAUUAUGUUAUAUUUUAUUUUAUUGUUUUUACUAAAACCAAAUUGGGGUGGACAUUAGAACCGAAAAAUGAGAAAACCAAGUCGAACCAAGUCUGAAAAAAAAUUAUAUAUAUACUAAAGCUCAAUCCAACUAAACACUAUUCUUAAGCACAGUGCACUGACGAAAAUGCCCAUCUAGCAUAGUGAAUUGCCGAAAAUGCCCUUCACUAAACCUUUUCUGCUCUUCCCUUUUUGCCCCUUUUCCUUCAGUCUUUCUUCCCCUACGAACGUUUUGUUUGCUCAGACAAUGAGUUCAUCUCCAGUUGAUUUCGAACUAGCUGGUUGGCCUGGUUGGGGGGCAGCGACGGAAGAUUUCUGUUCACUGUUGGAGAUGCUUUUGCGGCCGUCAAUUUUUGUUUGGGGAGGCGUGAUGCGAAUCCAACCACCUUUUUGGUCUUCAUUUCAUGGAUUUGUCUGUUCGUUGAGAUAUUUUUCAUCGUUUCUUCAGCCUUCGUCUCAGACAUCUUCUGCCUUUCUUGGCUGCGAGUUCUUGCAUCCUUUGUUUUUGGGUAUGCAUCCCCUCACCAUUUUAGCGCAUUUUUUAGUCUUUAUUUCAUCAAUAGGUAACUUUUGAUUGUUUAGAGCAUCUUUUGGGUAUGAAUUCAUUGAAUUUUAGCUAGAAUCCGCUUUGGUUUCUUUUAUAGGUUUUAGGUUUUGUAAUGCCCCAUUUUUUGCAUUUGAAUGUCUUCGAUUUAAUUGUUAGUGUGUUAUAAACUUAUAUGUUAGCAACUAAGGCACAAUUUUCUAGGAUUCUCAGUUUUCACCUGUAUACUUUGAUCAGCUAACCAAAAAAAUUGUGUUAUUGUCAAGAGCUUUUGUUAAACACCCUUAUCCCUUCCAAAAACUUAAAUUAUUUUUAAUUUUCUUCCAUUCCAAAUUGGUUGUCAUAGUUUAAUUCUAUGUUUGCUGUUUGUUCUCAUGGUUUUCAUAUAAUGAAUGCUUCACAUCCUUAUCUUAUGCUCUGUUGCUCUAUGUUACUGAAAAUAACAACAUAUGAUUUACUUGUAAUUAUGCAAAUAGUUAUAUAUGUUUCCUUCUUUUUUUUGUUGGGUAGGGAUUUUGGCAUCGCUGGUUAACUAGAAGUAAUAUUUAGUGCCCCAAAGAAUAGAAGUAGAAUAUGCUUUGAUGAUGAGUUUUUUUUUCCCUUUUGAAUGUUUAUCCCCUGAGGUUCUCAGUAAACAUUUCACUUGAUUUCUAGACUUGGUGGGCUUGAUUGAUUAUGAGUUUUGAGUCGAAUGUGCUAACUGUGCUUAUCGGUUUAACUAGGCUUGACAUUAGUAUAUGCAUAUUAUUUGAUUGUUAUGGAAUCAAGUUAAUUCCUUGACAGAAUAAUAGAUAUUUGUGAUUGUGAAGUUGUUUACACAAAACUAAAUUUAUGUUGGUGUUAAAAAUAUGAGCAGCAUUUCAGAUAGUAAUGAAGAGUUUGUUAUCUCUUUAGUCUUCUCAUCCUGUGAUAACCUAUCUGUUUAGUCAUCUUGGUGCAUGUAUAAAAGCGUUAUAUUGAAAUAUUGAAGUCAUGUGCAUAUAGACGAUUAUAUGAUUUAUGCAUAUUAGUAGCGCUUUUUUUUUUUUCAUUUCCUUUUGAAAAUCAUUAUUUAUCGUAAAUCAUGUGCUUAUCACAAACAGAAUAUGUUGGAGGAAUGUAGUUUGAGAUUAAAAAUUUUGGGGUCCAAACAAGGAAUUGAUUUUUCAUGAGCAACAAGUAAAUAUUUUGGCCUUGAAUGUUUUUGGAUGGCUAUACUUUAGGGGUUCACGGCUCUUUGGAUUUGUUUUCCAGGAUUUUUCUUUUGUGUUAGUAGUGGAGUAACAAAGUUCAAGCAUCUCAUAUAAAAACACUGGACAGAAAAACAUAUUUGGACAGUUUUGGGACUAGAAAAUGAGAAACUGCAAUUUUUUUGAUUUUUUUCUUGCUUUUCCUCCUCUUCUCUCUUAAUCAUAUCUGCUUUUAAUGUUUUGUAGGUGGUGUUUAGCUGCUUUAGAUAGAGUUGUUUGGUGGUUAUUUUUGGUUCUGUUAAGCAAGAAGUGUGUUUCUAUGUUGAAAUUCCAAUUUAUUGUUUCGGUUAUGUGAAUAGAGCAUGGUAAUUAGCUAAUGUGAAAUUAGAGAUUUUGUUAAGAAGAAUAAUUCUCAGUUGUUAUUGAUAGAGCCAAAAGGCUAAGUAUUUAUAGAGAUAUUACAAGCUUAACUAGGAAAACUAGGUUACUUGGAGACUACUCCAAAUCAAUUACAAUCAACUAAUAAAAGGAAACUAAAUAACAAUUUAAUAACAUUCCUAAUUUCCAACACUCCCCCUCAAGUUGGAGAGUGGAUAUCAAGAACGUCCAACUUGCACAAGAGAUUGUGAAAGGUGUUACUCCCAAAGGUUGCUGAUAAAGAGGCAGUGGUGUCACUGCUGUAGAGGGGGCAGCUGUGUCGCAGCUGUGUCACUGUUGUAAUGAAGGCAAAUUUGGAGGCAAAUGGAGCAGCGGUGUGCUGCUGUAAAGGGGGUUGUUGCUCCUCUCAAAUCCGACGAUGUAUGAGAGUCGUGAGUUGAAGGAAGCAGCACCCAAAUAAAGUUGCAUAUAUCUCCCCAUCAAAUUUGACACUGAUAAAUGGUCAAGAUUUGAAAGAAGAGAAAUUGAAAUAAUAGUAAAGAGAUUCAAACAUGCCAGUCUCAUGGCAGAAACAAAUGCAAGAGGGGAAUGUGGUAGCAUACGGCUGUCUCAUGAAGAAAAAACUUCAAAAAAGGAGAAUAGUAAGGGAGGAAACCCAGCAAAUCAUGAACAGAGACAAAGACAAAGAUAAGGUGCUCAAACUGAGAAGCGAAAAGACAACUCAAGAGAGUAGCUGAAGAAGACAGAGACCGGCAGAACAGUCAAAUGAAAGGCUCGACGAGCGUUGACGAGGCUCGUGGAGGAAAAUAACCAGAGACCGGCAGAACAGUCAAAUGAAAGGCUCGACGAGCGUUGACGAGGCUCGUAGAGGAAAAUAACGGCUCGGUGAGCGGUGACAAGGCUCACGGAGGAAAUAAACGGCUUAGUGAGCAGUGACGAGGCUCACGAAGGAAUCGCAAUGAAGACGGAUAAGGUGCUUGCCGCAAGCGUAGACGACUUAAAAAAAUGAUGGGUAGGCUCGAUGAAGGCCGAAGAUGCCGUGGUUGUGGCAAGCGUAGUAGACAUCAAAACAUGGGCUCAAUAUCUGAUUGCAACAGAGAGCAUGACUAGAGAUGGCUCAAUAUGAUUUGUAUAGAGAGCAAUACUUGUAUGAAAAACAUAAGGAAAUUGCAGCGCCAAAGAAGGGUGCGACUGUUGGUUUAGUUAGAUGUAGGAACUGUGGGAUGGUAUGGCUUUGGUAGCGGGAAUAAAAUAUUGAUCAUUGAGGAGAGGGUGAAUAAGACGACUAUACAAGAUGAAUACCCAUCAUGGGUGAGGGAUGAAAAGCGCCAACGACUCUCAAUUUGGCAAAAGAUUUCAAAGAUUAGCAACUAGGGUUGUGAAACAUCGGAUUGUGAAGAAAAUAAGGUUUGUAAAAAAGUUUCAAGAGACGCCCUAGAAUCAGUGCUCUGAUACCAUGUGAAAUUAGAGAUUUUGUUAAGAAGAAUAAUUCUCAGUUGUUAUUGAUAGAGCCAAAAGGCUAAGUAUUUAUAGAGAUAUUACAAGCUUAACUAGGAAAACUAGGUUACUUGGAGACUACUCCAAAUCAAUUACAAUCAACUAAUAAAAGGAAACUAAAUAACAAUUUAAUAACAUUCCUAAUUUCCAACAGCUAAUGAUAUCAAUUGACAAUUGGUUGGGAUAAAUUUGAACUAAUUGCUACGAUUGUAUAGUUGUAAAUAAAGCCAAGUAAUUCUUAUGUGGUUUGAACCAAUGACAAGUUGUUUCAUAUAUGAUCUAUGCUUAGAUACAUAUUAAUAUUUUUGACUCUUUCCUUUUAGUUUAUAGAAGAUAUGAUGUAUUUGGAGGGGUUGUUGAUAAGAGUGAUAACAACAUGAUGUUGCUUUUGAUUAUAUAUUAAUGCCCUUUCGUGUGUUGAAGCUUUUUAAAUUUUUUUAUUUUUUAAGAUGAAAAAACACAUGGAAUGGUUAUAAACUGCCUUUGGUUUCAUUUGAUUGAUCUUUUGGAUUCAUUUUCAGACAUAUAUGUUUAGUACAAAAUUAGAGCUUGAUCUUUAGAUUGUUAGAUGAGACUUUGAGAAAACUCAAUUAUUGAAUUAGAGUAUGAAAUUUUGAUCUCUGUUUAAAGGGAAAAAAAGGGAAAACCAGAAAAAUGGAAUUGAAAAAUAUUAAAAAAUCUUGAUUGUUUAGGGUGACUUUCGCAUAGGUAACUUUUGAUCGUAUACUCUUGUUUCAAAUGCAUCUAGGAUCAUUUAAACAACCCUCUUCAUGUGCUUUUGCAGUGUUUUUCUUCGAACUAGAGGUGUCAUACUAGAUGGGCCAGCCUAGGACGGCACAAGCACGAAUAUUAGUGGGCCGUGUUAGGUUUUUGAGAAAUAGUAAUAGGAAACUCCAAUUUCAGGGAAACUCGAAUGACUCCCAACAACAGUUAUAAACCAUUUUCUUUAUGAUGUGUCCUGCUCUUAGUCUGAGUGGAUUCACUUCUCAUCAGCUUAGGUUGAUUCAGUUGAUAAUUUUUUUUUGCAUUUUAGUCUUCUGCCAUUAGAUUGUUAUUCGUGACAAAUUAAUCUUGGAUAUGUGGUCCAGAACAUCAUUCUUAGGCAUUCUGGGUAAUUUCCUCAAAUGAGUCAAACUUACUCAAAGGAAGUUUUAUUCAUUUAAGGAAACCUGAUUUCCAAUUUUGUUGUUCCAAUAUUUUCUUGACAUUGAUGGUGGGAGAAGGAAAUUCUAAAUGCAAUACGUGCGAGUCUCGAGACUUUUUAUUUGUCUUCUUCUUUUAACACACUACUUAUCUUUACAUUCCAUCUUUUCCUUUCUUUCUUUUUUCCUUAAUUUCCUUAUUUUUAACCACUGAUUGAGCAAUGGGAUUCUCAGCUUUUUCAAAACCGAAAAUGAAUAAUAUAGGAAAUGGAAAGGUGAGAAUGAUUUUUUCUUCUUUUUUCUAUUUUCAUCUUUAAGCAAAAGAAAUGAUUAGAGUGUUGUGUUUUAUGAGAUUUUUUCCAUAACUAUAGGACAUGAUCAUUUUUAUCAGAAUUUAGAUUCGUUUCUGUCAUCCUGUUUAUUAGUGCUAGAUAUUUUAUGCUUCUUUUGUGAUCGAAUUUGUGAACUUUUUUGUAUGUUUGGCUUUUGUUUUCUUUUAUUUUCUAAAUUUUGUCGGCGUUUCAAAGGCGUUGUUUAGUUGUGAUCUAUGAUGAAUGAUAGGAAUGAAUGCCUAAUAAUAUUCGUGUGCUUUGUGGAAAAACAGAGGAAAGGGAAGAAAAAGUAAAAAUGGGAAUCUAGCAUUCAAAAACUUUUAUAUUCUUAUUCCUGUUUUAGAAACACUUGCUUUCGUCGGACAAAAAUAAUCAAUUGAUCAACUAUUGUUGGGGUUAUUCUGAAUUGUGUGAUGAUCUAUUGUUGUUAAUGUUUGUUUUUUUAAUUUUCUGUUUUUGUACGUUCAUAUGUUUUUAUGUUAAUUUUGUGUAAUAUAUAUUGAUUUGAUAAUUUCAUGUUAGAGAUAUUAGGGUUGUUUGUUUGUUUAUAAUCUUCUUAGCUGACACCGUGUUUACAAAAAGCGUUUUAAGAUGAAAAAUUUACAUGUAACGAAGGGGCUUUUGCCUUCAAUGGAGCAAAUUUCGAAUUGAAAAAACAAUUUUUAUCAACAAAAAUCAAUCAAGCAUAGAAACAUAUAAUAUAAACAUCAUAAUUGUCUUACAGUACAUUAUUUUGUAAAGAUUAUGAUGAGAUAAUAUAGCUUUGAUUGAGAAUGUUUUGGAAUCCUUAGAACUCUGUGUAUGUGUGCGUGUGUGUGUCUGUGUAAGACAAAGUUGCCUUGCACACCAUCUUCGACAUAACUCAUCAUAGCUUUGAUUAGGAAAUCAUUGAACCUCUCCUCUGCCGUCAACCAAGCUUGAGUGCUUAUUUGAGAAGAACACUCAUGUCAAGAAAAUCCUUCUUGACGGCAUAACUUAUCAAUAUGGAGUACAAGAAUGAUUUGAGUGUAACUGAGCAUUUGUUUUCAGUCAAUUAAAAAUAUGAAAACUACUUUUGUGCCUAAUACCUUUUUUCCAAAUUUGCCUUGCGAUGGUCACGCAUUUAAACUGAUGUUUUGGCUUUAGAUGCAUCUGAUGUUUUCACUUUAGAUAGAUAUAUGAAGAAGUGCUUCUUCUUUUUUCAGUUUUCUCAUCGUUUUUCUCUUUUUUCUUUAUUAACCAUGUCUUCUUUUGAUGUUUUGUAGGUGGUAUUUUGCUGGUUCAGAUCAAACUGUUAGGUUCUUGCUUUUGGUUUUGUUAAGCAAGGGGUGAGUUUCUUGGUUGUAAUAAAUUAGUAGAAAUUAAUUGUUUUCCGUUAUCCAAUGAAUCAUAAACAUUGUUUUGAAGCAUCAGACAAAUUACUUUUUGAUGUUUUAUCGCAUUUGAACAAUUCAAAUGGAAAUGCUCUAUUUGGUGACAAGCUUUUUUUUGUUAGGCGGUGAUUUUAGACAAAUAUUACCAGUUAUUCCAAGAGGAACAAGAGAAUAAAUAAUAAAUGCCUUUCUUAACAGUUCCUAUUUAUGGUUUUUUUUAAAAAUAUUUCAUUUAAAAGAAAAUAUGAGGUUGUCAAAAAAAUGGAUUAAGCACCGAAGAAAAACAGAAAAUAAGUGAUUUUGCAUAUUGGAUUUUGCGCAUCGGUGAUGGCCAAAUUGUUGAUAUAGAUGAUCCAACAUCCUAUUCAUUCAAUUUUUGCGCAUCCUAAAGAUUUACUCAUUCAUUUAUGCACAUAUCCUAUUCAUUCAAUUUUUGCAGCAACAUACCCAGAUUUUGACAAAAUCUUUCUAAGUGAUGUUGAAGCUGAAAACAAAUAUGAGAAAACAGUUACUGUGCAAACCAGAGAAGAAAACGUCUCAGAUUCUGACAAUUUACCAAUUAUCAGUUUGAAGAAGAAAAUAUAGUCCAAGGCAGUUUCGAAAUCGCCUCUCCUACUCCGACAUCAAAGUUUGUGCUCUUUCCUUUUCAAUUCAUUCAUCUCGCUGACACACACAUUACACACAAAAUAUUUCAUUGUUAUUUCUCAUGUUUACCUAUUAAACUUAAUUCUAUCAUAAUAAUUAAUACUUGCUAUUUUUUGACUUUAUGCCAACAGAGCUAAAACCUCUGAAAAAGAGAAAAAAGGGCAUCAGCCAACCAAACAACAAAUGCAGCAACAACAAAAGCCCUUUACCAAAAACAUCAAAGAAGAAAAAUCCAUGUCCACCACCCAUUAAAAUAUAGAUAAAAGCAUGUACAAGUUUUUUUUUUAACAAUACGCAACUUAAGGCUGCUCAUAUUUUGAUGUUUUAAUAGCUGCUUGAUAUAUUAAAAUAUGCACAAUAUUUUAAUAUAACAAGCAGUAUAUAAAACAUGAUGUUAGUUUAUGUUUUGCAACAUAAGCUUGCCAAACUCAUGAUGACACUGUUUACAUCUCAAUGUAUAUAUAAAUAGGCCAAACUCAUAAUAGCACUGUUUACAUCCCCUCAACUUUUUAAUAGAUUAAUGACUUGCUGAUGGAUUUCUGAAUAUGCUGUUGAAUCCUUUCAUUCCUUGCUCAAAUUGAUUCUGUAAUGAUUUUGCUGCUGUAAUGGGUUGUUAAUUUGUUGUUGUAAUGAUAGGUUUAAAUGAUUACAAUAUAUGAGCAUGUUGGUGAAUCCUUUAAGUGUUUUGGUAAUUAGAUACUUGAGAACUCCCAACAUGGGGAGAGAGUGACAAUGCGUAACUGAUUGAAGGGAAAAAGAUGAUGACUUUCUCUUUGUGUGUACUACCAUUGUUUCAUAUUGCAUGACAGCUAUGUGAUGAAUGAGUAUAUAUAUAUAUAUAUAUAUAUAUAUAUAUAUAUCUGUAGGUCAUCUAAUAGAGUUUGAUCUAUAUUGUCUGCACAUAUACUAAUUAGAUAAAUGGAGAUGAAGAAACUGGAGGUUCGGUUCUUUUAAGAGUGCAAAAGAGUGAGCUAAUUUUGCAUCAAAAUGAUUUUUGCAUCUAUAAAGUUUGUACACCAUGUUGUGUUACCAUUUCUUAAAGAUUCUAUCUAAUUUUUCAAAGUUUUUUGUCCCAAUUCUACACUUCGCUAGAAGUGCAACAUGUGACCAAGAAAACCAUUGUAACAAUUGAUAAAUUAUUAAAUUCCCCUUUUGAUUUUUAUGAUAUUAUGAAACUGCUUCCAUCCUUUUUGAAUGCAAAAUGAUUUUGUUAUGAUAUUUGCUUAUGCUUUUGGAAGAGAGACUUUUGUCAACUGAAAUCUCCUAAUUCCCAGAUUUUGCCAAACCUUUAGUGAAAAUGAUUGCAGUUAAUUAUAUCCCUUAUUUAAUUUGUUGUUGUGAGUUUUCAGUUUUUCCAAAAUAUGAUCAAUAUUUUAAGAUGACAAGCAACAUAUAAAACAUGUUAUUAGUCUUUAUUCUGUAACUUAUAUCCGCAGCAUCGUGCUCGCACCUUUGCUAGUAAAAUAAAAACUUCAUCCACUAAAAAAGUCAAAAUGGGGCCGAAAACUGAACCGGGAUUAUAUAUGUUUAUUUUUGUGAAUGAUAUUAUUCUGAACCAAAGCCUAAGAGCAUGUCCAGCGCUGCUGGCUUGCCCGGGUAAGAAGGGGCCUAGGCCCAGCUUUUGUCUCUAGCGCACAAAGGCAAGACCAGGCAAUUGAUGGGAGCCACAAGCCUGGGCAGGCCCAAAGGCAAAUCUUGCCUGGGUUUGUUGACGUCAUUGAUGACAUCAGCAACUAAAUUUUUUUCUAAAAAAAACAUAGUCCUAUUUUUAAAAAAUUUCAGAAAUUUUUUAUAUAUAAAUACAUAAUCUUAUUUUUCACUUCUCAUACCAAAAUUAAUUAUAUAAAAUAUAAAUAAAUUAAAAUAAAUAGUAAUUUCCCUUACCCUUGUCAUUUGGGGUGGAACUAAAAAAGGCAAGGCUGACACUAUUCACAGCCCUUGCCUUACCUUUGCCUUGCCUAAAACUUUUGGGGUGGACUUGCUCUAAGUAUCAUUUGUAACGUGAAAAGUGGUAGUCCUUGUCUUGUAUUUGUCUUGCCUUUGCCUUGCCUUGGCCUUUUGGGGUGGACUUGCUCUAAGUACCAUUUGUAAUAAAAGUUACACGCGUCACCAUACCAGUAGUUUCUGGAUGAAAUAGCAUGUACCUUCCAACAUCUAAUCACUGGACGAGGUUUAAGUUAAACCCAUUUCCCCAUCGCACAGGCCCCCUCCUCCCUCUGCAUUCCUCUCUCCCUUCCCCUCCGCCACCACCACGAAGCCAGAGAACAAGUCGUCGCCGGAAUCACUAACCUCCUCUCUGAGCUCUCAAAACUUUCUAUUCCGACGCCACUGCCAAACAACUUCUCUCUUCUUUGUUAGUCCCGGUGUAUAUAUUAGAAGCAAAUUUGUUUAAAUGGUUUUUAUUUGCAUCUAAUUUUUAUUAUUAUUUAUGUUUAUGCCUAAGCUUUCCAACUCUGACAAACAGGCGCAGCUCUCUCUCUCUCUCUCUCUAACCUUUGAGUUAGUGGCUCCAUGGCAUACGAUGGAGGCAAACUCAAGUCGACCUCCAUCAAUGGUGUCAAGAUGUACAGCGUUGCUUCCCAGCAACGUUCUCUCGCCACCUGGCUUGACCCUAAGAAGCGGCGAGCACUUCGCAAAGACCAAAGUAUACCCCUCUUCUUCUUCUUCUGAUUUGAUUUUUUUCCAGUCAGUUAAUUUUGUUUUAAUGGAGAUACCUUUUGUUAUUCUGUUUAUGAUUUUGUCGACUUUAGAGUUUAGAUAACUUCAUGUAAAUUUAUUGCUGAUUUUGAGGACUUUCACUGAAAACAUAGACGAAUAUCAAUACGUUGAUUUUUCUCAUUCUAGGGUGCUAAUCAUUAUGUUGGAAUCUGUUAGGAUAAAUUGCAUGCUAUAGAGCAGUAUAAUGCUUGUUUUAAUUUUUUCUUUGUAAUAUUAUACGUUCUUUAUAGGUUGAAGUUGAACAAUUAAAAAUCAUCAGCUUUAAUCAUUUACAUUCUAAUUUUAUAUUGAGAAUUGACUCUCCGCUAAAUAUUCUUAUAGAAAGAUCAUGUGUUAAAUAAACUAUUAUUUUUGGUUAUGCACGACUGGGAUUAUGUUUGCAUACUUCACGUCAAUUUCUCAAUAAGGUUUAAUUUGCAACCACUUUAAAACCCUGGACGGUGUUCGUGUAAAAUUCUGGAAGUGUAGGUUUAAAGUGAAAAUCUGCUGAAGCAAACCAUGUUCACCUGUAGUAGAGGGAGGAAUACAAUCCUUCGUUGGGCAUUUAUUUCUCUUAUUUCAUUCACUCAAUGAUAUCAGAGUUUUGGACUCCACAAAAAAAUAAAUAAUAAAAAUAAAAAUAUAAGUUUAACACAAAUGUGCUUGAGUUCUGAAGUCUACUUUCCCAAUCAAAUUUAUUUAAAGGGAAGGCAUCAUAACAUAUGAUUAAUUUCUAUGGACUAUGAUCAUUUGAGAAUUAGUCUGAGAUGGAAAUAUGUUUUCAAAAUCAUCUCAAGCUGACACAAAACUUUUUGGCAUUAAUUUCAUCUAAUGGGAGAUCUUUCUUCAUUGUGUGUUUGUCAGAUUAUAUGCAAAGGGUAGACUUGAUCCAGGACUUGAGAUUUGAAACUGCAACUACUAAAAUCAAGGCAACUCCUGAUGGGGAGUUCCUUAUUGCUGCAGGUGCCUUUAAGCUUUACUCUAUGUUGUGUUUUAUUUUCACAAUAAAAAGGGAAUUCUACAUAAAAUGUCUAUUUGUGUGUUGCGUGUGUACGCGUUUGGAGUAAAACAUUUGAACUUGUACCAAUUGUGAUUUUUACUAUUGAAAUUCAGGUAUUUACCCACCACAAGUCAAAGUAUAUGAGCUGAGGGAACUUUCACUCAAGUUUGAAAGGCACUUGGAUUCAGAGAUAAUUGAUUUUGAGGUAGUUUAGUUUCACUCAUUUCUGAUGUAACAUGAUAUUUGAAAUAUUUAUUCAUGGUCCAUGGCUGAUUUGUGUUCAGCAUCUGCCGGUUUUUUCAGUUAUUUUAUCGGUGCAGUGGCUCCUCUCUAAAUAUUUUUCAUGUUUUUGGAUUUUCAGUAACAAUUAUUUAUGUACACUCUUGCUUGCAAUUGCUUCUUUUGUCUUUUUCACUUACCUUAGCUCUUGCAAUUUCAGUUAGUUAUUCUUGUAGAGUAUGGAUGAGAGCAUUUCUAAGGAAUAUAAUGAAAUCGAAAAAAUGUUUAAUAGUUAAAAACUUACAAGAGUUUUAUUUUUGUUAAAUAGCAAAGAAAAUGCAAUUGGAUUUUUUUAUUUAUCAAGCAACUGAAGAGCACCACUUGGGCUGAGACCCAACAAUUUGAUCUUACAAGUGCACCAUUUUUUCUCCCUUGGUCAAGUAUAGUUUCCUUCUGAAUGGUACUGUUUUCUCCUUCCGAAAUCCAAAACUUGAAUACUCAUUCAAGUUUUGUAGGUUGUUUAUAAGUUAAAUGCCCAUAUUAUGAUUUGGAUAUCAUCGUUUCAUGUUCGCUACUUAAUGGUACGAAUGUCAUGCUGUAUUCUCAAUAUGUUCUCAUGGAACUUUAAAUAUUACUGACUCAACUUUUCAUUACUCAUUCAGGUUUUGGCUGAUGAUUAUUCAAAGCUUGCAUUUUUAUGUGCUGAUCGCUCUGUUUAUCUACAUGCAAAAUAUGGAAAACAUUACAGUGUGCGAAUUCCAAGGUUACUCUUUAUACUUUGUUUAUGUCAAUGGCUCAUGAAUGGAAAUAGUGUUUAAACCAUGUGUUUGCUUUAUAAACUUUGAACUCUAUGUUUCAUUGUGCAUUGUGGUUAUUCUUUUCUAUUUCUGUUUCUUUUGGCUGUUAUGUAUUAUUGGGCUGUUUGGAUAGGAUAUUUGAGGAUGUGAGGGGCGAUGAGGGGUUUAUUUGUUGGAGAGGAUUUGUUUUUGGCCAUCUCUUUGGGUUUUCGUGUCAUCAGGGUUUUGGGAGAGCUUAUUUUCUGUUUGUUUUUCCCAGGUUGGACUGCUUUGUUUCUUAAUUCCUUCUGUUGUCUUGGAUUCAUAAUCCUAUAAAAACAAAGACAAAACAAGAGGGAAAAACAGAUACAGAAUGAGUAGCUUUAUGCAUGUGUGUGUGGAUGUAUAUUAAAGGGGAGUUUGUGUGUGUUUGCCUGUGUGUGUAAUUGUAUUUUUGAAUCCUUCUACAUAUACACCACAAAAUGACAGUGGCCUUUAUUGGAUCAGUAAAAAUAUGAAAUGAUGUUGUUUUCACACGUUUAUUAUUUAAAAAUGGGCCGGCAAUAAUUCAGAAUCUUCUCCCUUUUUGGGUGUCAUGUUAGCACCAUCUCUAUCAUUGAAUGAGUUGAUAGAAUCACCAACCCAUUAAAGAACUACCAACUUCUUAGAAAUGGGGAAAGGUACGUACAUAAAUACAUAAAAUGGAGGGCUCUAUGUCUCUUUUCUGAAUUUUUUUUCUUUUUUUUUUCUUGAGGAGUUGGUGACUCUCUCUCUCUAAUCAAAUCGUACUUAUUUUUUCCCUUUAAUGUUACCCAUGUUGAGUUUCAUUAAAUUGUUUUCAAAAACUACGUGGCAUGUUACCCAUGUUGAGUUUCAUUAAAUUGUUUUCAAAAACUAUGUGGCACCAAUACAUUAAUGAAUACUUGAGCAACUACAUUACUUUAGAACUAAAGUUUAGCACAUCUAGCAUUUACCAGAGUUACUUGCUUUUGUUUGAGCCCUCUUUUUCGAUGUACGUGAAUUAAACUUUUUAUCCCUACAUUUUGGAAAUUUAUUUCUAUUACUUUAUAAUGUAACUUCAUAAUUUAUUCACAAUUAAAAUUAUGUUUAUCAUUUUAAAAAUAAUCAAAGAUAGUAUAAUAUAUGUAAUUUAGUUUAAUACUUGUAUACUGCAUGGGUUGUAGCUUGAAUAAGUUUGAUAUGCUUUCUGCAAUGAGUUUAUUGAACUUGUGUAUGCAGAAUGGGAAGGGACAUUGUGUAUGAUUGCUGGUCUUGUGACUUGCUUUGUGCUGCCUCUUCCCCAGAAUUGUAUAGGAUUAAUCUGGAACAGGUUUUAUUGCUUAACUGGACUUUUCUUUUUAUUCUGCUUUAAUUCGUAGGUAUGUUGAUAAUAAUUUUGACUUGUUUGCAGGGGCGGUUUCUCUCUUCCCUGAGCACACAAUCAACGGCACUAAAUGUCGUUUCUCGGAGGUUGCUUGCUGAUCUUUUUUUAUUUAUUUAUUUAAAAUUUGUUUAUUUUUUUAAACUAUUUUAGGUUCUUUGGCUUAUUUAGUUAUCAGAUAUAUGUAGGACUUUCUUAUGUAUGGUUAUUUUGGUUAAUUAUCUUAGCGUAUCAAGCUUUUCCUUUAAAAUUUCAGCAAGCUUCAUGGUCUAGUUGCUUGUGGUGGUGAGGAUGGUGCUGUGGAGUGUUUUGACUUGAGGGUAAAAUCUUCGGUUGGUAGGAUUAAUGCUGUCGCACCUGCUGGUGACAUUGACCAGGUAACAGUCCUUUGAUCUAUUUGUUUUGAGUAAAUAUUCGUUAAUGAAGACCAGGUGAAGUCUAAUUGGUUGCCACAAUGUAGUUAAUUUGCAAAUCGAUCACCCUUUGAAGUUCAAAUUAUUUUCAAAUACUACGUUGGUCACCUGUAGGAUAUGUAUGUGUCUAUUGUGGUUGCAGGUGAAGUCUAAUUGGUUGCCACAAUGUAGUUAAUUUGCAAAUCGAUCACCCUUUGAAGUUGAAAUUAUUUUCAAAUAUUAUGUUGAUCAUCUGUAGGAUAUGCAUGUGUCUAUUGUGGUUGUCUGGAUAAUUUGGUCACGACACAAAUGCCAAUUUUUUUCCUACGCUUUUGGAAGAGGUAGCUAUGGGUAUGUUAGGUAGUAUGGUUUGACAAGUUCGGGCAGAAAUUCACCCCGACCAACCAACCUUGUUGAUUUUGACUUACUUGAAACUGUAGAGUUAUACUGAAAAAAAAAGAAACUCACCAAUCCCAACCAAUGACCAUCAGUUUGAACUGGUUUUGUAUCUCUUUCAGUUUUGUUCUAUUUCACCCAGGAAACAGCAGACUUUUUUUUAUUCAUCACAAUUUCAAAAAGACAGUGUCAUCAACUUCAUUGCUCCAUUUUAAAUUUAAUUCAAAAUUAGUUCAAAUCCAAGAGAAAUUACGGCAGAUGCUUUAGACUACAUAAUUAAUGUUUCACCACAAAGCGUUGUUGUGGUAGUUUGACAAAAGCACAGUGAAAUGAGGGCCUUAUGACCUUCUUAGCAUCAGUUUUCGUGUUUCUUUUUUGAUAUUGUCUUAAUUGUUCCUUAUCUUUUUUGACAAUGGAAAUAAAAGAAGGAAGUGGAUUGAAUGAUCCGGCUGGUUCAUCAGUUCAGCCACAGAUGAAUGGCAGGGGAAUAAAUUUGUAUGCGGGAUUCCUGUGAAUGAUGAUCUUUUCUCUUCAACUAUUAAUCAGACACAAUUUUGCUUAAUCGGGCUGCCUCCUGGAUUUGCAGGAGGUCACUGCAUUGGAGUUUGAUGAAAGAACGGGUUUUUUAAUGGCUGUUGGAAGCAGUGCAGGGAAGGUAUGACGUCAUUUUUCUUUUCGCUAGUAAAGGUAUCCUAUAAUUUGUGUGUGUGUAUAUAUAUAUACACUUAUAUAGUUGUGAUCUCAUUUUAGUUAUGUGUGUUAUCAGAACUAGGCACCAUAUUUGUCGUUGUCAACCAUGCAAUAUCUGUUGUAGUUUUCGUCAAUUUUGAUUUUCGAUUUUAGAGAAUUCUUUUAGAUUAUACACUUGAUAGGUACCGUGUAUCUGUAUAUGCAUACUGCAUGCAUAGAUUAUACACUUAACAAGCAUAAAAAUGUUUGAGACAGCCACUUGUUUUCCAUGACGAAUACAGAGAGGGUUAUAAUCUGAUAUACUUGACAGGCUCAAUUAAUCUAGUGGCUCCUGGAAGAGUAACAAGUACUCUUUGAAGUGAAAAACCGAAGUGCCAGCCAACUUGGGAGCUAAUCAAAACUGUUUGUCAAAUUAUCAAUAAUUUUGCAUAGACUUUUCUCUUAUUAAGAAGUCAUGUGAAUUGUCUUCUUUAUGUCUACGAGGGGGGAAUUUUAAUUGUCAUAUUUAGGCCCCACGGUUACUUGCACCUUAGUGCAUUAUAGGAAAUUGUUCUAUUUUUCAGAAAGUGCAGUCUCUUAUCCAAAUAGAGAUGGUCUUAACGUGGUGCGGGAUGAUUUUCCCUUGGCUACAAUGUUAUUAAUGAAGGUGUGUUGUUUUGUGGUUUUUCUGUUUUGUUCCUCCCUGUUAGUUUGGGAGGUGUUGGUGCUGUUUGUUUGUUUCUGUUUUUUUUUUCUCUUCAGUUGUGGAUGCAUUAUCCACCUCCGUGUUUCUUUUGCUUAAUAAAUUUCUUUUCUUCUAUAAAAAAAACAAUGUUAUUAAUGAAGGUGGAAAAAAGGUUUUGCAAGAUAUCUGAUAUUAAAAUAAGGUAAUCAAGAUAAGAGAUAACUGGGAUCAAACAUCAGGUAGGUGGUGAUUUACAUGGUAAAUUUGGUUAUGCAGUGGAUUACAGGUUUAUGGUCUUUUUGUGGAGAUUACUGAAUGCCUUGUUGGAGGAUGUGGUGAUAAAAAAAACCAUUUGGGGGUAUAGUGUCACUAACUUAUAACUGAAGAAAAGGUAGAGGGAUGAACACUAGGAUAUAUGGAUCUCUUUGGUCAAUAAUAUUAUGUUGUGAGUGGAGGCUAAACAGAGCAGAUUCAAGGGCUUGGAGAUUGAACCGACAGGGAAUUUCUCUUGCAAAUCUUUUUGUAGAUAUCUUUGUUGGGAGUGAGUCUCGUUUUGUGUUCCUGAGUUAUAAUGGUCAUUUACUGUUAUUUAACAUGUUACAUGUAUAAUUGUAAUUGUAUCCGUAUUCUAGUUCUUCAAGAGCUGCCGUAUCACCGUAUCAUAUUGAAUUGUGAAUCCUGUACUCAUAUCCGUGCAAUAUAGGCUGGCAGGCACCAUCUCUUCUUUCACCUUCAGUUGUAGUCAUAGAGAGCCUCUAUCAAGAAUAUGUCAGAGCAGUGCCCAAUAUUUCUCAAAGGAUGUAGCUCUGUCAAUUUACAUCGUGUCACUGACCUUGCAGGUACUCGUCUAUGACUUGCGUUCAUCGCAUCCUAUACAGGUUAAGGAUCACAUGUGAGUUUACUUCCUUAUAACUUACAUGUGAGUUUACUUAUUAUGUGGAUUUUUCUGGUUCAGCACAAUGAGGGAGUCUGUUUUUCCUUUUAUAACUUACUGGUUGUUGUGAAUACUGUCAUUGGUUUAUAGGUAUGGCAGCCCGAUAUUAGACAUUAAGUGGCAUCAAACUCUUAAUUCUGAGGCGCCAAAGUUAAUGACCACUGAUAAUCACAUUGUUAGAAUAUGGGACCCUGACACAGUAAGACAUUAUAUUUGAGAAGACUUUUUUUUUCCCUUUUUUUUGGGAUCUUUGAUGAUUGGAUAUUAGAAUUCCGUAUUUAUAAGUAAAUAAUUUUUCCAUUUUUUGCAGGGUGAAGGCAUGACCAGCAUUGAGCCAACUGCUGGAACAAUUAAUGAUAUAUGUGCAUUUCCUAGGAGUGGAUUGAUGUUGCUGGCUCUAGACUGCAGUCAGAUUCCAUCUUAUUUUAUUCCUGAACUUGGACCUGCACCCAGUUGGUGUUCUUACCUGCAAAACCUUACUGUGGGUUUUCAGAUAUUAUUUACUUCUUUCGUAUAUGGAUUUAGUUUCAUCUCGUGUGGGGUCUUCAGUUAUAGUGCUAAUAUUUGAGUUCGUUCUACAGGAAGAGCUAGAGGAGGGUGGACAGACGACCAUCUAUGAUGAUUUCAAAUUUUUGACAAAAGAAGACCUUGAGAGGUUGAAGUUGACUGGUCUCAUCGGAACCAAUCUCCUCAGAGCUUACAUGCAUGGGUUUUUUAUUGAUUAUCGGUUGUAUAAAAAGGUUAGGCUGCCUUCCUAUGUAUGUAUGAUUAUUUUUAUGAAGGGUGCAUGGGAAGCAAAAUAAUCUGUAUCAUCCACUUUGUAUGUUGCCCCCCCCCCUUUUGUCUUUAAUUAGAGUGAAGCAAAUCUUGGGACGUAUAUGGAAAACAUGAGGCAGAUCAGAAUAGUUGGAUUUGUUUCAGGGAACUGAGAAUAAUAAUCUGUAUUAGGCUUUUACCUUUAUUUUAUAAUUACUUUUCUCUUACCCCUUCAUGACUCUUAUCUGUUUGUAUUCUUUUGUGGAAUUUUUUGUUGGUAAUAAUUAUUCUUUUGAAAUGCUUGUUUUUGGCUGUUUUAGGAUUUAGUGAGUUCUUGGAUGUGUUUUUUAAGUUGUCUGUCUUGAAAGAUGCAUAUUGUCAUUGUCAAAGCUAAUGUUUUCCAUGCUCGAGUAGGGUAUUUGUUUUAUUGCUUCUGGUCAUUAUACAAAGUAAGUUUACUGCUUUAUUUCAUAGUAUAUACAUUCUGGCAGGCAAAAGCUUUGGCAGAGCCUUUUGAUUAUGCUGAAUACAGAGAACAACAGAAACGAGAGAUGGUAGAGAAAGAACUUGGAGGAGAGCGAAUUACGGUUAGUUAUUUUCAUCUACAAUUAUUCAGUAUUUAUGUAGAGUUUUUAUUUAUUUGUUCAAUUACUCUGCAUUGAUCACUAUGUACAGCUCAUAAGAAAUUUUUUUCUUAUGACUCGGGCAAUUGCAAUAAAGUGCAUGAGGAUUGUGAGCCUGCAUGUUCAAGUUUCCUCAAUUCUCCAUAUUAUUUGCAUAUGCGUAUAUGUAUAUAUUUCUUUAUUUUGAGGUGAGGUGGUUUUCAAAUAAUUGUUGGAAAACUAGUAUUCUCUUCAAAGUCGUUUGACUAGGUGUGAGUUGAGUUCUGCCACUUUCAUCCUAUACAUUAUAAAUAUAUCUUCUCUCUUUUUUACUCGAUCUUAACAUCCACAACUCUAUAACACACUUAAUGAAAAAUACUCGAUGCACCAUAUAUAUUGAGAUAUAUAUAUAUAUAUAUAUGUAGUUAUUAUCUCUUUACUGUUCAACCAGAGCAACCUUUGACCCUUAUCCUCUCUCGUUUUCAGUUUUAUUUUUGGUUCAGUUUCCAGAAAAUUUGAAAUUACAACUCUUUUAAUUGUUAACUCUAGUUAUCCCCGUCGCAUCUAAGAUGUCUCUGAAUACUUUUUAAUCCAAAUUAAUCCCUAAGUUUUUUCAUGUACAAAAUUUUAAAGAUACACAUAGGGCAUACUCCUUUGCUCUGAGGUGCUCUAAGUUUUUCAGAGAACUGACCCUUUUGUAUUUCAAUGCAAUAUAAGUAGGAUUCAACUGUUAAAUUUUGGGGUUUUCAAAUCUCCUUUAGUAGAUUGUAGGGUUGUAGAGUGAAUUAUAUCGCUAUGGACUUUAGUUUGUGGUAUAUGUCAGAUUAUCUACUUAACAAUGAUACCUGUAUCCCUUGUAUGUUUUACUUUUGUUUGCUGCAGAUUAAGAGGAAAUUGCCCAAGGUCAAUCGAACUCUUGCAAAGAGUAUUCUUGAUAAUGAAGAUGCAGAGAAUGAAAUUAAAGGUGCUGAUAGCAAUGAGACUAAGAAGCCAUCAAAGAAAAAGAAGGCACUUGGUAGUGAAAUUCUCAAAGAUGAGCGAUUCGGAAAUAUGUUUGAAAAUAAGGUAUGAAAAUCUGAACCUUUGGCUCAUGUAAGAGAAGGGUGACAAUUUAACCCAAAAAUAUGUUCACGUAGUUCACCAUACUUUUCUAUAAAUUUUUAAUCCAAAAAAAUAAAAAUAAACAUAAUAAUUCUUCAUCCCUCUCCUCCCCUCCCCCUUCCACCUCCUUUGCCUCCCUUUCCUACCCUCUGUCUCCUCCCGGUUAUGGCCAGUCAUCUCCAUCCCACACCUAUCCUUGUUCCCAGGACUUUCAUGUUCUUGUGUUUUUUCAGAAGAUUCUAAGGGUCUCGAAACUCUUAAGAAUUGAUGGAACCUGUCAUCCUUUCUGGUUGUUGAAUGGGUCACCCAUCAGUGGACUGAUUCAUUUCUGUUCCUACCUCGCCAUGUGUUCUUCCCAUCCCUUCCAAUGUUUUCAAUGGCAAUGGUGGAUGUGUGCCAUUUUGUUACCUCACAAGCCGAGUAAACCUCAAGUCAUUAAUGCGUAACCCGUUUGACACUUGAAUUAUUGUGGAAUAUAUUUAACAAAUAUAAUAUAAGCGUACAACUGCUCAAGUGCGGACUGUGCAAAAAUGCAUUGGCUGACUUGCUGGUCAAUUGGCAACCAACUACAUUUUUUGUGAGGAUAUUUGAGUCGGAGAUUCCUCAUUAUGCCAUUUCCCCCAAUUUUGGUCGGACUUUUUUGUCUCAUAAUGCAUUUUGUCUAGUUCCCUUCGUAGCUGAUAUGGAUGGCUAAAGUGCUUUGCUAGGUAAAAUUUCUUGCUUGGAUUGUUGUCCAUGGGAGAGUUAAAAUACUUGUGAGCCCGACAAUGGUAAAAGGGCUUGCAUCUGUCUCUUAUUCGCUAUUGGUGCAACAUGUGCAAAGGCGCAAGCAAAGUAUUGAUCACAAUUUUUCCUUCCAAGUUCUAUGCGUUGAGACUGUUAUAUAAGCUCUUUAGGUAGUUAGAUUAAUCUGGGUAGUUCCUCUUCUUGUGACCAUUCAUGGAGAGGUUUUUGCACUUUUGGUGGAGGGAAGAACACAAAGGUUUUGUAGUGUUUAAAACAAAUUGUGUUGGGUUUUUUGGUUGGGAAGGAACAGUUAAAUUUUCAAUAGUAAAGAAGAGGAUGCAGUGGACUACUUCUAUGGGACUAUGGCCUGAUUGUGGGACUGACUUUAUGCUUCCGCGUCUUUUGAAGUGAGAGACUAUAUUUCUUCCUUCUGAAUUUGGAUUAGGAAGCAGCUCUCUUACGACUUUGUGUUUGGUUGUCUUGCAUUAUGGCUUGCUUUGCUGGCUGGUUGUUUUGCUGGUUAGCUCAUUGUUUUUCAGGCUUCCGCUGCUUGCACUGUUUUAGUUUAGUGGACUGCGGGAUCAUUUUCUGUAUUAGUUCCAUUUCUGUUUAUAACAUCUUAUCAAUUUCCUACAAAAUGAAAAUAAAUAUACAAAUAAUGAGAAGUCAGGGCCAAAUCGUGUACUACAUAUUCUUUCUUCUUCUUUUUUGUUAAACAAUUUUUUUAUAUUUUAUAAUGUGUUCGUUUUUGUAAUUUGUGUUCAGGAUUAUCAAAUUGAUGAGCUCUCGCAAGAGUAUGUGGCUUUACACCCUAUGCCUUCUAAGAAGCAACCAUCAUUGGUGGAGGAACAUUUCAAACCUGCCAUGGAGGAUGAAGAUCAGAACUUAAGUGAUUCUGAUGCCUCCGCAUCAUCUUUGUCAUCAGAGGAUGAACCUGGCAAUGAAAAGAGUAAAAUGAGAAAGAAAGGACGAACUCCAAGGUGAAGAUUUCUGUUUCCUUCAUAGACCCUUGUUCUCCUGUUUAUUUAUUUGUUACAUUGCAUCCAUGUCCCUGAGUUUCGUGGAAGUCUAGGGAUCUCCCGCUUAUGUUUAGAAGUUAUACUAUCCUGUCCCGUCUAAGGAUAUUUCACAAUACAUGAUAGCAUUGGGGGAGAUUUCAUUUCAAGAGUGGGUUUCAAUCAUGCUUUUGGGGUAGAAAUAUCAGUUGAUCUGUAGAAGUUUUCCAAGUGUCUAUGACAACAAGAUUGAAAUUAUUGGUUUGCCUGAUAAACAUUUUGAGUUCAGUUACGAAUGGAGGAGUCUAAAAGACAAAACAUGUGAACAUAGGACGAUGCAGAACUGUAUCAAAGAAAAUUGUAUUCUCUAUGAGAGGUCAGUAUAAUUCCUGAAAAUAGAAUAUUGAAAACAUAAGUGAUGUCUGGGCAUUUUGAAUAAAAUCUUAGAAGGUUAGCAUAAUUUUUUUCUUUUUUUUAACAAGAGCGAACCAUCAUUGGUCCAGUUUAAUGGAUUUGGGUCCCUCGAGGAAGGUGCAUAAUUCACUCUGAUCAAUAAUUGGAUCUGUCAGACAUGAGCAACUUUUGCUAGAUUUGGUGAUUUUAACCCAAACCUGAUUUGUCUAUUUUCUUUCCCCUGAACUGUUGCUAUGUAAUUCUGUGUAUUUAUUAUGUAUGGAGUUUUGAUUCGAAUCUUGAAAUGUCUGUUGGAGGUUAAAACUCUAAAUCUGAGUUACUAAAUAUCUGUUUCCUGAAAUUCUGUUAGAUUGUAUGAAGUGAAGGAUGAGCGGCAUGCAGAAGCAUUCUUAAAUCAUGAGUCAUUUGCAAAGGAGGAAUUACUUCCAUUGGGUGAGAGGGUAGCAGCUCUCAGAGAUGAUCGGCGGGUUUCUGCUAUCCCAAGUGAUGUUAAGCUGGGACCCGGAGGUUCACGUGAGAUUUCCUUUAGAGCUAGAAGCUCAGCCAAGUACAAAGAGGACGAGGAGGAUGGAGAAGCACAGCGUGGAAAGAGGAGGGGAGUUCAAUCAUUGGGACUAAAACCAAAUAGUAACGGAUUUGGAAGUCGUGGGAGAGGAGGCAGGGGAGGUAGAGGAGGCAGAGGAGGAGGGAGAGGCAGCCGAGGGAGAGGAGGGCAUCGCGGGAGAGGUAGAAGUGGUGGGUGGUAAAUUAUUUCCAAUUUAUUUAUCAAUUUGUGUAUGCAUGCGCCAUGUUGUCGUUCUUUAACCAGCCUUUAUACAGAGUGACGGUAUCAUUUUGCUGCUGAUAUAGUAAAUCAAGGGUAGGGAAAUCUCCAAUGAGGUACAACAGAGGAAAUGAAGCUGUAUAUUGGAAUUAUUGUACUUAUAUUAUCAACUUAAACGUAUUCAAAAUAGUAUAACUGGUAGAAGUUAGCCAAAACUUGGAAUUGGGUUGUAGUUCUAUUCUAUAUAUCAUUUCUACAUACUUGGGAGUUAUGCAACUAUGACUAUCAGACUCGAUGCGCCAAGGCGCGGCUAUACUUGUUUGUUUAGCAAGCGGCCGCAUUCUCCAGGUGGAGGAAGUGAUCAGGAGGAUGAGCUUAAAGCAACGUCUCUAUAUUUUCAAAUUCCAAACCCUCCCCACCCGAAAGCGCAUGUGAAUUUGUGGAUCUUUAUUUAUUAGGUCUGUCGUAGCAUGUGUGCAAUAUGUACUGUACAUGUUAUUUAUUAUUUUGUUGUAUUGUGUGUGUCGGUGUGCUAUUAAGGCUAGUUUAGGAUUUUCCUAUCCAUAAGCUACGAGUAUGAGCUAGGAUUGUUUUAACUAAGCAUGAACCAGAUUGAAAAAAAAGAAGGGGAAUAGAAAAUACUCAUAUUUUAUAUAUGUAAAAUCCAAUAUGCCCUUUUAUCUGGAAAAUGUCACAAGACCUUCGGAAAUUGCAUAGGCUGCCAUUUAGAAAUGUUGACAACACGUAUAGAUGUAUUAGCAACUGCUAUUGAAUAUUGAUCCAAAAUAGACUUCCAGAGUUUACAAUUCCUUUUCAGCUUUUAAAAAUCCUAUUGAGCCGCUAACGCAAUUAGAAUUAGCAACUAGAAGCUUCGAUUGGUCCUUUUUUGACCCCUGGGUUUGACCAGUGAAUACUUUUUGUAUUAAUUUCCCAAUAGAUUGUAUUUAUUAUUAUUCAAUUACACCGUUGAAUUUGUCCAAAUAUUUUCAUGGUUGAAUUGAAUUAAGGAGUUUGGAGGAGUCUUAGGCCAAGGCAUUUGAUCAAAGGAGGCUGUGGUUGGUUUGAGAGGUUGGGUGCUACAUAACCAUCUAAACUUGUUGCAACUCAGCCUCAUUCCCAUUGUGUUGAUUGAACGAGUCACUUUCUAAUUGGUUGCCUGUAGUGCUGUAAAGUUCAUGUAAAACACUAACCGACCUUAUUGAAAAUCACAGGGAACCAUCACAUUCUCCUUUUUUGAACUGCAAUGCCAAUACUUUCCUUCGUAGUAAUUUUUUGUUGAAAGAUAUUGAUAAUCUCCGUCCAUUUACCAAUUGGUCUUUUAUUAAAUAUCUUCAUUCUAAUACGUAUAAAGAUAAUGAGUGCUAUUGGACUCUAGACUAUGCUUUACUAAUGAGGAGGGCCUCGAGUCUCACUUUGCCUUUAGAUGUGCCGAGGGGUUUGGUUUGGUACUUGUUAGCUCCAUUUAUUUGAAUUGCAACAAUUCGUGGUUUGCGUAUACUUGUCCUGACUUAUUGAAUAAUAUUAGAUGACAAUUACAAAGUUCGAAGGUUUAUCUCAAGCAAAGGACACAUACCUCAAGACAACCAAAAUUCUAAAAUAAAUCACAAGCCUAAAUAAUGAAAACUACCACUACCACUCAAAGCAAUGCCACCAAUUAUUGUGAAACAUUGGACGGAUAUGAGGAAAUUAUGAUAUCCAAUGAUUUAGUUUCACAUGAUAGUGAAUAGAUCCCCUUAUUUGACGAAAAUGACCAAAAUCACUUGAGUAGAUAACAGCAAAAUCCACUAAAAAACAUGUAGUACUAAAUUGAGAGAAAGUUAGAAUUUUGGAGGGAGAGUUUUGAGAGAGAGAUUGGAUUGAAAGAGAAGAAAGAUGGUUGUGGUGUAGAAAAAGAUGUUAAAAGGAGCGGGGAGUGCGGCUAGAGUUUGUUUUUGCUCUCUCUUGGAUGUGUUUAUUUAUUUAUUUUUUUUGGUCGAAUUGGAUGUGUUAUUUUUGAAUAUUUUAGUACAUGUGUAUAAAUAAACAAAAAAUAGAAUAUUUUAGCAUCCAUACAAGUCUCAAUUAUGUUUUUAAUCUAUAUAUAUAUUCCAACAAAAAAAAAAAAUCAAUAUAUGUUUUCUUUUUAAAUUUAUUGCAGGGAGUAAACUUCUGGUAAAACAUGAAGACAUUUUAAACUUACAUAACGCUCCUUCUUUAAAAUUUUAAAAUGUCCUAUAGCAUGAAGAUAAAAUUUUAAGGAUAAAGAAAAUAAAAGAAGAAUAAUAACUAAAGCACAUUUUUCGUAUUCACCAACUGUUGAAAUUUGAGAUAUGAAUUCAUCACCAACUAGCAUUUAGUUUAAUAGUAAUUCCCUUCGUGAUGCUGAAAGAAAUUCAAAAUAUGAAUUUUAUCUCCCUCGUUGAUAAAAAAAAUAUAAAAUUAUGAAAUAACUUGUUACUUAUUAGGAAUGGGUAUAAGAAAAAAAAAAUUUCCCUGAGUUCCCUCAUGUUUAUUGAUUAAAAAAAAUGAGGGUUACAUAGUUUAAUAUAUAAUCCAAUAGCACCCUCAAAACCAUGAAUUGAAUAUAUUAGAGCAUCUCCACCCAUAAGGGCUAAGGCAAGGGCAAGCAAGGGCUGCCACUAUUCACGUGAAUAGUGGCAGUCUUGCCUUUUUUGGUUCCAUCCCAAAAGACUAGGGCAAGGGCAAGAAAAAAAAAGAAUAUGCAACAAAAUAUAAACUUGUUAUGUAUUUAUAGGGAAAGUGAAUAAAAUUGUUAUGUAUUUAUAGGAAAAACAUCAAUAAUUUUUUAUAUAAAAAAUUAAAUUUUUUUCAAUUUUUUUGAAUUUAUUUUUGCUCGCUGAUGUCAGCGUGACAUCACCGCUGACAUCAGCGCCUUCGGGCUGAAGCCCAGGCAAGAUUUGCCCUUGGGCUUGCCCAGGCUGGUGGGACCCAGGCCUUGCCCGGGCUGUUGGUUGCGCGCUGGAGGUUGUUUGGGCUCGCGAAGGCAGCCUUUUGCCUGAUUUUGGGUGCGCGCUGGACUUGCUCUUAGGGGAGUUGUUAAUCCAAUUCCAAUUUUUUUAUUCCCCUAUUUCCAAUUUUCCCACCCAGUUCAAAGUAAGUACCAAGUGAAACUAAUGACACUAGACUGGAUUAUUAGUGGCAUAGCACACGUUGAAAGACAUUCAAAAUUCGAAUUAUCCUUUUUCUCGUCGAUACUAGACUGAUGAUACUAAACUGAAUUAUUAUUGGAAGAUCACACCCUUUUAUUUAUUGAACAUAUGUACAUAAUUCGAACUCUCUCUUAUAAAAAAGUGAAGACCCACACGGUGAUUAGUAAUUGAGCAUUUUUUUUAAUCUGAUCAAACACAUUAUUCAUGAUGUGCUACAACAUAAAUACAAAUCACCUUAUAAUCUGAUCACAAAAUAUUAUACAGCUACUAGUCCUACUAUCAAAAGAGAAGGCUUAAAAAAUGAGGUAAAAAACUUGACCCAAAAAGUUUUUGAGGGAAAAAAAAACAACAUAGAGAAAAUAGUGGAGCAAAAUCAUUAGAGAGAGAGAGAGAGAGGGUUUAAAAUUGAAAUUGAAAGGGAACCGGAACGGAACCCAGCUAAAAACUUAAAACAUUUAAGAUUCAAAAUAAAAGAAAGAGAGAGAGAGAAUGGCGAGAAGAGUAUGAGAUUUCAAAACGCAAGAGAGAGAAAGUGGGAAGAAAUAGAUAGAGACUCUAGAGAGAGAGAGAGACAGACAGAGCUUCUCCCACAUUUCCUCUUUCCUUAAAUUUCUUCUGUUUCGCUCUGAAUCUCUGAAUCUCUGAAUCUCGAAUUCUAAUUCCUUCUAGCUAGAAGACAGCCAGAGAGAGAGAAAGAAACAAAGGGAGAUCGUUUUCAUUUCCAAUUUCUAGGGUUUCAAUCAGAUCCAUCGCUCUCUCCCUCAGAUCUUUGAUCCUCAAUCCUCUGCUGCGAUGGAGGCGAUCGAGGAGUUGUUGCAACUAUCAGACUCGAUGCGCCAAGGCGCGGCUGUACUUGCCGACGAAGAUGUUGACGAAAACUCAAGCUCCUCCCGCAGGGCUUCCAGUUUCCUUAACGUCGUCGCUCUCGGCAAUGUUGUAAGUCAACCAAUCUCCUUUUGGAUUCGAUUCGUUGGAAUUUGAUCUCUUCGAUUCCACUUGCUCUGUUUCCAAUCAGCGAUCUUUAAAUCUACGCUUUGGGUUUGGACCUUAAUCGAUGUUUCUUAUUUGAUUUGGGUUUUUGUGAACACCCUGUUUGUUUGUGUCGAGAACUGAGGGCUAAGGCAAACAUAGCUCACAAAAGACAAGAUAUUGAAUCUGAAAUCCAAACUCUUAAUGAGUUUGAUUUGAUUUGGGCUAUAAAUGAGGAAAAUGAUCACCAGACACAAUAAUGGUUUAAACGCCUUGGGCAGUUCUUGGCGAUCUGCAAUGGUCCACCUUACUGUGCCACCCUGAAUUAACUGAAAAAAGUUACAUUCAACAGUUUUCACUGCUGCUAUAGCUGUACUUUCCUUGUAAAUAGGAAAUAAAGGAUCUAUUUCUUGACUUGUUCUCUUGCUGUGCAUAUAGUGUGCUUUUUUGUGCGUGUCUGGAUAUGUGCAUUUGUUGGUGCAUUCUGCGUGUCUGUCUGUCUAUAUAUGUUUUUAUCCAUGGAAUCACUCUUACCUUGUAGCUUCAGGAAUUCUAGAGUUCAGUGGCUAUCUAUUCUCAUAAUCUAUGAUGAACAGCUUGAAGAUGAAUUUAUAUUUGCAAAACAUGAAAUAUAUAUGGCAUCAUUUCUUAUGUUUGGGAUUACUCUUGUACUUAUCCAUACUGGCCUCACUGUCCGGAGAUCCUGAUAUAUGCCUUCUUUUUUUUCCUGAUGGUUGUUAUUGUCAGGGUGCUGGUAAAUCAGCUGUUUUGAACAGUUUAAUUGGACACCCCGUUUUGGUAAGUAGUACAAGGUUUGUGUUGUUUGUGACCAAAUUAAAGCUCUAUUUUUAUUCUAAGGUUAAUUUCCUCUUCUCCUUCCAGCCAACUGGUGAAAAUGGUGCUACUCGGGCUCCCAUUAGCAUUGAUCUGCAGAGAGAUGCUUCUUUGAGCAGCAAAUCUAUUAUAUUGCAGAUCGACAAUAAAUCUCAGCAAGUUUCUGCAAGUUAGUAAUUGCAUUUUUGCAUUCUCUCAUUAGUUCAAGUUAUUGGUUCACUGUUGCUUUUGUUCAGAUGUCUUUGGUCAACAUUAGGAAUCCCCUUUGAGAGCUUUAUGGUUUUUGAAUGACCUUUAACAUAUGCUGGGUGUAUACCCAGUUGAAGCCAAUGUGACUUACAACCCCUUACAAGAUAGUGUAGAGAAAUACUAUGAUGUUUUGAAUACUUGAUGUAUGGUGACCUUGCUAAGCUUAUUCUUAUUCUGCCAGUUUUGAAACUCUAAUAUAUUUGAUGUUGUUCUGCAGGUGCUUUACGGCAUUCUCUGCAAGGUAGGCUGAGUAAUGCCACAGGCAAAAGUCGAGAUGAAAUUAAUUUGAAACUACGGACAAGUACAGGUUAGUUCAUAUUGUUACCUAGCUUCCAGUCUCUUCACUCAUUAAUUAAUGUUAAGUGGUUGAUUGAAAUUUUCUUUCUACUAACAUGAUUUUUAUUGCAGCCCCACCUCUAAAGUUGAUUGAUUUACCUGGGCUUGAUCAACGAAUCAUGGAUGAGUCAAUGGUAAGUGACUGUUUGCAGUUCUAGACUGUUAGUCUUUCAAGGGAUAUGUGGUAGGAUUUAUUUGAUGCCUCAGUGGCACUGCUACUCCCUUUACUAAAGUUUAACCUGGUAAUCUUUAGCAAGAAAGUUUCAUUUUUCCUUUUGUAGAUUAGCGAAUAUGCUGAGCACAAUGAUUCAAUUUUGCUCGUUAUUAUACCUGCAUCUCAAGCACCUGAAGUUGCUUCAUCUCGAGCCCUCAGAGUUGUCAAAGAAUACGAUGGAGAUGGUAAAAACAUUGUUAUUUAGUUUGUAAGACCUUUUUUCCCUACUCGAGGGAGUGGGUUGCUGAAAUGUUCACUUUAUUCUUUGUUCUCUAAUUAUGUUCACCUUAAUGCACCCCCUCUAAUAUCCUUCCUUUUUUUUUCCCCAUAUUUUACUACAUUGUUAUUGUUUUAGUUGUUAGAGCAACUGAAAAGACAAUCAAAUAUUGAUUACAGGUACCAGAACUGUCGGUGUAAUUAGUAAAAUAGACCAAGCUUCUUCAGAUCAGAAAGCACUUGCUGCAGUCCAGGCUCUUCUGUUAAAUCAGGGGCCAUCUAGAGCAUCUGAUAUUCCAUGGGUUGCUUUAAUUGGUCAAUCAGUUUCAAUAGCUUCUGCACAGUCUGGAGGUUCUGAGAGUUCACUAGAAACUGCGUGGAGGGCUGAAAGUGAAAGUCUGAAGUCCAUUUUGACUGGAGCCCCUCAAAGUAAGCUUGGUAGAGUAGCAUUAGUGGAUGCUCUGGCGCAGCAGAUUCGAAGUCGUAUGAAAGUCCGGCUUCCAAACCUCCUUACUGGGUAAUGUUUCCUGGAUUCUAUAUAUCUUUUUUAUUAUAUUGUCUGCGUUUUCUAAGUCAUUCAUGUUAUUGGAAGCGCACGUCUUUAGGCUAUGCUUAGUGCUGUGUUACAAAAUGGUUAUUUGGUUUCCAAACCAGACAAUGAGUAAAAUGUAAUUGGUUGCCUUGGUAUUAGAGCUUGGAUCCUAGCCUCCACAAAGAAAAAACCCUAGCCUCCAUCAAAAAGAAGAAAAACCUAGCCCCACCCACUCCCCUCAGUCUGCCUCCUAUGGAGGUGGGCCUAGUCAUGGCCACGUCUUGGAUGUUUUUGGCUGCUGUUUGGUCAGGGUUAUUUUCUUGUUGGUAGCUUGUAUAUUCUUUUGGCUUUAUUCUGGAGUUUUGGGUCCACUUUUUCUGCUGAUCUAGUCCAUCCUAGAUGCGUUUUUGGUUUCUGGUUUUGGGGGGACUAUUUCCUGGUACCUUUACUAAUUGUGACACAAAAUCGUCAAAAAAUUUAGUUUAUAUUGUUAAUCCUAGGAUUUUUCAUUUCUAUGUGCUGUUCACAGCCCACUUGGCCAUUGCAGUUGCAUUUGCCUAAUAAAAUUAGCUUAAUCAAUACUUAAGAUAUUUGUAAUUGUAAGUAUGAGCUUAGGACUUGGAAAGUUUCUGAUUGAACAGCAAUGUAGUUUAAUUUACACCCCAUGCUUCAACUAUGGUAUUAAUUUUUUUUUCCAAGUUAAUUGGUUAGUUUCAAUUCAACAUGUACUUUUGUAUUUUCCAGGUUACAAGGCAAGUCUCAAAUAGUUCAGGAUGAGUUGGUAAAGCUUGGUGCGUCAAUGGUGCAGAGUGCCGAGGGUACCAGAUCUCUAGCUUUGGAACUUUGCCGUGAAUUCGAGGAUAAGUUUCUCCAACACAUUACAUCUGGUGAGGUGAGUUCUUUUUGUUAAAUGGCCAUUUUUGUGUUCUAAGUAUAUUUUGUUGUAUAUUACUUUUUAUUUCCUUCAAAUUAUUGGUAAAUUCAAAUACAAUAUUUUGAAUAGUUCAUAUAAGAAAGGUAGAAAAGUGGCAAACAGAUACAAUCCCUCCCAAAACCACAUCCCUCUUAAAAGUGGACGUAUGUUUAUUUUAAAAUGCUGUAAAGUACUAAGCCCUCUUUUUUAAUUUUAUUUUUUUAAUCAAGAAGUUUGUCCAAUCAUUGUUUGACAAUGAGGCGACCUUUAAGGUAGGUCUAAAAUCUCAUUAUUUUACUCCUUGUCUUGGGUUUUUAGAUGCAGUCCAUAUUGUAGUAAUAGAAGAGUCGUUCUGAAAUAUCUAAUGUAUUAAACUUAGCAAUCAUUCAAUUUAUAGAAUGUCUUACUAGAAGCCUUACUAAGGUUAAUAUAUUGUUCCGCUGCCAUGUUUCUAUCAGCUGCUCAUCCUAUUUUUUUGUGCAUUAUUAUGGAUCAUAAUUUCCAUUAGCUUCAAUUUUAUCUUAUAGUUAAAAUGGCCCCCUUGUUGUUACUUUAUGUGGUUUCUCAGAUUUCUUCACUAUAUUGAGAAUAAUUGGAUCUAUUUUGGGUUUUUGGUACCAUUUCGCUUCCUACAAUGAGAUGGAAUGUUUCAGGUUUAGGUAAUUUUCAUGGAGUUCCUUGAAUUUUUUGCUCAUAUGGUUUUAUAAAUUACUUUGCAGGGUUCUGGAUGGAAAAUUGUUGCCAGUUUUGAAGGAAACUUUCCAAAUAGAAUAAAACAACUCCCAUUAGACCGACAUUUUGAUAUCAAUAAUGUGAAGAGGGUAUGUUUUGUCUUUGCUUUGUUUCUCUUACACUCUGGUUUAAAAAUUCUUUUAACUUCUCAUGACUUCUUGCUAUCAUUUUCUAUCAGAUUGUGUUGGAAGCGGAUGGCUAUCAGCCAUAUCUCAUAUCCCCUGAAAAGGGUUUGAGAUCUCUAAUAAAAGGUGUUUUAGAGCUUGCAAAAGAGCCAUCACGUCUUUGCGUGGAUGAGGUAAACCUAGCCAUGUCUUGUUCUGCUUUUGCACAAGUCUGAAUUUCUUGUCUUGCUGUUUUCAAGUGUGCAGAAAGCUAUCGUGUAGUCUUCACCUUCGUUUUUUCCUCCUCUUUAUUAUGUUUGAGUUUAGUGCAGAAUAAUAAUUAUAAAUAGGAUUUUCUCUGGCUGGAAAAAUUGAAAUCUCUGACUUUGAUCUAUUUAUGAGUCUUAGACUGCAUUUUCAGUUGUGUUGUAGGUCUACAUUGCCUUGGGUUUCUUCUGAUAUCAAAAUAAUAAUAGUUGAAUAAUAUAAGUCCCACAUCGGAAACUAGACUAAAUAAAAUAUAAUAUAUAACGAAUGGUUCCACUACUAAUAUCAUUGAGGCCUUUUGUGGUAAAACUCCACACUAACUAGGCCUUGUAGGUGGUUAAGUUGGGGACAAUUUCGGUGUUUCUAGUAGUGGGUCAUUGACAUGUCUCUCUGAAAUUUAACAUGGUAUUAGAGCCAGGUUAAUUGACUGGGCCUGAAUUGGGCCUUUACCCUUCCCAAUAUGUGGUGUUCACUUGUUGGACUUGAAUGUUUACCCCUACCCCUUAUCCUAUGUGAUGGUCUCAUGUGAGGGGGUGUAUUGAAGAAUAUAAGUCCCACAUCGGAAACUAGACUAAAUAAAAUAAAAUAUAUAUUGAAUGGUUCCACUACUAAUAUCAUUGAGGCCUUUUGUGAUAAAACCCCACACCUACUAGGUUUUGUAGGUGGUUAAGUUGGGGACAAUUUCAGUGUUGCUAGUAGUGGGCCAUUGACCCGUCUCUCUGAAAUUUAACAAUAAUGUGGACUCAUCUCUUUUGAAUUUUGUUAUUUGAUAUGAAUGAGUGGUCUUGGAGGGCAUUACCUACAAUUAAAUUCAUCCCUUCACUGCUGUGCAAUCGUAGCAUGGACAAUUGUAUGAGUAAAUAUUGACAAGGAAAUCUUGGCUGAUUGAUUAAAUAGGUACACCGUGUCCUGGUAGAUAUAGUUUCUGCUGCUGCAAAUGCUACACCAGGUCUUGGAAGAUACCCUCCUUUCAAGAGGGAGGUAUGAUAACUGAAAUAUUGUCCGGUUCUUGUUCGUUUUUAGCUCUUUGCUUCCUAUAAUUUUUCACAAUGCUUAAUCCAAUGAAUAGAUUCUGUAUGGGUUAACUUUUUUUUUCUUCAAUUUAUUUCAAGGUUGUGGCCAUUGCAAGUGCUGCGUUGGAUGCAUUUAAAAAUGAAGCUAAGAAAAUGGUGGUUGCACUGGUAGAUAUGGAGCGUGCUUUUGUGCCUCCCCAACACUUCAUUCGCUUGGUGCAAAGGAGGUAGUUUCUAUUUUUUUGUUUGAUUGGUGACGCAUAAUGCCCAUUAGGGUUCCAGGUGCAAACUGUUUAAGUUGCUGUACAUAUUGGACAUUAUGCAGUAUUGCUGAAAUCAAUUCCUUUUGCAUGUUGAGAUGGAAGGAGCUUAAUUAGCUACACUAUUGUCAUAUAACUUAAGUGUGCGUGCACACACAUGUUCUUGCACACAUCGUGUCCACGUGGACUUUUUUAUCAAAUGUUUUGUUUUUGAGUCGGUAUUCUGAUGUAUAUAUGCAGCUUGUUAUACGAUCUAUUGAUUCUUGGUCUAUUACAGGAUGGAGAGGCAGAGAAGAGAGGAGGAAGUGAAAAAUCGAUCCUCAAAGAAAGGACAAGAGGCAGAGCAGGCAAUAAUGAACCGGGUAAGGGACCGACUCUUUGUAGUUAUGUAAACUGCGAUUAAUGAAAUUGAAUAUACUAUUAAGUGGGCAAAUGAAUUUAUUUUACAUAUAAAGUGCUGAUUUUAUCGUCUCUUAAUUAUUUAAGGUGCUUGUUCAUGAUUGUUCUUUAUCUUCUUUUUUUAGGCCACUAGUCCUCAAACAGGGGGUGAGCAAGCUGGUGGAAGCUUGAAAUCAUUGAAGGAUAAGGAUAAAUCUGGUAAGGACAGCAAAGAAGUACAGGAGGCAUCUGGUUUGAAGACUGCAGGUCCGGAAGGAGAAAUAACAGCAGGUUUGUAUGCAACUUUUUGCACAUUAUGACCGCUAGGAACAGGGAUAGAUCGUACAUCUGAUAUACUGAACUUCUUGUUUUGUGAAACUGAUGUUUGUUGUAUUAAUAUGUUUGAGAAACAGUAGGCCCUGCUGGUGACUGUUUUUCUGAAGAAAAAAAUUGAGUUUUCCUGACUGAAAACACUUUUAGUGGUAUUUUAUAAAGAUAUAUCUCGUUUUUAUUUUGCUAAGUACAUACUUAUUAUAGGAGGUUGCGUGAAACAUUUUUUUAAAGCUUAGAAUUACCUGCGGCAAGGUUCUCUGGAGUCAAUUGUCUUUUAUUAUGCACGUCGGAAGUGCAUUGUUCUCAAAUUAGCAUCCUUGAACAUUAUUUGGCAGUGAGCAGAUCAUUCCUUCACAUUUUUUAAAACGCCUGUGUAAAUUUUUGCAACAAUAUCAAACCAUACAUAACAGUCACAGAAACUGAUCACCUUGGUCAGGAAAUGUGGAAACAAACAUGCCAGGUCUUGUAUGCUCUAGUUCAAUCCCUCCCUUCCCCAAUUCGUAACUAAUAAAAAUGAUGAUAGUAACUGUGGGAACUUUGAGCGAUUGAAAGCACCUGUACUUUAAAAAAACUGUGUCAUUAAUCAGGGAAAAGUGGAAAUGUAUUAUCUUGGGGAUAUAUUGGUCUAAUUUUUCUUCAUUAUAUGUUAUGAUGUGAAUUCUUGGAAGCACCUGUACUAAGCUAGAGUCUUAUUGUAGCUGACUGCACUUUUCUAUUAAAGUAGUAAAUGGCCAACUUUAAAUUCAAAAUCCAUCUUGUGUUGGUUUUCUAUGGGCAAGGGGAUUUACUUCACCAUUUAGAUCUCUAAAGUUUUAUAAAUUGCACGUAUUAAUUUUAAAUUUUCAAAUAUUUGCAGGUUUCUUGUAUAAAAAAAGUGCCAAGACUAGUGGGUGGAGCAAGCGAUGGUUUGUUUUGAAUGAAAAGACUGGAAAGGUUUGUAAAAUUACACCCCAAGCCUAUGAUAAAUCCAAGCUUAUAUAAUUGCAAUGGAUUAUGGUGUCUAGAUAUCAGAUGAGUGUGUUUAUAUGAUGCAUCAAAUACUCAACAUAUGUUGGAUAAAUUUGUAUUGUGUUUGAUAUGAAUGAUAUUUAAAGACAUGGAUCAUUUGAGUUUAUUUAAAGUAGUAUUUUUUUUGUGUGGAUUUGUAUGAGUUCGGUACAUUAUCAAGUAAAUGGAGUUCGUAAUAGAAGGCCAAGGAGGAAUCAGCUCUGUUUGUCAAUCACCAAACCAGUCUGCAUCCAUUUCAAAUAAAUGUAGAACAUAAUCCAUAUAAGUACUAAGGAGAUAGAAGGGCCUUUCUUUGUCCAUACAAAAAGCAACCUUACGAGUUAUGCCUCAUCUCAGUCCAGAAAAGAAAAAGAGUUGUCCUUUGUUGGAGAGUCUUGAUCUCAAUCAGAAGUUGUUCUAUGCCUGCAAAAUUUCUGGCGUCUCUUUCAAGCCAUCAGUACCAAAAUAUCUCUUUAUCACUAACUUUCUAUGGCAUCCAGUAUAUUACCAAUUGAAGUGGUGGCACCCAACCAACCAUCAGGCAGAGACACAUAUAACCUUAAAACUCCAAAAAUGCAUAAGAAAUUGAGCCAUACAUUUCCUAUUAUCUUUCACAUUCUACAACCAUUAACAAGAAACCUGCCUCCUUUUGGGGAACAAAGAAAGAAAACACAUCAAGGCUUGGUGGCUAAAAUAACCACUUUCUUUAUCUGGCUAAUCUUUUGCUUACGUUUUUCUACUUAAAAUUCCACUAUUUGUUUUUUGAUUAUUAUCUGAGAGGAAAGCCUUCAUGUAUAGUUUUAUGUAUGUUCCAAUCCCUUUUGUUUGAGUCCUUAUAAGAUAGUGUCUUACUGCCAAACUAGAAGUCUUAUAAAGGAUGGAGUAGCACGUGCUAGCUCGCAGAUUAUAUACAUGUCCCAAGAUGUUGGAAUCGAGUCAUUUGUUUGCUUUCUCUUUUUUUUUACUUCAGAAUAUUGGAUUGUAAAUGUGUUACUAUUGUUGUUGCUACUCCUUUCGCUCUUGCAAAUUGAUAUUUGGAUUUAAUUUGACCCUUUCUUUAUUUCACAGCUUGGCUACACCAAAAAGCAAGAGGAGAGACACUUUCGUGGUGUCAUCACUUUGGAGGUAUGAGAACCCCUCCAAUGUCUCACCUCUUCAAAUUUAAGAUUAUUAGUUAUCUUAAUCAACCAAUUUUAAUCCCUUUGUAGCAUUUUACAUUGCAUUGCCAUCAGUUGUGGUUGCCUAGGAGUUAUCUGGAAGUAAUAUUUAGUUUCCCAAUGAAUAGAAGUAGGAUAUGCUUCGAUGCUGAGUUCUUUUCUUUUGAAUGUUUUUUCCCUGAGGUUUUCAGAAACAUUUCACUUGAUUUCUUGACUUGAUUGAUUAUGAAUUUUGGGUCGAAGGUGCUAACUGUGCCUACUGGUUUUACUAGGCUUGACAUUAGUAUAUGCAUACUGUUUGAUCUUUAUGGAAUCAAGUUAAUCCCUUGAUAGCAUAAUAGAUAUUUGUAAUUGUGAAGUUGUUUACACACAACUAAAUUCAUGUUGGUGUUAAAAAUAUGACCAGCAUUUCAGAUAGUAAUGAAAAUUUUGUUCUCUCUUUAGUCUUCUCAUCCUGUGAUCGAGAAGGGUGUGACGACCUAUCUGUUUAGUCAUCUUGGUGCAUGCACAAAGCAUUAUAUUGAAUGUGUGAACUCAACAUGUAUAUUGUUAAGAGCGGUCAGGGCUUACACCAUUCAUUAUGAAGCUGAAUGCCAGUGGCAACAGUGACCAAACUCUUUAUUAUUCUGCAGGAAUGUAAUAUUGAAGAGGCUACUGAUGAGGAAGAACCACCUCCAUCAAAGAGUUCGAAGGACAAGAAGGGAAAUGCGUCAGAAAAAGCACCCAGUCUUGUGUUUAAAAUUACUAGCAAAGUUCCAUAUAAGACAGUUCUGAAAGGUAUAUCCUUUUCUCUGGUGGUUGAAGUUGUCUGGCAGCAGAUUCAGCCAGUCUGAAAUGCAAGUUCAUUAUCAACUUGAUUUCCAUUUUUCUUGCAGCACACAGCGCUGUUGUGUUGAAGGCGGAGACCGUGGCAGACAAGAUUGAGUGGAUAAAUAAGAUUGGAAAGGUUAUUCAACCUUCUAAAGGACCACUGAGGGGUGCAUCAACUGAAGGUGGUCCUACCAUGCGACAAAGUCUUUCUGACGGUCUCUUGUGAGUUACUGACUCUGUCACUCUUACAAUUAUAAUAAAAUGAAUGGAUGACUGUAUGUGAAUGUCAUUGUGGAAUUCUGUUUUUCUGUGAUUCAUUAUUUUGUUACAUUCACUAUUGCUAUCUAUGUCUUUGUAGUUGUAAUUCCCUGUGUCAAUGGUCUACUAUAAUAUUGUGAACCUGUAGCCUUAAUUUUAUUUGUUUAUUUUUUAUAUUCAAAGUUCUGACUUCUCAUGUCGAUCUCUUUUUAGGAUACCAUGACUCGAAGACCUGCUGACCCUGAAGAAGAACUUCGGUGGAUGUCUCAAGAAGUUCGUGGAUAUGUUGAAGCUGUUUUGAAUAGUUUGGCUGCAAAUGUCCCUAAGGUAAGCUUGGAACAUCAGCUUUGUAAUUUUUUUUUCCUUGUGAUUGGACAUUUGGAGGGUACUUAAUACAUUUGUGAUUGGUUGAGCAGGCAGUUGUUCUUUGCCAAGUUGAAAAAGCCAAGGAAGACAUGCUAAAUCAACUAUAUAGUUCUGUCAGGUUAAUUUGAUAUUUUCUUUCCUGCUUUUUAUCUACCUUUUAGCUUGGACUUGCUAAAUCGGCUGCCUUUCAUAUGUUAUAUGUGUUGAUGAUGGUUGUGAUAAAUUAGUAAUAUAUGUGCAGUGCACAAAACACAGUGAAGAUUGAAGAGCUGCUUCAAGAGGAUCAGAAUGUAAAGCGUCGGAGGGAGCGCUACCAGAAACAGUCCUCACUACUUUCCAAACUAACACGCCAACUUAGUAUUCAUGACAACCGAGCGGCUGCUGCCUCCAGCUGGUCCAAUGGUGGUGGUGGUGCACCAGGUAUGUAGCUAAGAGCUGUUCUCAAAUUAUUUUGCUUUGCUUAUAAAUUUAUAUGAUAUUCUGGAGUGAAUGAAUAAAUAAAUAAUAGAAAGUGCUUAUCAUUUAUAACAUUUCUUUCCUAUCUUUCUUUCGGAAUUUGUAGAUUCAUUUUCUUUUACUUGUCAACUGGACAGACCUCAAAUGUUUUUAGUCCACUGAAUUUCUAUGUAAAUGCUUCUUUCUUUUUCUAACAGACUCUUAGAUUCUUUGAAACCCUUAAUUCUGAUCAAGACUCUACCUUUUCGCUUUUGAAUUUUAUUUGCUUAGUAAUUGAUGGACAUUGUAUGUUAAAUUUGCAGAAAGCAGCCCAAGAUCAAGUGGUGCAACAGGUGAUGACUGGAGAUCUGCCUUUGAUGCUGCCGCCAAUGGUCCAGUUGACCGUAAUUCAUCUAUAUCUAGGUCUUCAUCCAAUGGCCAUAGUCGACAUUAUAGUGAUCCAGCACAAAAUGGUGAUGUGAACUCGGGUUCAAACUCUGGUAGCCGUCGCACUCCUAAUCGGUUGCCACCUGCACCACCAGGUUCUUCAGGCAGCAGAUACUUUUAGAUGGGCGUCUAGAUUGAUUAAUUGAUGAUUUAUAUUUUCCUUGCAUUCUUGGUGGGUGAGGCUGCUCCGCCCUACUACAUGAUUUUUCUAGUAGAAUCCUUAGACGAGGAGAGAGGGUGUGUGUACAUAGAAGAUUACAGUCCUAUCAGGUUCUUACGGCUUGCCCCCGUGUCACAAGGAUGGAUUCAAGGCAUACUUGAAACACUCAUAUAUUCCUCUAUUCAAUUUUUCUUUCCGCGCGUAGAAUUUUACCUUUCUUUUCAUUACCUUUCCUUUUUUAUUUUCCUCCACCCAUUUUUGGAUACUAUAGCUGUAUUUGCCUGUCAUGAUUUUGAUUUGAUAUGUACGUUCAAGCUUUGAUGGCUUUGUAACAUCUGGAUUCUCCUCUGUAGAGGGAUGGAUAUAUUAUAUCUCUCUCAAUGUCAUAUAUUUUGUUUUCCAGUAUUGAACCAACCCUCUUCAUUUUUUAGUUGCGGCAGAUGGUUACUUGUGCAACAAUCUGCAAUAUUCAAAUUUAUGAUAUUUCUUGUAAUGAAUUUUUCAUUUCUCAAAGAUUAGAAGAGGCUGAUAGAACUCUUAAGUCUUUGAUUUCGGUUUUCGUGUUGCAAUCCUAAGUAAAUUGUGGACGGCACAAAAAAGCCAAUAUGAUAUUAGAAGCUUAAUUUUUAUCCACAUUAUAUAGGCGAAUGCAACAAUAAUUUACCAAAGCGUUAGGUUGUUGGUGUCAUUUAUCAGAUUUGAAUUGAUUGAUUAUUAUUUGGUUUUUAGGUCCUGGUCGGAAUGGGUAUUCUUUAAGAAUGAUGAUUAUUAAAAACGAAAAAUUGAAAGAAAAUAAGGAUAACAAACUAAGGUAGCUCUGUAAUUAUUUCUUCUUAGAAAUGUCUCUUAAGGUAGCUUUUCCCCCAUUGGGAGAAAUAAAAGAAGUCCCAUCUGAAAAGCUUCUAUUCAACUUGAUCCUCAAUGCGGAUGUUCAACCUCCUGAGCCAAAUAGAGUGAACAAUCAUAUUGAAAACAUCAAAUCUCUUGGAGGGUCCGUUUACCACAAAAUGCCUUUGAACCUGUUUCACUCUCCUGUGCAUUCUCAAAUACUGACUCUGAGAUAUUCCCAUUAGUAUUGUUUUGAUGUUUGGUAUGUCCUCCACUUGUAUUUGGACAGAAAAUGACUUCCAAUCAAGAACAUCACUGAAUGGUGGAACAUAGCUAUCAGAUAUCAACACAGGAAUGCAUUCAGCAUAUAUGGCUUCCACAACCCUGGGGCUUGCCACUUCAUAACCGCUAGGGCAUAAGCAAAACCUGCUCUUCUUCAACAUCAAUUCAUAGGACACUCCGUGGGGAAGUUGGUCGUAAACUUGCACGUCUUGGUCUUUCUCUUUCCAUUCAUUUAGAAGCAAGUACCUUAUGUGGCCAUGUAGCCGGCCUGCGAAGAAGGCAAGAAUCGACCUGCGAGAUGGGGAGAGCCCACCAACAAGUCCUUUGAUUUCCCCGGUUCGGAGAUGGAUUUCUGGAAAUGAGGCAUCUUUAGAAGGAUUGAAUCCUUCAGAAGUGUUGGCGUUGCAUAACACUCUUAUGGACUUGUGGUACAAAUGAGGAACAUAAGAAGAUGUGCGCGGCCCCUGUAGACAGACAAAUUCAGUUCACAACAUAAAUUUGGAACCACUAUUGUAAGCCUCAUGCAACCAAGUUAACAUAUAAAUAUAAUGGACUAUUUUGUAUAAACAGAGAAAACAAAAAAUGAAAAGGAGAGGCAAAGUUUAGGGUAAAAAGGUGAUACGAUUUCUUACCCAAUCAUGGCAAGAAAGCAUAAAGUGGUCAGCGCCAAGGCUUCUAUUCCAGAAGGGAUGCUUAUCGGAAAUGACAUUGACAUAGUCGAUGACAGCCCGUCCAAUGGAGUCUGUGUUAUGGGAGUCGGCCGCAUAGAGGUACUGAACCAACAUUACCACACUAAAUGGGAGAAAAUAAACCAGGGCCUCAUCAGGGUCUGUGGUUUUGUAAAUGUUAUUGUCCAUUUCCAUUUCAUGAAUAAACCUCCCUUCUGUAGAAUAUAUGCUUUUGCAAGGACCAUUGUGAAAUAUUGGUGGGUCUCCUUCUUCAUAUACAUAUAUCUUGAAAAGCCUCUCCAUCUCCAAAUAACUCCUGCAGUUCAAUCAAUUUAAUUUGUCUCUGAUUUAUAAAGAAUCAAUAUCCAAGUCGUAAAAACUAUUUGUACUAAUAAUUAAGAUUGUAAAUAAAAUACCUGUGAAAAGCAUUUGCAUUCCUGUAUAUUGGUCCUUUAGGAACAUAGUCGGGAUCUUCAUGGGUAGAGGUUAGAUUUCGAACUCGAGCAGCUUCUCUUAUUGAAGCCCGAACUCCAGCCAAAUUUGCUUCAAGUUUCUCUAACCUGCUAUAUCUCUUUAUAGUUACUGCUGAUGCAGAAGUCACAUUAACUUCAUCAGCUCCUAGGCCUUGAUCAUUCCAUACCAUCUCUUGUUUUUCUCCCUGUGGUUAUGCAACACCAAUAGAACAAUAAGCUACUUCGUGAACUUGAAGAAACACAUUAAUGAUUCAUAAAGUUACAAUGGUCAUGCAUGAAAAAAAAAAAAUCAAAAUCUUAAUUACAAUUUGAUGAGGGAGAAGAUGUGUUGUUGUUUCAUUUGGUUUUGACGAUGAUGAAGAAUUGAUAUGAUGAGCUUCUGAAGCUUCAAGCACUUGAGAAGGUCUUGAUCUUGUAGAGACAGCUCGGGAUGAAGAAUAGUCAGUCUCCAAUAUUUUGUUGCCAAAUCUCCAUGUCCAUGAAGACGAACCCGAAGUGCAAACAAGCACUGAUAUCACAAAAAAGGGUACUACAAACACUAAAAUUAAGACUGAAUAAUAUGAAGAAGAUGACCACAAUGAUGAAAACAAAGAAUAUGGUUUAUUCAGAGGCUUCAUCUCUCUCUCUCUCUCUCUCUCUCUCUCUCUCUCUCUCUCUCUCUCUCUAUGGUCAUCCACAAAUCACAAUUACACUAUAUGUGCAUGCAGUACUAGAGUACUGAAUGAGCUUAUUGUGCUAUUGAUGGAUUCAUUACUUAAACUGCUGGUUAUUCCUUGCUGCUCAUAAAAGUCAUUCUUUGAGAGAGGGUUGUGUGGCAAAGCUUUUUGGUGUCUAUAUAUAUAAGUGUCUGUGUGUGUGUUUCUGGCCAUAAGAUGCUUCCUUGCUACUUGAUCCAAGUUUGGCUCUCUUUCCAAAAGUUACACAACUUUCAUAUUUGCAUUAUUUUUUCUUUCCAAUUACUACCACUCGCAAUCACUGAUGCAGGGAUCCUAACCUAACCAACAAAUUAGAAAUUAGAAAGAACAGAAUUUAAGGGUUUAAUAAAUUUGAAUAAAAUGUUCUUCCCAAAAAAAGAAAAAAAUAGUAUGGGGGAUUAUAAUAUUAUGAUACAGAACGUGUUUAUUAUGCUUGCAGAUAACAAGGCUCUCUAACUUCAAGUUUCAAUUCCCAGUAAUCAAUCUGGCAAACUAAUUAAACUAAUGCAGUGCACAACUAAUAAAAUAUCUCAAUCCUGACUCAGGUAUCAGACAGUGCUAGUUUAACCCAUUGAGAUAGCUGUUAGUUAUAAUCGUGGCAGGGUGUAGGAAACAUAGGAGGGAUAAAAGAACAGUUUCAAGUACAAUAGAAACUUAAGAGCCCUUUCUUUGAUACGAAAUAAUAUUUGAUUAUAUGCACCUAAAUUCAAAAAUGGAACCUACUUCAUUACCAAGUCAUCUUGGGAUGCCCUCAAAGUCCGACUUUCUGUCCGUCACCGUCACCGUCACCGUCACUGUCACGUACACUAACUUUGAUUUUGCAAACAUUUUAGAGAAUCCAAAAAAUGUAUUGUCCUACCAGGCUUUCCUACGAAAGUUGAUUUUUUCCCUUUCACUUCAUCUUAAUAAUUAUUUAUAUUUUCUACAAGGGCACAGCCGUUAGUUUGGCAAGGAGGAAAAUUUCUACUACACACACUGGUCGGGAAGAGGUUUUAAGGUGAUGAUUUGAAUUUAGAGUGUCUGAUUUUACUUCUCGCCUCAUGCUCAUUCUUUUACCACAUUAGACCAUAUCGCAAGAUUUGCACCACUCGGAGUUUUGAGGUGCUCUAUAGUUCAAUUUUGAGGUUUACAAAUGUACAAUUCCAAUGGUUUUAUUCUUGCCACCUAUGAAUUGUCCCCAUAUUUGCUAGCCUAGACGGAAAAACAAAGAAAGGGCUAGCUACCACUCCAAAGUCUCCCCUGUUUCUUUAUCAAUCAUAACAGUCUCGUUUCUGAAUGAGGUAGUACUAUUAUUAUUAGUAGUAAUUAUAACACGCACCUUAAAAGAUUUUAAAUCAUGAAUUAAUGUUGACCAUUUUGUUAUCAUCUUCUGUAAAACUAAUUGUGCAAGUGUUUUCCGUUUGGAGGGUACCAUCUCCAUAUAGAGACAUAAUUUACUCAAAAGUCAAAAACCCCUUCUUUUGAAUUUUAGUACAAACCCAAAAAGCGCAGGCCAAGAAAAAACGUUUCUACCUCUCUACUUGUUGUUCGUAGUUUAAACGGAAAGGGUCGGUUGUUGAUUUUAGACAACAAUUCUUACAAUAUGUAAGUUGUGCUUCAAUGCCCAGUAUUGGAUCCAAAUGAAAUUGCUUUUUUGGUUGCAAAGUUAGGAAAGGAGAGGGUGGUUUUCUCACGCACAUUGUCAAAGUGCAAUGGAGUCGAACCUAAGAUUACAGGUCUACAAGUCAAGACCCUUUUUCAAUGGACUAGACCUCGUUGGAUGUAGUAAAAAAGAAGUAAAAUCAUUCCCCACAAGAAAGCUAGAAAGCUCCAAGAUAUGUUUACCAUUUGUAAUUAUAAUUAAGGGAACGGAGAAAAAAAAUAAAGAGUUGCUGCAAAGAUUAUAAUGAUGAUAUAAAUAGGACAAGGAUACAGCUCACAAGUAAAAAGAGCCAGGAAGGGCUCAACCGACAAAAUUUCCUGGACUGGUCUGUUCUAUGAACACUAAAUGCCAUAUAAACACUAACCGCCAUAUCUAUGAAAAGCUUCACAAGAGCUAACAAUGAAAAAAUUAAACAUACAAGAAAUAUUAUGAUACCCUUAUUAUCUACAGAUUGCUGCUUCUCCCUCACCUUUUCAACCUCAGAUCUGCAAAGCAAUAACAAUUGUAUUAGAAUACACGCAUCUAUAUGAACUGUUCACCUAGCAGAAACAAGUAGAUGAAUUCAGGCUAGAAACAUGGAGGUGAGCAUUAAACCAUUGUUUACUUUUUCUGGUUGCUUCAGCUUACAUAUAUUUGAUGAAAGCGAAGACGGAAAACAUGCAUAAGGUUGCCUUAUCUUUAAAUUAACUUGCUUAAAAAUUAAUCCCUGUAUAUAUAACUACCCUUUACGAGCUCAUAUAAAAUAUUUAUUAUACAGAAUUUGAAACACUUCAGUUUUCUUAAGUUUCUUUUCUUUCUUUAUUUGCUGUAAAGAGGAGCUCAUAAGAUUGCGUGCACUAAAUAGUUACUCCCCAGAAAAAAGUAACUUGUCAACUCAACAUCGCAUCAAUGUAGAAAAGAAAAUUUCAAUACAUAAAAAAUGGAGAAGUCUUAAACAAAAGAUCAAACCCUGACCUGAGGAUAGCAUUGUCCCUGACUAAAUUACCCAAUUGCAUGGAGACUAGGGACUGCCAAGAUAUAAGGUUGCGAACAUCUUUAGCCUACAAGGACAAGAAAACCAUUUUAAAAAAAGUAUUAACGCAUAAUACCGCCAAUAAAGAAAAGGCAAUACCAAUAUUUCCAAGAAUAAUGACAAAGCUAAUAAUAGUCAAAAUUCUAUGAGAUAAGAGUUUUACAUACAAUGAUUUCCUGGCUUUCAAGGAGAUUCCUUAUGUCUUCUCUGAUCUUCUGUACAUCUAAAUCUUUUUCUCCCAAAUCUUUGUCGAAUUCUCUGAAAAUACUGCCAUAUCUUGAAUUAGAUUCCUCCAGGUAUCGCUCCAGAACUGAUAAACUAAAAUCCAAGGAACGAACUUUCUGCAUUAGUAUUUUAAGAACGGUGUCCCCAGGCAUCCUGUUAACUUGUAGAUGGCGAACCUCUUUGAUAGGAUCAGGCACUUCACUUUUCAUUAUUUCAUUGUUCAGGUCAGAGUGUCCAACUGCAUAUUCAGGUUCCAAUUCUUUAACAAUAUUAUGAUAAAAUUCAUCAACCUCAGGGGAGUCUGGGUUGGAGGACGUAGGUUUCUGGUCAACAGUUGCUCCCUCAGACACAAACGGACUGUUUUCAACAGAAAUCAAAUCCUCAAGCAUUCGCUCAACAGCAUCCACUCCAUAAAUUUCAACAACACUGAGUGUGCAAUAGAAUUCUGAACCAUGAUGGCUCAAAAGAUUCAACUUUAUAUAUCUCACCCACUUCGGUUCCUGAAGAUCAAACCUUUGUGCAAGCUUAUUAUUUGCAGCAGUGAAAUUCCCAAGUAGAACCCAUUCAUCUGUUGGAUAGACCAAACUGCCAAGCAGCUCAAAAGCCUUUAAAUUAGAAGAAUAGUGCUCAUGAUUAGCUAUUUGAAUUGUAUCUACUAACGUUUCUUCUGAAAGCUCUAUAUCGACAAAUUUUCCUUCUGCAGAACAUGGAUUGCGAAGGUACUUGUCCUUAUCCCUGCCUAAGAUAUUAGAGGCACCUUUAGCUUCCUUGUUAAAAGCCAAGACCUUGGCUCCCUUUGCAGCUGAAGCAUAAUUGUAUUCAGCACCACCAGGCUCCACUCUGUGUUUUAUGCCUCCAGCCUCACCAUUUCCAGAUUUAGUUUUGGAAUUAAAUGUUUUGCUCUUGAACUCAUCAAGACCAAGUGGCACAGCACGAGGUAGGCGGCCAUUCUUUGGAGCAUCAUUUUCAAGUUUCACACCUGAACCAGAGCUCACCACCUCAGGUUGCUCACUAACAGCUGAGUCAAAAAAUAUAUUUCCUUCAGCUGAGGCACAAUGUCUACUUCCUUCACUAGCAAAGAAUUCACCAUUUAAACCACUGGUUUCAACACCAUUUGCGCACGCACCACCAGAAUAGUAGACCAAAUCAGUUUCUUUUUGUAUAUCUACAGAAUCAGAGUGUUCAUCCCGGUCCAGCUUAGCUUUGUCCCAAGUUGAUAUACCAACUGGAGAUACAGUGGAUCCAUCUAACACAAAGAAGAGACUAAAUAGCUCAUAACAAGCAGCAUGCAGGAGUAAAUCAUAAAAAUCACACUAAAAGUGAAAAAAGAUAAAAGAAAAAGAAGAAAUAAGAUGAAUGUAAAAAGCGAAAUUAAUAACAGUGUUUCAUCAAAGAAUUCACUUGUUUGCAAGGGGAGAUACACAGUGUCAACUUAUCGAUAGAUUUUCAGCUGCAAUUUCGCUCAGGAUAUCUCAAAGCAUGCUAACACUGCAAACCAUCUUUAUCUCAGGGAAGUUUCAUGAAAUUGCAGAAACCUUCCAGACGAUUUCCUUGCUUGGGCACAAAUUUUGGUCUUGCACUGAAAAUACUUCAGGUGCUUCUCUACUAAGCACUCCUAUUGUGCCCUUACACAAGAGUUGACUGCCUCUUGGAUUUCCUAAUUUUUAAAACCUUAAGCUCUUUCCCUUACUUUUUUUUUUUUUUCAACCAAUGUCAGAUGGUAAAUAAAAGGUUGAAAUGUCCAGUUUCCAAGCCUCCCCGACCAACUAAACAGCCCUCAAUAAUAUAACCUGCAAUGAUUUCGGUCUUCAACACUUAGGAACCCAAUCAAUUUUCCCAGUCUUUAAAAUUUCCCAAAGCCCAACCCUCAGCACCAGCAGCCCUAUCAUCAGCAGCGUUAGUCGUCCAUCAUCAAUUUUCCUGUUUGUGAUUCUACCCAAGUACCAUGCCAAUGCACCAUCUCUUCGUGAUUCUUUUUCUGUUGAGUAAAAGUGUAUCAAUGUUGAGAUGUACACAUGUACAAAGAGCUUCCCUACAACUAAUGUCCGAAUGUACAAAAGGGAAGAGCUUUGCUCUAAAUGAAGUUGAGGUAUCAUAUCUGCAGCCACAUGCAAUGGUAGUGAAGUAUGAAUACCAUUUUAUCUUUAUUUUUGUUUUUAUGAGAGUGAUAUGAAUAUUUGAUUGAGUGUAUGAGGCUAUAGAAACUAAAAACUAUAUGGUGAAACUAAAUCCUUGGUUUGUUUAGUAGUCAGCAAAGAGUAUUAUAUAUUUUGGGCUUAAUUAUUAUGCUUUCUAGAGAUUUUAUUUAUUGAAAAUAUUGUACAUUUUUAAUUGUAAACUUUGAGUGCCAAAUGGCUUACAUGUCAACACCUCGAGGCUUAUGCCUUGCCUUGUCAGUAAUAAAGUGCCCCCUCCUUAUGCCUGUAUCAUUGAAAACUUUAUCCUGAAUCAUAUAAACCUCCUAUGCACCUAUACUAAACCCCAUUGGGCAAGUCGAAAUAGUAGAUAGUUGACUUAACAUCUCCUGAAGUGUCAUUCAUAGUUUGCUCAUUUUCCCCCUAAUUUCUGCCAUUUCCCCUUUACUGAUAUCUACAUUUCUGUGUUUUCAGGUCGUUGAUUUUUCUAAAUUGUUUUCAGGUUAUGAUCUGCAAUUUUCAUUAUUGUUUUUCCUUUCGGCGAUUAGCUAUGGAGCAGAGAGAUUUUAGGUACAGAUAACCACAAGGACAUACCUCAAUAACUCUUCUAUAAUUAUAUCUAGUUCAAUCUGUGCUGCUGUACAACAUACAAUAAUAAUAUGUUUUCAGUUGCUUAUUAAAAAUUUCCCCAACCUGGUUUUGAUAACAAGUCUACGCAAAUAGAAAAAUAUUUCAUCUUUGGAUCCUCCCAUAUUAUACCCAUGCAUGAAUUUCAAAUGAUUUAGUAUAUUAAAUCGCUCAGCGCACCACAUCCAGGAUCAGAGUUAACUAACUGAGUCACUGAAGCAGAAAUGUAGCAAAUAAUACCAUAACAUAUAAAUCACAACGCUAAAUUGGUGAGUCAAACAAAAGAAAAAGGAAAAUAGAUUAAUAUAUGCAAUGUAACGGCCGAGCUGAUAUUUCAGGUAAACAAGAAUAAGUAGAGACCACUGAUUCUAAGCUAAACUCAGCAUCAGAAGCAGUUUUGCAACCAAACAAAAAAUGGUGAUCAUAUUCACUGCAGAAGCUUAGUGCUUUAGAUAUUAUUUCAGAAAUUCACAAACAGUUCAUAAAGGAAACCAACAGAAGAGAAUUGUAUUGAGUAGAGAGGUUACCUCUGUAUCCAUCUCCACGACUGAACCAUAAGCUGAAAAGAAAGACAAGCCCCCACAAGACAAAAACUAAAGACAGAGACACCUUAUACAAGCGGCUCCUUCCGCCGAACCCCAAAGCUCUUCUUUGCAGAAGAGCUCUACGUGACCUUUGCAUUGCACAUCAAUCCAAUCCACUGCUGAACGAAGAAAAAACAGAGAACAGAGUACCUGUACCGAACAAAACAUAGACUUGAGUUGAGUUCCACUCUCUAAAAAUAUAAGAAAAUGAAAUUACAUACAUUUCACAGCUAUGAUUGUUGUAAACGGAUUCCAAUCCAAGUCAAUGAAUCAAUCAGAAUACAAUAUAAAUAAAUAUAUAUACAAACAUGUAUAGCUUGCAGAUUCAGCUACAUGCAACUACAUUUUGAAGCAGAUGUGAAAUGAGUUAUCUUUAAUGGAAAAAAAAAAAUGAAGUGUUUAGAUUGCAAGCUAUACAAUUAAGAGAAAACUUAAUGGGUGAAAUACCAAACCGAAUUAUCUAGUAGCUGUACAAAUUGAUGAGAAAAAAAGAAGAAGAAAGAUUGAGUAGACACCCAUUUCGGUAAAUUGAAAUGGGAAUUCUCCACCAAAAGAACCAAAUUCACCUUCGCAGCCAAGCAAAACAACCUUUUGAUCUCUUAAAGAUACACUCUUUCACCAAAACUGAUGGCGAAAUGAGUAAAACAAACAAAGCCCAUGAACUAAAUUAAAAUAGAAGAUGAAGCAACCCUUCAUGCCAGCCUGGUUCUGUCUCUAAAAUUCAAAAAAUAUCUUCUUUUUUUAUUAGAAAAGAAAAGCAAAAAACUGCAAUUAUAUAAAUGUAAGCAGAUCUUAGUCUAAGUGGAUAGACAAUAAUUCCAGCUUCAAUUGGGGUAACCAAAGAUGAGAUCCAAUUCAAAAAAUACUAUUAAAAAAAAACAAAGAAAAGCAAAAUGUUCAAAAGAAACAAAGAAUAAGAAUCACAUGCCGACCUUGCAGGUUGGUGAAUCAGUCGGUAUCGUAUUGAAACGAUCAACAAAUAAGAACAAAACAAAAUCGGCAAAGCGGGGAAAUUUUCGAGAUUAGCGAAAGCAAAUCAGAAAUGCGAAGUCAUCGUAGAAGAGCGAAAACAGAGCGUCAAUACGGCGUAGUUUAAGGAGAUUGUUCGCUUUGCCUUGAGCGUCAAACGUCUUCCCCCUUUUUAUAUUCAUCUUCAUCGUCGUCGUCACUGCCUGUGUCGCUUUCUUUUGUAACGGUUUUGCUUCGAUUUGAUUUCGCCGAAUAGUUGUUUUUUGAUAACAGUUAUUUAUUUAUUUUGAAAUUCAAACAAAUUUUUUUUUUUACCCUUUGCCUUUUUCUAAAUUGCAAGAAUGGGGUUAAUCUGUAAAAAGCAUGUUUGGAUGGUGGAUUGAGGCUUUUGGUAUUUCGGUUGGCUCUAGAAUUGGAGAAAAACUUCCCGGCCAAUAAUGCUAUUUUACAUGAAAGUGUUAUCACGCUUAUCAUAAUUUUAUUAACCGGAAUAACAAAAUAGUGUUAUUUCCGUUUCAUAAAAGUGUCUCUCCUAAAAUUGUUGGAGAAGUAGAGGAAGUUGUGUCACCUUACCCAAACAGCAACUAUUUUGGGGAUUGUAAAAAAAAAAAAAAGACCACCAUUCAUGGGAAUUUUCAAAACUUGAGAUGAGGAAAUCCAGAUUCUUAUUGUAACUCAAAAAAAUAAAAUAACAAAAAAGAAACAUCCUAAGCAAGCAAGCAUAUAGAAAUGAAGAAAAAAGAAUGAGGGAAGGACUGUUGGUACCUCUUUUUGUAAAAGCAGCUUUUACCUUGUGCAUUAAGGCAUACGAGCAAUUCUGCCCAGUAAGAAAAGGAAUUUCAGACUUUCUCAAUGCCCACAUUGGACAGGAUACUGGGUAUUUAUAAAACUGACAAGGGCACUGAACCCUACGACAAGUUAGAAAUUCUAGAUAUUUUUUUUCUUUUCUGUUUUUGUGUAUCACAAUAAGCCAAAAAAAUCGAAAUAAUUGAACCCUUUAAAAAAUAAUAAUAAUAAAAAUAAAAAUCUUCCAUGCAAGACAAGAUGCUUGGAUUCGUGCUUGAUGAAUUGUAGAUUGCAUUCCAUUAGUGCAAAACUUACUAUGUUUUUUUAAAAUGGGAAAUUAAAUUUUAAAAAGCUUUUGCAAGUAUUUGUCAUGAGUGGAUGACCAGGAGGAUGAAUGAAAAUGUUUUGUUUUUGUCAGUGGAGUGAGCUGGAAUCGCAUGCACGUCAUUGCCAACAUCUAGUUAGUACGUGGCACUGUAGCACGUGGCAGUGCCAGUAUGUUUCUUACACGUAUGCAUUGACAAAUAGACAUGAGCUGUACCUGCCUUCUCUCUUAAGUCUAAAAUACUACCGACGUGUCCAGCGGGCACAGCUCGAGCUUAUCUUUGCUCACCACAUAUCACCAAAUUGUUGGUGAUCAUUUUUUACAACAUAAAAACAAAACAUCCGCAUUUCAUUCUUAAUUAUUGAAUGAGUUUGAUUUAAUGUAUUCGCCUUCACUCUCACGUCUCAAAACUAAACUACGCUACUGCCGACUAAAACUACCGACAUGUCCAGCGGCCAAAGCUCCUCUCCACAUCGAGUAUAUUUUGUUAUGAGAUAAAGACAAUACAUUAUAUUUAUAAUUUAGACACAAAGAUCGAGCCAAUAAAAAAAAAAUAGUCACAGAAGUUUGAAGGAAGUUAAGGUUCCACUCCAAAACCAAUUGGCAAUGGGAGGAAAAUUCUAACUCUUUAUAAGCCCUUGCUAAGUUUCUCAACUUUCCAAUGUGAGACUUUUUAUCUUCACAUUCUCACAUGCCCCCACAUGUGUGACGAAUUUUCAAGCCUAACACAUGGGCAACCUGGCUCUGAUACCAUAAAGAAAGUUGAGGUUUCACCCCAUAACCAAUUGGCAAUAGGGAGAGUAUACGAAAUCGCAAUAAUGAGAAUUUUUUUAACAUAAUAAGCAUUUUGAACAAAAAAAAAAAUGGUGAUAAGCAUAAUCUUUUCAUUAUUAAUUAUCGAAUGAGUCGAUUUAAUGUAUUUGCUUUAUAAAUCACACACACACAAAAACUUGAUUUUUUAUUAUCAAAAUGGUCUUUAAACUUAUCCUAAAAUUAUAUUUUGAUCCUUUAAUUAAAUUGUUCGCUUAAAUGCUACUUGAACUCUCUAUUUCGUAAUGUGAUCGAACUAAGCUACCUCAAGGUCAAAAUUAGUAAUGUGAGUCUUUACAAUGGACUUGAAGAUCUUCCCAAUAACUUACGCAUUCUUAAAUGAUUUUCCUUUACUAUAACUUAACAUGCGUAAUAGUUGCAUAAAACAUUUUCUGAUGGGAACAAAACUAUAUCCUUUUACUCAUUUGAUCUUUUAUAACUGUUUAACCAGGGAAUCUAAUUUUGCUAUGCUUUUGCAAUUGACAGCCUUUGCACAAUUUUAAAACCAUCAAACUCAGUCACUCUCUGCAUCUUGUCAGCACACCAAAUUUUAAAGUUGUACCAAUUCUUGAGGUUCAGAAAUGUGAAUUUAUCGUAAAAGAGGAUAAAUAGAGCGUCAAUACGGUGUAGUUUAAUGAGUUCGUCCGCAUUUUUUUGUCAUUUGACAUGGAGGGAGGGGGAGAGUUUAGUCCAUUUUUCCAUUGUGGUGUCAUCCCAUGUGCAAGGAGAUUGUCUGUAUUGACUUGAGCGUUAAAUGUCGUGCCCCUUUUUAUAUUCUUUCAUCAUACCCGUCAUUGUGUGUCUCGCUUUCUCUUGUAAUGAUUUUGCUUCGAUUUGAUUUCGCCCAAUAGUUGCUUUGCAAAAACGCUUUUUCUUUUCUUUCUUCUUGAAAAUUUAACUGUUUUUUUUUCACCCUCUGCCUUUUUUUGCAAGAAUGAAAAUCUUGGGGCUAAUUUGUGAAAAGCAGGUUUGGAUGGUGGAUUGAGGCUUUGGGUAUGUCGGUUGGCUCUAGAAUUGUUGGAGUACGAGAAGUUGUGUCUCUAGUCUUUCCCCAAACAGCAACUAUUUUGGGGCUUCUGGUAAUGAUUUCCCCACUCCAAUUUUAUCUACUUACAUUUCUUUUUUAGUUAUAAAAUAUAGUGUAAGUAGAUAAAAAUCAACACUCCUUUUAAAAAAACCAUUAUUUAAAGAAAUUAUACAAUAGUACUGUAAUAUCACGCGGCAAUGAUACAUGGUAUUACAGACGAAUUUGACAUGUGGGCAACAACUACAACAGAGAGAAGUAACGUUAAUUGGUGUUAACCUCACUGUCUGAGAAACUUCUGGUACCCACCUUCCCAGUUUUUACCAUCAUCGAAGACAACCAUUGCCAUUUCUGCAGGAUUUUUUGAAAAGCAGUCAUGUUGCUUCUUCACAAAGCUGAUGAAGAAUUAACCCAAAAAAUGGGUCAGCAGUGACUCUAUCUGUUAACUUGUUUUUAUAUGAGGGAUACUGACGUUAGAUGAGGAAACUUCGCGGAUAUGUUCGCUGACUUGACGAUUAGUGUUGUUGUUGAUGCCUCCGGAUCUUCAUAUUCCUCUUAUACAGUGCUAGUCAAAUGUGAAGUGGUUGUAUAAUUUCUCCACUAUUUAUGGGAAUUUGGGAAUUUUCAGGACUUGAGAUGAGGAGAUUUCAAUCCUAUUUUUAUUAUAAAUCAUAAAAAAGAAACAUCCUCUUUUCUAUUACAACUAUGGCACAAAAUCAAAGCUUAUAGAAAUCAACAAACAGUGUGUGAAUCAAUUUAUAAAAAUGUGCAAAGGAUUGUUGGUAGCUCUUUUUGUAAAUGCAGCUUUUACCUUGUGCAUUAAGGCAUACGGGCUGCCCAGCAAGAAAAAAAAAAAUUCUGACUUUCAAUGGGCACAUUGGGCAGGAUAAGAGGUAUUUACUGUUUAUAUAGCGAAGGGUUUUAAUAAAAGCUAGCAAUUGUAGAUAUUUUUGUCCUUCUAUUUUUUCGUGUAUCACAAUAAGAAUGUGAAUAUAAGAAUUCGACCUUAUUUAUAUUUUAAAUCACUCAAAGCUGCUAUGUUGCAUAUACAACUGAAAUCCCAUGAAUUUGAUAGCAAGAGUUGAAUGCCUUAUAAUCUUUAUAUUUUGGAAAAUAUACUGAGACUUUCCGAUUAGUUAAAGAGACAACCCUUGUUAACGGGGCCUAACUUAGUGAAAAAAGACAUUGACUUGUAGACUAAUGGUCUCAAAUUCGAACUCUUAUAACGUUAGUGUGUGUGAGAAAACCCCCACCCCCGCUAACUUUGGCACAGAGAGAGAGAUCUUCCAAUAUUUUAGGAAUUUUAACAUACAUCCCAAUCAACCAGCUUUUGCUUGUAAAAAAAGAAAAAAACUAUUGAAAUAGAAAUAGCAACCUUCCUUGAAAUAAAAUGAACUAGCUAAUAACCUUUCCAUGCUAGACAUGAUGCUUGGCUUCGUGCUUUAUGAAUUGCAGAUUCCUUUCCAUUGUUGCAAUAGUUAAUAAAAGAAUAGAAAAAGCUUUUAUUGUGUCGCUUAAGUUAUAUAGGAAUUCUUGAACCCAAGAGUUAAGAAUAACAAGUUCUUAGUCACCAUCAAACAGCCCCCCCAACUAGUCGUAUGGGGUGCUUGUGGUAAGUUGCCUUGGAUAUGAGGAAUUCCUAAAAAACGGCAAAGUCUGGUAAUUUUUUUCAUUAUUACGUACUAUGUUUGUUUGAAAUGUUGAAUUAAAUAUAUUUUAUAAUAAAAUCAAAAUUACAAAACUAUAAAUUCAUGCUUCUCCAAAACAAUAGACCAAGGAGGAUCUGCAAAGCGAGGAAACCAGCUUAUCCACGUUAAUGCAUAUGGGUUAGCACAACAGUAGAGAAUUGUGGGUCAAACACUCCCCUCAUUCCAAAGUGCACUCGAGUUUGAUUCAUGUAUGAGACAAUCUUAAGACAACCCAAUAUAAUACUCCCUCUCUCUAACGAAUGAGGAAAAAAAAAAUCAGCUUUUUGCUGGGAUUCGUAAUCUCGCUAGAACUGAGACUGACUGGAUUAUAAGUAAUCCAAUCCAAGAUGAUUUGGGGCACCAUACAAAGGAGUAGGAUUGUGGAUUCAAUACAGUGUUUUUAUCCAGACCACCAAACGGGUUCGUUCAGAUCCGAAAUAAACAGAGGAAAUGAAAAAUUGAAGAUUAAAUAAAUAGUAUAGCCGAGCGGCUAUACCUUUUAAAUAUAUUAUUCCACAAGUAUAGCCGGAUGGCUAUAUUCCUUUUUCUUUUCAAUAAUCAUUUGAUCUUUUAUAACUGUUUAACCAGGGAAUCUAAUUUUGCUAUGCUUUUGCUCUUGCAAGUGACAGCCUUUACACAAUUUUAAAACCAUCAAACUCAGUCACUCUCUGCAUCUUGUCAGCACACCAAACUUUAAAGUUGUGCCAAUUCUUGAGGGUCAGAAAUGUGAACUUAUCACAGAAGAGGGUAAACAGAGUGUCAAUAUUGCGUAGUUUAAGGAGUUUGUCCGUAUUUUUUUUUGUCAUUCGACAUAGAGGGAAGGGGGAGAGUUUGGCCUACUUUUCCACUGUGGUGUCAUCCGAUGUGCAAGGAGAUUGUCAGCAUUGACUUGAGCGUUAAAUGCCGUCCCCCCUUUUUAUUUUCUUUCAUCAUUCCCAUCAUUGUGUGUCUCAUUUUCUCUUGUAAUGAUUUUGUUUCGAUUUGAUUUUGCCCAAUAGUUGCUUUGCAAAAACACUUUCUUUUUUUUUUUUGAAAAUUUAACUGUGUUUUUUUUCUUCACCCUCUGCCUUUUUUGCAAGAAUGAAAAUCUUGGGGCUAAUUUGUGAAAAGCAGGUUUGGAUGGUGGAUUGAGACUUUUGGUAUGUUGGUUGGCUCUAGAAUUGUUGGAGUACAGGAAGUUGUCUCUAGUCUUUCCUCAAACAGCAACUAUUUUGGGGCUUCUAAAAGGACCACUAUUGGGAGAAAUUAUACAAUAGUACUGUAGUAUCACGCGGCAAUGAUACUACAAGAUCUUUUGAAAAGCAGUCACGUUGCUUCUUCACAAAGCUGAUGAAGAAUUAACCCAAAAACGGGUCAUCAGUGACUCUAUCUGUUAAAAAAGCAGUCAGCGAGAUGUUUUUUUUUUUUUUAAAAAAAAAUUUAAUUUAUUUUAUAAUUAAAAAAGAUAAUGGGUAGUUGUGUUCCAUAAAAAUAGGAUCCAUUAUCUGAUUUUUCUUUUAAUUUUAAUUUUUUUAAUAUAAAAAAGUGUGAAUUUACCAUAUUAUCCUCAUUUAAUUAAUAAUUUCAAUUCUUAAUGUUUGCAACCAAGGGCAUUUUCUGGUAUUUUGAAUGUUUCACUAUUAUCUGUCUUUUGUUUUAUAUCUACUAGCCCCUCACGCAUGUGCCAAUUGGUUUUAUUUUUUAUUUUUUAUUUUAUUUUAUUUUUAGAAUUAAGAAAAGAUAACAUGGAUAGUUAUGUUCCAUAAAAGUAGGACUUAUUAUCUGAUUUUGUUUUUAUUUUUAUUUUUUUAAAUAUAAAACAUGUGAAUUUACCAUAUUAUCCCAAUUUAAUUAAAAUUUCAAUUCUUAAUGUUUGAAAUAACCAAGAGCAUUUUUUGGUAUUUUGAAUAUUUCACUAUUUUUCUGCCUUUUGCUUUAUAUAUAUAGAUAUAGAUGAAAUUAAAAAAAAAUUUUGUCGAAUAGAAAAAAUAUACUUUCUAAUAAAAUCAAAUUUACAAAACUAUAAAUUCAUGCUUCUCCAAAACCACCAGUCAAAAAAGUGGCUGGAAAGACAAAAAGGGCAUCCAAAACAACAGACCAAGGAGGAUCCGCCAAGCGAGGAAACCAGCUUAUCCAAGUUAAUGCAUAUGGGAUAGCACAAUAGUAGAAUAGUGGGUCAAACGCUCCCCUCCUUCCAAAGUGCACUCGAAUUGGAUUCACGUAGGAGAUGAUCUUAAGAUAAUCCAAUAUAGUACUCCCCCUCCCUUUAAGCAAUUAACUUUUCUUAGUGUACUACCUCCUCUCACAAAAGAAAAGGGUAGCACGGUAGAGUGAGAAAAGAGAGAGAGUUGUGAUGGCCAAGGCUUGGAUCCGAAAUAAAUAGAGGAAAUGAAAAAUUAAAGAUUAAACAAAUAGUAUAGCCCUGCGGCUAUACCUUUUAAAUAUAUUAUUCCACCCGUAUAGCCGGACGGCUAUACUCCUUUUUUCUUAAAAUAAAUAGAUUUUUAAUUUUUUGAAAUAAAUAGUACAGCCGAGCCGUUAUACUCUUUUUUUAUUUUUUAUUUCUUAAAUAAAUAGUAUAGCCGAACGGCUAUACGGUUUAAAUAUUAUUUAUCCCCUUUUGAUUUUUUUUUUUUCAUUUUCCAAAGUUGUUACAAGUAUAAAGAAAUAGCAUUUUCCCGAUUUAUACUCGUAUUAUACAUUUAAGUAUGUAUUUUUUAAUAAUACUUCUGUUUUCCGUACAUUGCUAGCACUCAAUAAAAUAUGUAUUUUUUAUUAUAAAAAAAGCAAACAUACAAUACAAAUAUUAUACACAUACGUACAUAUUUUUCAUGUUUAAUACACGUAUUACUUUCCAUAACAUAAACAAAAUUCAAGUCUUAUACUCGUUAAAUAACAUAUUUAAAAUAUAAUCUUAUAGCCGUGAAUUGUACUACUUUUUUAUUUUCAUUUUAACAAUUAGUAUAGCCGUGGAGUAAUACUGGUUUCCAUUUAUUUAUUUUUAAUACUUAGUAUAGCCGCGCGGCUACACUCCUUUUUUUAUUUCUUAAAUAAAUAGUAUAGCCAGAAGGCUAUACCGGUUAAAUAUAUUAUUCCACAAGUAUCGCCGGGCGGCUAUACUCUUUUUCCUUUCAAUAAUUAGUAUAGCCGGCAGCGGGACUCUUUUUAUUUUUAAUUUUUUAAAAUAAAUAGUACCUCCGCACGGCUAUACCCUUUUUUCUUAAAAUAAAUUGUAUAGCUGUACGGCUAUACGGGUUUAUAUUUUUAAUUUUUUGAAAUAAGUAGUACAGCCGCGCGGCUAUACCUCUUUUUAUUGUUUAUUUCUUAUAUAGCCGAACGGCUAUACGGUUUAAAUAUUAUUUAUCCCCUUUGAUUUUUUUUUUUCCUUUUUCAAAGUUAUUACACAUAUAAGGAUUUGCAUUUUCCCAAUUUUUCAAUAAUACAUGCAUUUUCUGUACAUUGCUUAAGGACUUGGUAAAAUACAUAUUUAAAAAAAAAGAAGCAAAUGUAUAAUACACAUAUUGUACGCGUACAUAUGUAUUUUUCUUGUUUAAUACAUGUAUCACUUUCCAUAACACACAAAAAAUUCAAGUAUUAUGCUCGUUAAAUAUCGUUUGAGAAAUUUCUUGUACCCACCUCCUCAGGUUUUACCAUCAUUGACGACAACCAUUACCAUUUCUGCAAGAUUAUUUGAAAAGCAGUCAUGUUGCUUCUUCACAAAGCUGAUGAAGAAUUUGAUAGAAAAAUAUAAUAUUUAUAUUUAAUUUUUUAAUAAUUGAAUAGAAAUUAAAUUGUGGGACUCGUGACUUUAAGUACAUGACUUUUACGAAUUGGUAUGUAUCCAUUGGGAAUAGUCAUGUUCUUAACCGAGGAAAAAUAAAAUAUUAUUUAUUUUGUUUGUAAAAUAAUAAUACUUUAUGUGAUAAAUUGCAUUGUUUCAUAUAUGAAAAGUUGCAUUGUUUCAUUGCACUUCUUGGCUUAAGUUGCAUUGUUUCAUAAUAAAUGAAACAUUGCACUUCUUGGCUUAUGAUUGCAACAUGAAAAGACACAUUUGUUGAUAUUUUUCAGUCACAUCUUUUCUGAAUAGAGUCCUUGUUGCCUAUAAAUAGAGAAGAUCCUACAACAUUUCAUUCAUCCAAUUGUCAUCCAACAAUAGUAGUUUUUAGAGCAUUCAUAGCAUUAUAUUUUUAGAAAUAUAAUGAGUUACUAAGAGAGAAUUCAUACGCAAGUUUGAGUUCGCUUUUCUUGGGGAUUGUAGUGCUACUUCAACAAGAAGUCGAUCGUUGUAUCCUGGGAGACGUUUGCUAAGCAAAUCCUAAAAGCACAUGUGAGGAUGCAAUUUCAUCUUAAGGAGAUAGAACCAAGUUCUAGACUCGAUCAUCUGUAAAGUAUUCUAGACUUGAUCAAUGACACCAAAAUUUGACUAUGUGGUGUGUUCGAUUGAAGCAUCAAAAGAUCUUGAUAAUCUCUCUAUUGAUGAGCUACAAAGCAGUCUUCUGGUACAUGAACAACGGAUGAAUGGCCAUGCAAUGGAAGAACAAGCAUGGAAGGUGGCCAUGCAAAAGAUCUUGUAUUCAUAUCAUAUGAUUUUGGAUUUAAUUAAAUUUGCAUUUUGAAUUCUGUUAAGAUUGAAUUUUGAUUUAUUUCUCUUCGAAUUUGGAUGGUUCAGUCCAACUACGGCGGUUGGGUUCUUUUAUGUGUGUGCAUCGAUGGAGAGAGAGGGAAAGAGACGCAUAGAGAGAAAGGAAGAGAAAGAGAAAGAGAUGACUGGGUUUUGUGUUUGCAGCAACAGAGACAGAGGGAAAGAGAUGGGGAGAGAGAGGAAGAGAGAGAGAGAGAGAGAGUUGGGAUGAAGAGGAAUGGUGUGGGGUUGAAGGGAGAAGUCGAGGGACGUUUGAGUGGGUUUGUUUUAAAUUUGUUUUAAUUUUUAUAUUAUUUUAUUGUUUUAUAUAUAUGAUUUUAUGGUUUUUAAAUAAUUUAAGAAAUCAAGAUUUUUUUAUUUUAGUUUUUUAGCCCACGUGGCGUCCACAUAAAAAUAAAAAUCUGACAUAUACUUGACACGUAAGCAUUUAACGGAAAAACUGACAGAUUCACUAAUGGAGGGUGUAUUUUGAAAGGUUCCGUGAAGUUUGUGUAUUGUGUACUCGUCAAACUGGUCAAUAAAUAUUGGGUAUGAGUUUGUAAUAACCCCCAUAAUUUGGGGGGUUUACGGGUAGUUCAUUCAAAUCGAGCUAGAAUAUAAGGCUUUAUCUCUUUUUUUUUUCCCUUUUUUUUUUACCCUAGUUCAAAACGACUUCAUUUUGGCUAGGGACUUUUGAAAAAAAAAGUAUGUAGGCUGUGCUGCGUGCAACAUCCCUGCAACACAACAACACAGAAAACAAAAAAGAGUUUUGCUGAGGCAUUUCCUCAAGCCGAUUGUGGGCACUUCCAUGGCAAAGCUGAGGGGCAAAUUCCACCACCUACAAAGCUCUUUCCGACGAGGGGAGGUACAUUUGCAUCUCCUUACGCCCCUGUAGGUUCGCCAAUGGCUGGGAUAAAAGGGAAUGGUGAAAAUGGUACUUAGGUGACGAGGGGUAAACUUAAAAGAUAUUCAACCAAGAACGCAACAAACUUCACACACUCUAGACCUUGACCAAAUACUCUUAUGACUAGUCAACUGUCAGAUAUGAAUUAUACCAAAUAAUAACAUACACAGAGCAUACGAAGAUGUACCUACAAGCCUAGAGAAUUACUAGUGACAACCUAGGCACUCAAAAGGACCUGUCAAUCUAGGCAUCCCCUGUGCUAGCAACAACUAUGGUGAAAGUGUGUGAAGACAACAUAAUCAAGCAAACACCAAACAACAGAUAAUGAUGACUAGUCAACUACAAGGAUACAAACCCAUAAUUCAUACGAUGAUUAGUCAACCACUAAGAACACAAACUCAGAAUUCAUAUGAUGACUAGUCAACCACAAUUCAUACAAUGACUAGUCAACCACCAAGAACACAAACCCAUAAUUUAUACGAUGACUAGUCAACCACCAACAAGAACACAAACCCAGAAAAAUUACAGAGAUGCAAACAGAAAUUGUUCACCUAGAAACCCACUAUUGGGAAAAAAUUAGGGGUCAUCAACCGACCAGGCAAUCCACUAAGUAGACAAAGAUUCUUACAAAGGAAUACAAGCAAGCUCAAGAAAAACCUAGAUAUAUUUAGGAAGAUGAGCUAUACUUCCUUUGUGCAAUCUUCUUCUCCAACUUAGCAAAGCUUGAAGCUCAGUUCUUCAUGGCAAUGGCAGCUCCUUCUCCAGCUCAUUCAUCCCAUGGCACAAGCUUGCAAGCUCUAACUCAAACAGAAACCAAAAUUUGGAUUCAAAUGAGAAUGACCAAUUUCUUCAAGAAACCAUACUCUUGAAGAAAUCAAUCUUGAAUCUGACCUAUAUAUAAAUGAGAGAGUGUUUUAAGUAGCUAGAUGCAAAUUAGUAUUUCAAAUGCAGUUUUUCAAAAAGAAAUCAAUUUGGAAAAAACUCAUAGAUGAAAAUAAGAUGGUUCUCUCUUGAGGAAGAAGAAGCGAAAUAUGGCAAGCCAAACUUUCCAAAACUUCCACCCAAAAGAGACGACUGCCCAAAGAGGAAUUCCUUAGCCUUUACAGACAAAAAUUCCCUUAGGUCAGAAUCACACAUGGCAAUAGAGAGAGAAAAGAGAAUAUGACAAAAAAGUUGGUUAUCCAACUGGAAAUCCUACAGAGCAAGGAUGACUAGUCAUCAUUUUAUGAAAACAGUUUAAUGCAAUGUUAUGCAAUGCACAAUUUAUCUUUGCCAAUUUGCUUGAACCUCCGUAGGAUAGUUGUUAGUUAAGAACACCUAGAGAAGAUAUUCUCAAUCUAAACUUGAGCUUGAUAAAUAACAAUAGAAAUCCUAUUACAAAAUUGUCAAGGGAAGCAAAAAGAAAAACUCAAAAUGCAUACAUUAACAAAUGGUGUGGGGCUAAGGAGAAGUUGAGGGACAGGGGUGGGUUUGUUUUGUUUGUUUUAAUUUUUUUUAUAUUAUUAUAAUAUAUAUAUAUAUAUGUAUAUAUUUGAUUUUAAGGUUUUUAAAUAAUUUAAGAAAUCAAGAUUUUCUUAUUAGUUUUUUAGUUCACGUGGCGUCCACUAAAAAUAAAAAAAAUGAUAUAUAUUUGACAUGUAAGCAUUUAAUGAAAAACUGACAGAUUCACUAAUGGAGGGUGUAUUUUGAAAGAUUUCGUGAACUUUGUGUACUCGUCCAACUGGUAAAUAAAUAUUGGGUAUGAGUUUGUAAUGACCCCAAUAAUUUGGGGGGUUUAUUGUAGUUCAUCCAAAUCGCGCUAAAAUUGAGGCUGAUUGGAUUAUAAGUAAUCCAAUCGAAGAAGAUUUGGGCCACCAAACACAGGAGUAGGAUUGUCGAUCCAAUCCAGUGUUUUUAUCCAGCCCACCAAACAAGUUCUUUCAGGAUCUAAAAUAAACAGAGGAAACGAAAAAUGAAAAAAUUGAAGAUAUUGGUUGAUCUUACCCUCCCUCAUUUCUCUCACCUUCCCUCUAUGAUCUCAGCCUCCCUCAUGUUGCUCACGAUUUUGUUUGUGGUGUUGAUUGCUAGGAUCAUUCAUUUGUUCAUUAAUCUUGGAGAACCAUAGUGGCUGCCUUUUGUAGACAAUGUAGCAGUUACAAGACAUUUUUGGAAGCAGUUACCAGUUGGCUGUGACGUUGCAGUUGAAGCUCUUUCAAUUUAUCCCAAUCGUUGUAGUUGGUCUUGCUACUCGUUCAUUGUCCAUUGGCCCAAGUUUUGCCCGUUGGUUGUUGUUGAUGAGAAAACUUUAUAGUGGCACUCUUUUUCCUUGAUUGGAUUUUCCUCUAUUAGUUCAGGCCGCGAGCUUUUUAAGAUUACACUAUUGUUCCUAGCUUUCACGUUGGUUUUAAGAUAUUUUCAUCCUCUCCGCUGUAUACUCUUAUGGUGUUCUAAUAAAAUAUAUUUCCCAACCCAAAAAAAAAAAAAAAACUAUGUCAUCCAUUGUCUUUCUGUUGGAUCUCUUUAAUCUCAUUGAUAAAUCAUGUACCCUCAUUGUAGAAUUUCGUAAGGAAACAUAAUCGACUUGCUUCUUGUUCUUAUGGGCAGAGUGGGCUUUCCCUUGUUAGGCAUGCUGCUCUGUUUCUUGUUGCCGUUCCUUUGGGCUUCAAUGGAGAUUCAUUUUCUAACCCAGAAAACAAAAGGAAAACAAAAAAUGUUGAAGCAGAAAAAAAUUAAAAGAACAAUAUUAUCUGGAAAUAAAUUUGAGGUGAAGCUGUGAACAAUUCUUGGGAUGAGUUGCGUACAAAGUCGCUCACUUCAAAACGUUUCGCGACUUUGCCCAAUUUGUGCAAGCAGUUUAGAAAAGGCCAUUAUGUCCCUAGGAUAAAACAAUCCUAGAAUCUCUUAUGUGUAGGUUCUUCCUUGCACUUAGGAAAGACCUGAAUACAAACACCUUUUUAUGUUGCUAAGAAAACUUAGUUUAAGAAAUAAGAGAAAGAUAGAAUUUCAUGAGAUGAAGAGGAAGAAGGCAGCAGCUGUUGUGUGUUUUUCUCUUCUAGCUAUAUCAGAUAUAUGUACAUAAUAUACUACAAAUAUAAAGCAAAAGAGGUGAAACAUUCAAAAUACCAGAAAAUGCCUUUGGUUAAUCAAAACAUUAAGAAUUAAAAUUAUUAAUUAAAUGAGGAUAAUAUGGUAAAUUCACACAUUUUCAUAUUAAAAAAAUUAAAAUUAAAAGAAAAAUCAGAUAACGAAUCCUAUUUUUAUGGAACACAACUACCUAUUAUCUUUUUUUAAUUCUAAAAUAAAUUUAAUUUUUUUUAAAAAAAAGCCUCUCGCAGAUUGGAAGAACGUAUAGAGAAGCUAAUAUACUACAAAAGAGACGUUGGUGGCCUUUAAAUGCAGCAAAUACACCAGUUCAGAAAAUCAGCCCAUAUUAAUCGAAACUAACUCCUAUUACUAAAGGUAAUUUAAGCAAUUAUUGAAUUAUAUUUAUAUAAAUAAAAAAACCACACCAAUUUCAACCGAAAAAAGAAAGAGAACUAUUGGCCAAAAAAAAAAAAAAAAAAGGUCAGAGAACACGUUUCCCGGGUGUGAGUAGUUUCCCAGGUCAGGCGUCAAAUGCGUAAUUUUUCUUACAGAGCUAGCUGUCUGUCUCAUGACUUGUUUACAUUUGUGGACAAAGUGUUUCGUGUUGUAAAACAGUGGAGCCCACAUUAGAAGGAAACUUCCUUCCACCAGCCCACAUUGGAAGGAAAUUUCCUUCCCUUCAGAUACUUCCCUUUUGUAUAUAUUUUACCCUUCAGUGUAAUGGGAUAAUGUAGAAACUGAAGAACAAGAUGAAGAACGGAAACACAGAGGAGAAAAUUCUCCCUCCUCUCUCUCUCAAUUCUCUUUUCCAAUUUCUUCAGUUUACAACACGUUAUCAGCACGAGUCUUUAACCGGCUGAAAUCUCUGAUUUCUUGAUCCCAGAAAUUGAUCAAGACACCCAGUUCGAAACCAAGCCCAGAUUGCCCACCCAAAACCAACCCAGUUUUUGUACAGAGCCACACGGAUUGCUUGCCAAUACCAAAGCAUAAAUGCUGGGAAUGAAUUUUUUCCUUCCGAUGAACCUGUCUCCAUGUUUGAUGAAAAUCCGGAAGUAAAGAACAUGCAGACAUGUGCAACGAAGGGAAAAAUAGAGAGAGCCCGCCAAAUCACUCUCCACACCCACACAACCCGAAAUGGCGUGUCAGUGUAUAUGAAAGACGCUUGCAAGCUGUUCCUUCAGCUCCAAGAAGUCGUCUUCAAGUGAGUGUACCAAUAAAUGAUGGUGUUAAAGAGAGAAUUUUGCGAAGAAUAGAACCAUGGAUUCGUAGGGAGCUGCAGGCUCUUCUCGGAGACCGAGAUCCAUCUAUUAUUGUUCAUGUGGCCACCUCACUCUUCAUUGCAAGCCUCGAAAACGAGGGUCAUGUCCCUUCAGGACAGUGUGAUGUUUGAGAUGACUUCCUUGCACGGUUGCGCCCUUUUCUGCUUGAUCGAACUGAUAUGUUUUGGCACGAGCUAAGCUGUAGCUGGGUCUGAAGAGGCUCUCAAGCCUUUUGAUCAGUUCGGCAACAUCAGGGGGCAUUGGAGCUUUGGUUAGCACCACCAUCUUGUACCCACUUGAUACCUGCGAGACCAAGUAUCAAGCUGAAGUCCGAGCUCAACAUCAGCAGAAAUACAGGAAGCGACUCAUAGUCCCCUUCCUCGACUACACGACCAUGCCGUCGUCAUAGUCCACUUUUUCAACCCUGCCGAGAACGGCCCUGCGGGAGUCCCUUGCCACCUGCUUCCACGAGUUCUCCCUCGACCUGUCCAUCUUGCUGCAGCAGAUCCACGGGAGCAAGAUGUGGCGACGUAGAGGAGGUCGUUCCUAUGCUCCAAAACCAAUGCUCGCGGAGCACAACGAAAUCGUUCAUGGAUCCCCUAGACGACGAUCUCAGGCGCGAGGUCCGCUCAGCCGCAGGUCAGCCGCGGGUCCACCAUCCUCGCCGCCUCCGCUCCAUGGCGACGGGGAAACCCCAUGUACUUAGCAGGCUUCCAUGCCCGUCACAAUCUCCAGAACUUGCUGCAAAAGCCGAGGGUUUUUCAGUGCCAAACCCUCGCCCACAACUCCACCAUGCACCUCGCUCUCAACCCACUGCGCUGGCGGCCUAGUUGCAGCACUUGAGCCCUGGCGAGAAGGCCACAAAGUCGUGGUCUCUGAGCAAGGAGACCAAGUGGGAAGCACAUGGGUCUCCACUCCGAAGGUAGAAUCCGACCCACUUGGGCUGCACCCGGAUCGGACCACGGUCCAUUCGAGCAUGCACCAGUCGAUCCGGACGAACCUCCCGAGAGAGUCCAUGGGUUUCAAGGACUACCCAUUUGUGGCCAAAGAAGAAGACGAAAAAAAAAAGAGACCCGAGAAAGUUUUCCGGGUCACAGAGAGGUGUUGAGGUAUUUGAAGGAUUUUGGGAUAUCUGAGAUUGUGAGGAUCGAGACGGAGGUGAUGGUGUGCAUGAUAAGAUUUAUGAUGCUGUUGUUGUCUGUAAUAAGCUUCAAUGGCUGUGGUGGAGGUGCAGAAGAGAGAGAGAUGUGCAGUAUUAUUACUGUGAGUAAUCAAUGAGUUUUUGGAUGAUUUUCAAUGAUGGGUAGAGAAUAUGCUGUCGAGAGUGCGCAUGAUCGCAGCACCCACACACGCAUGAUCACAGCUGUACAACAGCACAGGCAUGAUCACGUGUUCUUAGAAAAUCCCAAAAGUCUUUUUCAGCUAUCAUGGGUUGUGCUAUUCUACUGCACAUACAAAAACACCCACCAAAGUAAAAGGAUAAGUACUCUGCGUAUAAUAUAUAUAUAUAUAUACUAUAUUUAUCUGUUUUUUUUCUUUUACUAACCAUUAACAAAAAUGGACCCUCGGUAAUACUAAACAUAUUAUCAGUGGGAGACCGUUACUAAUACUAACAAUUUAAUUUAUGAAUUUAAUUUACUGCACAUUUACAUUUAUUUAGAAGGGUGGUGCGGGUUUAUCGCCCACGCCUUUGCUUUUAUUUAAAUGUAUGGUGCAGAAUUAGUGCCCAUACAAGCACGUUUAAUUUACUGCAAAUUUACUUUACAGCACAUUUAUUUUAUUUACUGUAUGGUGUAGGAUUAUUACCCAUACGACAGUAUUUAUUUAAAAGGGUGGUGCGGGUUUAUCGCCCACGCCUUUGCUUUUAUUUAAAUGUAUGGAGCAGGAUUAGUGCCCAUACAAGUACAUUUAAUUUACCGCACAUUUAAUUUUAUUUAAAGUAUGGUGCGGGAUUAACGUCCAUACAGCAAGCAAUUUAAUUUAUGAAUUUAUUUUACCGCACAUUUACAUUUAUUUCAAGUGUGGUGCGGGUUUAUCGUCCAUACCAGUAAUUUAUUCACCAGCAAUUUAUUUUAAUUGUGCUGUAUGGUGAAUUGUGCUGUAUGAUGAGUUUUUACAGUAUGCAGAUCAGGACCAGAAGUUCCUUGAUCCUCAUCAUACAAUUACAUCAGGACUUGAAGAUCCUUGAUGAUGAUAUUAAUAUGAGGGCUGGCAGUCUCUCCGGUACUGUAUUUGUAAACAUGUGAUCAGACUUAAAGGUCCUUGAUUCCUGACAUAUAAAUAAGGAUAAUGAUGUAACAGUACCGUAUUGGUUCAUAGUGCCGUACACAUUGAUGAUAACUGUACUGGCAGAUGAAUAGAUACGUAUUCAUGACUUGAUGAAUAGUACUAUUCACAUGAAUAGUGACGUAUGCAUAAAUAUGAACCAUUUUGGGUAAACCGUCACUAUAUACAAAAGAGAACCUGCAGUUCCUUAAACUCAUGGAUGAACAAUUAAAUGAGAUGCCAGAAGUUCCUCAAAAUAUGGACAAUUAUGUAAAGGCUUGAAGCCCAGAAAUAUGUACAGAAAAUUGUAAAAAUGUCCAUACCAUGAGAACCUGUGAUUUUAACUUGAGGUUCAAAAUCUAAGUGUUGAGAACCUGAAGUUCCAACAAUUAAAUGGACAACACUUGAGGUAUUAUUGCAAAUUGUGGUACGCCACAUAUUUCUUUGGCAUAAGAGAAUGAUGAAUUGAGGCUCUCCACAUAUUUUGUUAUAUCUGGGCCGGCAGCUCAUGAACCCAAAUAUAUGAGCUUGAAUGAUACUUGAGAAAAGUUUCUCCCACCUAAGGAUGUAAGCAAUACUUGUGUUAUUUUAUGCUUAUAUACCUAUUUGAUAUUUUAUCUUGAAAAGUAACCAAAUGGGGAGAUAAGUCCGUUCCAAAAGAAUGGCUUGUAUGUAUCCAUGAAUUAUUAAUGCAAAUUUUACAGAUUGCAAGUUGGAUACAUUGAUAAUACACUGCACAGAUUAAAAGUCCCAUAAGAACAUAACAUGGGUAUAGCAGUGAUCAAUAUGAUGCACGUCUGUUGCGUAGCAAAUGAUGUGGAUUGAAGUCCCAAAUGGACAAUCCUUUGACAUGUCAAUAUUGAUAUUAUGCACGCCUAAUGCGUAGCAAAUUGUAUGGGUUAAAGUCUCAGAAAUUAAUUGACAUGUAUGUAUUAAUUUGUGGCAUGCCUGCAGCAUGACAGAUAUAUGGGUUCUCAAUGUUCCAACUCCCUAAAUGGAGAUUAUCCACGCCCCACUAUAAAAUAACGCUCCAUUGGAGGUUAUAAUCCACAUUCUCACAUAAUAAAAGCCCCCUGAAGUGGCUUGGGUACCCAAAAGCAAAGAAAUGCUUAUAAUUGAUGCAUGCGCAUGCACAUGAGAAUGGUGGGAUCAUGAAUUGAUGAAUGACAAUUUUUGGUUUUGGAGUAGCUACUCAAAUCAUCAAUGGGUUGUGUUGAUUGGAACCACGUUCAAUUAUUAAAUAUCGACAAUAUCAUUGGCCAAAAUGGAACGAGGUAAUUCCAUUAUAAAUGAGAAUGAACGUGACAGAACAAACCCACAAAACGAACCCCAAAAUUUGUUAAUACUGAAAGUUAUACUUGGGUGUUCGGAAUAAAAGGGAAUAUACCUACUUUGUAUGACACAAUGUUUCUGGCAGAAACAAGGAAUGUUGGGUUUUCUCCAUAUUUACAGAUUCAAUUGUGCCCCCCUUAUUACACAAUUACGGAGACCAACAUAUUAUCUUUAAGGGUUAUUAAAUGCACAGAGCAUAUCACCUGAAGUGAUUCCCUAAAGACAUAUAAAUAGCUGGGUUAAAGCUAUAUAAUGUGUCAUAAAACUUAAUCCCUUUUAGACAAAAUCCGUUGAGAGGAUUAUCAUUGCAUAAAGCAAGUCCCUAAAGGACAUGUGCUUGAAGCACAAAAUUUGUACUCAAUAUUAAUAUGCAUAAAUUACCUCAGUGAGUACAUUGAUGUGAUUGCAACACAUUAAAGAUUCUGCAGAAUUCACGAAAUAUAUGUCUCGACUUAAGGAUCGAGUAUUGUGCCAACGAGAUUCUUGCUUAUACUAAGAAAGUAUUGAAGCAUUUUUAUGAGGAUUAUCCGUUGGUCCUUAAAUAUUUUUCCGGAAGUAUACUAGACCAGAUAGAGCUCAGCUCCACACUGUACUCUUUUUCCUUCAUCCAGGUUUUUAUCCCAUUGGGUUUUUCCUGGUAAGGUUUUAACGAGGCAGUGUAGCUCAAGGUUUUUAGGGUAUACUAUGAAAAUUUUUAUGGUCGCUUACUGGACAAAAGCUAGUCCUAAAAUUUUCAGGGGGAGAUAUUCAUCAGGGGGAGCAUGGUUUUAAUAAAGACCUCCAUACACUGUACUCUUUUUCCUUCAUCCAGGUUUUUAUCCUACUGGGUUUUUCCUAGUAAGGUUUUAACGAGGCAGUGUCGCUCAAGAUUGACUCACAGAAGCAGUGCCAACUACGAUAUUCAGAAAGCUGAUCAACAGUAUGACUUAAAGAUAUUUUGCCAAGCAUCAGGGGGAGCGCUAUCAAUAAAGAUCUUCAAAUACUGUACUCUUUUUCCUUCGUCCAGGUUUUUUAUCCCACUGGGUUUUUCCUGGCAAGGUUUUAACGAGGCAGUGUCGCACGCGCGCCAAUAUACUUAGGAUUUUAUGUUACACAUAGUUAUGUACUCUUUUUCCCUUCGACCAGUUUUUGUCCCACUGGGUUUUUACUGGCAAGGUUUUUAACGAGGCAUAUUCCAUAUCAUUUGUGGUCUCCAAGGGGGAGUGUUGUAAAACAGUGGAGCCCACAUUAGAAGGAAACUUCCUUCCACCAGCCCACAUUGGAAGGAAAUUUCCUUCCCUUCAGAUACUUCCCUUUUGUAUAUAUUUUACCCUUCAGUGUAAUGGGAUAAUGUAGAAACUGAAGAACAAGAUGAAGAACGGAAACACAGAGGAGAAAAUUCUCCCUCCUCUCUCUCUCAAUUCUCUUUUCCAAUUUCUUCAGUUUACAACAUUUCGGUAUUUUUUCCCCAUUUUUCAUAUUAUGUGCUUUUUCUGACUGAGUCAUUUAGUUGUUGUAAAAUUUUCUCCUUC